rnacentral:lncRNA from 1 species
UCCUCGAGCCUCCAAUAUCUUGAGAUCAGAUCCCAUGAUUCAAUUGAAUUGUUUAAAGUCAAGCUUCAGAUGAACUCGCUCACCGCCCUUGAGAAGUUGUUUCUGAAAUGUCGAGGAGUGUUGUCAUUUUGUGAAGGAGUUUGUCUACCUCCCAAAUUACAAAAGAUUGUUAUUUUUUCCAAAAAAAUAACACCGCCGGUUACGGAAUGGGGUCUCCAAGAUCUAACCACUCUUUCCGAAUUGAUGAUUAAAGAGGCAGGUGAUAUAGUUAACAACUUGGUGACGGAGUCGUUGCUACCCAUCUCCCUUGUGUCUCUGGAUCUCUAUAAGAUGAAGUCCUUUGAUGGAAAUGGGCUUCGACACCUCUCCUCUCUCCAACGUCUCGAUUUCUGUCAAUGUCGACAGCUUCAGUCAUUGCCAGAAAACUGCCUCCCUUCCUCGCUGAAAACACUUCGAUUUGUGGAUUGUUAUGAGCUUGAGUCAUUGCCAGAAAACUGUCUCCCUUCCUCGCUGGAAAGCCUUGACUUUCAAAGUUGUAAUCAUCUGGAGUCAUUACCAGAAAACUGCCUCCCUUUGUCGCUGAAAUCACUUCGAUUUGCGAAUUGUGAAAAGCUUGAGUCAUUUCCAGACAACUGCCUCCCGUCCUCGCUGAAAUCACUUAGAUUGAGUGAUUGUAAAAUGCUUGAUUCAUUACCAGAAGACAGCCUCCCUUCAUCUCUUAUCACUCUGUACAUUAUGGGAUGCCCAUUGUUAGAAGAAAGGUAUAAAAGGAAGGAACAUUGGUCCAAAAUUUCUCACAUCCCUGUCAUCACAAUAAACAACCAACGCACAAUAUGAUAGACAAGCUGUGCUCCUGUUUCAGGUACGUUUUCAAAUCAUUUCAUGGGUCAAUAAUUCAAUAUUAAAAUGCAAUAAUCAACACAAAGCCAAUAAUCAAUCUCUGUUAUUGAUUGUGAUAACAAUCCAAAGAUAUCUCAAAAUAUUUUCAUAUUGGCAACUAAUUAAUCUCUGCUAUGUAUGUAGUUUUGAAGGACAAAUUCUCAUUGGUCCAAAAUUACUCACCAUAUGAGGACAAGUUGUGUUACCGUUUUCAGGUAUGUUUUCCUUUUACCUUCCAAAACAAUGUUAUCUUUCGUAAAAGUUCAAAUUGUAUCCUCUGUAUGAGAUUUGAUGAUCACUCAUUUCAAUGUUAUUUUCAAAAAUUGAAUUAUUUGUUUUAAGGACUGUUCUUUGGUUACCCUUUAGUCUCUAAUUACCUUUCUGACAAACAAUACCUCCAAAAAUCUUACAAUCUUUGCUUCAUUAAAUUCAAGCUUAAAUCAUAAAAAAAUUGUAUUUUCAUAAAGAUCAAAGGAUUUCUACAAGAGGUACAAUUUUGAGAAUGUUAGCUAUUGAGAACGGUUUGAUUUCAAGUAACUUAGUCCUUCGAUAGAAAAAGUAUCUUUUUUGAGAUAUGAUUACUCACCUGUAAUAACUCAUUAUAUUUUUCGUGUACAUAACAAGAUUAUUUUUUUUCUUCUUCUGUAAACUGGAGUCUAAAUGGAAUUAUCUGAAGACCAUUUUCUUUAACAAUAAAAAUUUGAUAUUAAGGUCAUCUGAGAUAAUGAAAUAAAAAUGCUUAUUUUCUUUACAGGUGAUGAUGGCCUAAGUGGAUGGAACUCAGUUCAUUUGAUAAAUUGAAGACAAAAGUGGGAUAUGUGGUUAUUGUUCUCAUGAUUCAUCUUGUAUAAAUCUUUGAGUGGAGAAAAAAUGGUUGCCAUUGAUUGCCACAAGUCUCUUUGUAUUUUAUUAUCUUUUGGUUGUAUCUUGGUAUGUUUUGUAAUAACCUGCUUGGUCCAGUCAUACAGAGUACAAUGCAGUAGGGUUUGUAAUAUUCUUGCUUUGUAGCUUUAAGCAAAUGCUCAUAUGAUUCAGAAUGUUGGAUACUGUUUGAAAUAUUCUGUUCCACUGCUUUGUUAGUAUGUGGAAACAUGAAGCAUAAAUAAAUGGAACAAGUAGAAGAAUCCAUGUUAUUGGUUCUAAAUAUUCUAUUCAUAUAAACAUUUUGUUGAAUUAAUGUGGUUGUUACAUAUAGUAUCUCCUUUGAUAAAACCUGUGCAUAAACAGCAAUGGAAGUAAUGGAUGCUACAAAUAAAUGGAACAAAUUCCUUUAGUUACCUGUCUAUCUGGAUUUUGAAUCCUACUCUCAUUGUUUGUGUUUUAGCCAUUAAUUAAUUUAAAUGGUCCGAAAAUUAAAAUGUGAAAAAGUUUGCCGACACAUAUUGAAUUUGAACUCACUACUUACUGGAUAGUAGCAGGUGCGUUGUAAAUCCUUCUUAAUUUGCAUAAGCAAGAGUAGAAUGCAGCAGGCAUUGUAAUAUUCUCAAUUCAUAUAUGUAAGUGAACACUCAUAUGGCCCAAAAUAUUGAUGUUGAUACCGUCGGAUGGACAUUCCGCUCAUACCGCUCGUAUAUAUGUAAGUGAACACUCAUGUUUAGAGGAAUGUAGUUUGGAAGCAACAGCAGAGCAGAAAAUAGAAACUGGUCUAACAUGCAUAUUUAUUUUCACACAAUUGAACUUUAAUAUGUUUUAAGCUAUAGAAAGAAUGUUGUGAAUUCGUUGAGAAAACCACACCAAUAAAAACUUGAUGCAUGGAGCAAAUUAAUACCAAGUAAUCAAAUCAAGCGGGUAGCAAAUAAUCCAAACAAAAACAGCAAGAGAUAAAAGAGAGAGAGAGAGAGAGAAAAACACAAGAUAUUUGUUUACCCAGUUCGGUCUAAUGAUGACCUAGUCUGGGGGAGAGAGCAGCUCUCCGAUCCACUAUAAUGAAUGAGUUUCUUUACAAAGAGAUAAUGAGUUUCAAGAAUCAGUCUUCAAACCUAAUUCUACCCAAGUCCCAGCCUCUUCCCGUGACCAAGAGACUCAAUCCUAAUAGUGUUUUGUUCAAGGUGAAUCAAAACAAUCCCAACCCUAGAGUUGUUGCCAAGAGAGAUUCUCUAUAAACCCUAGUUUGUUUGUUGGUCUAAACCUUGUUUUUCUACACACUUUUAUCAUCUGAUACAAGGCUGUAUUUAUAGUGGAAAGUAAACCCUUAAAAAACUGAAACAAAUCUAACUGAAAAAUACGUUUUAUUUUUAUAGCGACCAUCGUGGCACGAUGAGUCUUCAUCGUGGCACGAAAUUUCCAGUGUCUUCCCAGGAAUCUUGCUUCAACCAUCGUGACGCGAUGCUUCUCCAUCGUGGAACGAUACUCCAGAUUUCUGAUUUUAAGUUAACUCUCACAAUUCUCCACCUUGACUUCAAAUCAGUGAUGAUGCCAGUUUAACCAUCAAUCACCUUGCUGCUCUCUCCAGUCCUUCAUCUAUGCUUCAAUGAAGUUUAUCAAGUCCAAGCAAUGCUUGAAUCUUGAUCUUGGUAAUGAUUUGGUGAACAUGUCUGCUGGAUUGUCUUCCGAUGCCACUUUCUCUACCAUGAUCUCCUUAGUCUCAAUCAUGUCUCUGACGAAGUGCAAACGAAUGUCAAUGUGCUUUGUCCUUUCAUGAUACACCUGAUGAUUUGUCAAAUGAAUGGCACUUUGGCUAUCACAAUGUAUCUUCAUACAUCCUUGACUAAUCCCCAUUUCUCCAAUCAUACCUUUCAACCAUAUGGCUUCCUUGACCCCUUCAACAAGGGCUAUGUAUUCUGCUUGAGUUGUUGAAAGGGCUACAACUGAUUGUUGAUUUGCCUUCCAAGUUACCGCUGUACCGAACAUUGUAAACACAAAACCUGACAAAGAUUUUCUGGUGUCUACGUUACCUGCAUAGUCCGCAUCCACAUAUCCCUCCAAAGCAUCCCUACCUGGUUGUGACCUUGUAUACUUUAGACCACCUCUCAAAGAUCCAUUCAAAUAUCUCAGAACCCACUUCAAAGCUUGCCAGUGUACUUGACCCGGAUUUGCCAUAAACCGACUUAUCACACUGAUUGCGUAGGAUAAGUCCGGUCUACUACAAACCAUACCAUACAUGAUGCUUCCAACCCCACUUGCAUAGGGAGUACCCUCCACCUUGCUUUUUUCUUCAUCGGAUUGAGGACAUUGCUUUAUAGAUAGCUUAGUGUGGUGACCAAGAGGAGUGCUAACGACUUUAGAAUCUUUCAUUCUGAACCGCUCCACCACUUUCCUCAAGUACCCCUGCUGAGAUAAGAACAACUCACCUUUGUUCCGGUCUCUUAUGAUAUCCAUUCCAAGUAUCUUCUUUGCAUUACCAAGAUCCUUCAUCUCAAAUUCAUCAUUCAAUCUUUCCUUGAGCUUCUGAAUCUCUUGUAUGUCAGAACUUGCCAUAAGAAUAUCAUCUACAUAAAGGAGAAGAUAGAGAAUGACUUUCUCAUUCCUUCUCAUCAUGUAAACACAACUAUCAUAGUUGCUUCUCACAAAACCAGCCUUUACUAGGAACUCAUCAAACCGACGAUACCACUGCCUUGGACUUUGCUUCAACCCGUACAAAGAUUUCUUGAACAAACACACUUUUGUAUUGUCUUCUACAAAACCUUCUGGUUGUUGCAUAUAGAUAGUUUCUUCCAACUCUCCAUGUAGAAAUGCGGUCUUCACAUCCAUUUGUUCUAACUCAAGAUCAUACAUGUUAACAAUCGCCAUAAGUACCCUUAUAGAACAAUGUUUUACCACCGGUGAAAAGAUUUCAUUGUAAUCAAUCCCUUCCACCUGAGUAAAACCCUUUGCUACAAGUCUUGCCUUAUACCUUGGUGCUUCGACCCCUGGUAUACCUUCUUUCAUCUUGAACACCCACUUGCUUCCCACUACCCUUUGAUUCUCAGGUAAUGAAACAAGUUUCCAAGUCUGGUUCUUCUCCAAUGAAAGCAUUUCCUCAUUCAUUGCCUUCAGUCAGUCCUUGUUUUCAUUGCUUUCUAAUGCUUCCCUGAAGUUCUUUGGUUCCGAGUCUUGCAAUUCUUCAGCCGCAUUCAAAGCAUAAUAAAUAAGGUCAGCAUAACCGUAUCUGUUAGGUGGAUUGAUAUGUCUCCUCUCCCUAUCUCUUGCUAGCUGAUAGUCAGGAUUCACUAUCUCUUGGCCUUCACCCUCAUCAGGUACUGGAGUUUGAUCCUCCUCUUCCCUUUCAUCAGUGAUAGGCUCCACCUCAAACUGAAGUUUCUCUGUCCCCGUUUCUGAGCUUGUAUCCAGGUCUUUGCACUUCAUCCCCAUGCGGGUCUCAUCAAAAGUAACAUCCCUGCUUAUAAUAAAUUUUGAUUCUCCAGGUUCCAUCUUCCACAGUCUAUAACCUUUCACACCUUCAGGAUAACCCAUGAAAAUACACUUCACAGCUCUAGCAUCAAGUUUGUCUUGCCUGACAUGGGCAAACGCUAAAGCUCCGAAGACUUUCAAGUUAGAGUAGUCUGCCGGUGUCCCACUCCAAACCUCCAUAGGUGUCUUGAGAUCUAUCCCUAUUGAUGGACAUCUGUUAAUCAAAUAUGCUGCAGUACUAACAGCCUCUCCCCAGAAACUCUUGGACAAUCCAGCUCCCAACAGCAUACAUCUCACACGCUCCAACAGAGUCCUAUUCAUUCUUUCAGCAAGACCAUUCUGUUGAGGUGUGUAUGCCACGGUUCUAUGCCUCUUUAUACCUUUCUUCCUGCAAAACUCAUUAAACUGUUCUGAAACAAACUCCAAGCCAUUGUCAGUUCUCAACACUUUCAGUUUGGUACCAAUCUGAUUUUCUAUAAGUAUAUCCCAUUCCUUGAAUUUUUCAAAAGCAUCACUUUUCUUCUUCAGAAUGAAAACCCAUACUCUUCUAGAAUAAUCAUCAAUGAUAGACAUGAAAUAUGAACCUCCCCCAUGAUUCUUCGUCGAUGCUGGACCCCAAAGAUCCGAAUGAACAUACUCAAAAGGCCUACUAGAUUUAUGCACCCCCACUCCAAACUUCACCUUGUGUUGUUUGCCUAAUGUGCAGUUAUCACAAAAAUCUAGCUUGUUCAAUUUUUCAUUCCCUAGCAAACCUUGUUUAGCUAGCUCCACCAAACCCCUCUCACUGACAUGACCUAACCUCAAAUGCCAAAGUUUAGUUAUGUCCAGAGUGUCAACACUAGCAACCGAUGCAUUUGCUAUUACGGUAGAACCUUCUAAAAUAUAUAGACCUUGUAUUUUAGACCCUUUAGCCAUAACCAAUGCACCAUGAGAAAUUCUCAUCACACCACGUUCAAUUCUAGUGCAAUAGCCUAGACCAUCAAACAUGCUUAUGGAUAUUAAAUUUCUCCUAAGUUCAGGAAUAUACCUCACAUUCUUCAAAAGGAAAUCACGAUCAUCAAACAUUUUGAGUCGGAUAGUACCCAUACCUUGAAUUUUACAAGCCUUAUUAUUACCAAGGCGAACUACUCCACCUUCUUUCAGCUCUAACGUUUCAAAGUACUCCUUUCUUGGACAAAUGUGAUAAGAGCACCCAGAGUCCAAGACCCAGCUCUUUUCAGGUUACCAACUUGUCACAGUUAGUGCUCCAGCACUCUCAUAACCUUCAUCUUUGCUUGCAAUCUGAACGGAUGAAUUUCCACCUCCAUUGUCCUUUCUCUCCGGACAAUCCUUCUUGAAGUGACCUGGAUUAUGACAAAUAAAACAUUUGUACUGUGUUUUAUUGCCAUCACCCUUCGACCUAGACUUUGACCUGGAAUUCUUGCCUUUCCCUUUUCCUCUGUUCUGACUUCACCCCCUUGAGACAUUCAAGCCUUCUCCACUAUCAUCAAAGCUGCUUGGUUAACUCUUUGGUUCUCAAAGCUGCUUGAACUUCCUCCAAAGUGAUAGUGCCCUCUUUGCCAUAAAGCAUAGUAUCCUUGAAAUUCUCAAAGGACCUGGGUAAAGCACACAGUAGGUGUAAGGCUUUAUCCUCGUCUUCCAGAUUAACAUCUAUGUUCGCCAAAUCAUUAAUAAUCUUAUUGAACUCCGUCAAUUGCUCCAUUAUAGGUUUUGACUCCACCAUACGGUAAAAGUAGAGUUGUUGUUUCAGACACUGUCUAUGUGCCAAAGACUUGGUCAUGUAUAAUGAAUCAAGCUUAUUCCACAUAGACACAGCAGUAGCCCCCCUUGAUACUUCUCUCAACACCUUAUCCCCAAGACACAAAAUGAUAGCGCUGACCGCCUUAUCAUUCAUCUCCGUCUUCUCAGCAGGUGUUAGAUGUGCAUGAAGGUGAAAAACACAAGAGGGGGGGGGGGUUGAAUUGUGUUUUCUUUUUCUCUUAAAAAAUACUUCUUCUGAUAAAACUUCAGAAGCAGUUUGAUUGCUUCUGAUGAAAUGAUCAGAGUCAGAUUGCAGCGGAAAAGAACAGAGCAGAGAAAAGAAAGACAAAGACACAAGCAGUUAUCCUGGUUCCUUCCACAACACGGAAGUAGUCCAGUCCCCCUUGCACUUCCAAGGAGAUUUCACUAUAAUCACAAGAUUACAACUGCUCAAUACUUUCUAAGUAUGAGACUUCACAAAACUAUGCUCAAGCACACACGCAAGAGUCUUCCAAUGCUCAAGCACUAAGCAAGAGACUUCUAAUGCUCAAGCACGCAGGCAAGAGACUUCUAAUCAAACAAAAAUACAGAGAAUUGAGUUUGAAUUGAACACUUGAUAUACAAUCAGUGGUGUUCACAAUACAAUACAGAAAAGACUCUAGACUUUGAAUUUCUAAGAUGUAUCAAAUCAGUGCAGAAAUUCAGUGUGCUUUGUAGAAUCAAAUUGACAGAGUUUUGGCGCUUUUGAACUUAUGUAUCUAUGUCUGCAAUCUUCAAGUCUUCACUCCUUUAUAUAGAGGCGUGAAAGAGACGUUGAGAUAAUCAGCACGUCUAAAGAGUCGUUUGAAAUCCUUUGAAUAUCCACCAGUGAUCCUUUGCCUGAUUUGGGUGUAGUCCUUUGAAGAAUAAACUUCAAAUUCAUUCCCAUCUUGAGUGUACAAUUCUGCAGGCAUGGCUGUUGUUUUGUCUUGUAGCGUAGACAGAAAACAGAGUAGUGGAGGUAGUGGUUGUACACUUGUACUUUGUCAACUCUAUUAAUGAGAGGCAAGUGCUCAGUGCUAUCCAUAUAUCCGUUGAUACCUCCCUUUCAAUUCUUCGUUCUUCUUUGAUAAGACUGAAUUGAGAAUCAGCUACUUUGAAUUUUUCAGUUUGAUUAAAAGAUCAAAUGUAGCUUCUGGUGCCAACUUUUGCUUCUGAUGAAAUCUUUUGCUUCUGAUGACUUUCUGCUUCUGAUGACGUCAUCUCUUCAGGAGCAGUUUAGCUUCAGGAGCAGUUUUCUUCAGAUGCUCAGAAUUUCUUUUUCUUUCCAUUGUUCUUCCAAGACCUAUUGAAAUAACUUGAGUAGCCUUUGGUCCUGUACACUUGAACAAUUAUUAGUAAUAACCAAUUGACAAUUUUUAAUACCUUGUUAUCAUCAAAACUUAAUAAGGUUCAUUGUGAAACACAUUUUGUUCCAACAGUGCAGACAUCUGUACUUCUCCCUUUAGUGCUUCAACGCACUUUUGUUGAAUUAAGAUUGCCUUCAUCUUCACCUUCCACAACCCGAAGUCGUUACUACCGGUGAACUUUUCAAUAUCCCACUUCGAACCCAUUAUACUUGGUUAUUGACUUGACCUUUGCCCCACGGUGGGCGCCAAUUGUUGUGAAUUCGUUGAGAAAACCACACCAAUAAAAACUUGAUGCGUGGAGCAAAUUAAUACCAAGUAAUCAAAUCAAGCGGGUAGCAAAUAAUCCAAACAAAAACAGCAAGAGAUAAAAGAGAGAGAGAGAGAGAGAGAGAGAGAGAGAGAGAAAAACACAAGAUAUUUGUUUACCCAGUUCGGUCUAAUGAUGACCUAGUCUGGGGGAGAGAGCAGCUCUCCGAUCCACUAUAAUGAAUGAGUUUCUUUACAAAGAGAUAAUGAGUUUCAAGAAUCAGUCUUCAAACCUAAUUUUACCCAAGUCCCAGCCUCUUCCCGUGACCAAGAGACUCAAUCCUAAUAGUGUUUUGUUCAAGGUGAAUCAAAACAAUCCCAACCCUAGAGUUGUUGCCAAGAGAGAUUCUCUAUAAACCCUAGUUUGUUUGUUGGUCUAAACCUUGUUUUUCUACACACUUUUAUCAUCUGAUACAAGGCUGAAUUUAUCGUGGAAAGUAAACCCUUAAAAAACUGAAACAAAUCUAACUGAAAAAUACGUUUUAUUUUUAUCUUCAGCGCGAUCAUCGUGGCGCGAUGAGUCUUCAUCGUGGCACGAAAUUUCCAGUGUCUUCCCAGAAAUCUUGCUUCAACCAUCGUGGCGCGAUGCUUCUCCAUCGUGGCACGAUACUCUAGAUUUCUGAUUUUAAGUUAACUCUCACAAAGAAUUUGCCAAAAAUAUUUUUGAUUGGGAAAAAUACAAAACCUGAUACAAAAAUCUACAAAUUAAGGAGCAACACUUUUGCGAAGUCACGUUCUUUCAAAAGGAAUGUUGUUAUGCGCCAAUUGGUUUGUGAUAGAUUUUCCACAGUAGGGGUAGCGGCAUUGACAUCAAACACCACAACUUGUUAGCGCAUGUAGUUCAUAGAGCCUCUUCAAUUUCAUCCAAAGAUCUUUCUAACAUUCUUUGUUUGACUAGGAACUCACAUGUUGGCAAAUUUUCAAAAACUAUAUGUGAAAUACAUGUAAGAAAGAGUAUUGCUUAUAAACUAUAUGAACUGACAUUAUAAAUUAAUUACCUGAUCAUUUUUUUUUUGUAGAAUAGAUCAUAAUUCUAUUCAUUGAAGUUUUCUUGAUCAGGACUCCAGUCAUCAAAAAUUUCUUUUCCCUUAUUCAAAUUCAUAUUUAUGUCUUGUUCUGUCUACAAGUUCAUUCAAUCAAACAAAUGACUUACAUGCUUAGACACAAAGUUUCAAUACAAUAGUUUAUAUUAAUACUUAAAUUUUUUCUUUUUGAGGUAGUAUCUAACAAAUUGAAAACUGUUAUACUUCAUUACUCCUCCUUGUUCUGUAGACCUUUGGAGAAACUGAAGGAUUGGUUGCUAUGUGAAAAUCUAUAAGCAGAGUGAGUUUACUGAAAUAUACAACAGUUAGCUGUACACAUUUGACUUUAACUUCUGUAAGUUAUUCAAGAACAGAGCUUUUCUUAACAGCAAAAGGUACUAUACAAAUAUUUCCACAAAAAAUUUAUUUGUUACCAUAUCCAAAUUUUUAAUAAAAGACUUUAUGCCAAUUGAGUUCAUAGUGAUCAAAGUAUUUUCAAGUUAUUUCUAUAAGCUCUCUAAGAGGGCUUAUGAAAACAACUUUUAUCUUAUAUGAAAACAAUUUAACUUUAUUUUAUCUUUUGUUAUAGAAAUAACUUAUUCUGUAAGCACUUAAUUAUGGUUUUAACAAAACAGAUAGCAAACCCAUUUUGUUUGUCUGUACUCUAUAGUCGGAAGUUUUGUAUUGCAUUUGCAUGUUACUGAUUCCACAACUCUAAUGGUCCAAAUGUUACUUCACAUGGAAAAUUUCGUAGUUACAUGAGAGUGACAAUUUAAAACAAAAUUUUCAAGUGAAAAGGUAAUGUAAAAUUUUAACAUGAGAGCAUUCAUUCCCUCUUUUGCAUAGUUAUAAUUUUACUUUUGAUUAAGAAUGUUUUCUGAUAAGUAUUGGUGAAAUAAUAGAGCUAGUGUCAUAUUAAUAAACUUAUUCAUGUCAUGAAUAAGCCUACAUAUAUUUGACUAAAUAUAUAUAUCAUUUUAGGGCUGUGUUCUAAGCAUACAAAGUCUAUUGGUCAAGCUGUGUCAAAGGAGUUCACUCCGGAAAGAUGGUUCUGCCUCAGGUCGACGCAAUUGGUAAGAAUAUUAUUAUCCACCAUCACGAGAAAGAACAUUCUAGAUUAUAUCUGACCUGCAUGUUUCCAAACAAAGAACAUGAAAAUAGCUUUUUUCUUUUUCUGUUUUCAUUUGGAAGUUUUAACUUUACUUCGGUUUCUGUCUAAAUUUCUGAUAAGCUUUAGUUUUUACUUACAUUUAGCCUUCUUUAUGACAAUAAAAUAAAUGAAUCUUGCUGCUGCAGAUGUUUAUUUGGAAUGCGUAUAUAUGUAUGGAUUGUUUAUCAGCAACGCGCCUCAUGACAUGUCACCUUCUGUGGACCGUUCUCUUUUUGGAAUGUUUGCUUUGGGGUAUGGUCGUGAUCCUCCACUCACUCUAUGAGUAACUCUCGUCGGUUAAUCCGUUUCAUAGCUCUUUAGAUUUUAAUUUUAUCGAUUCAACUGUUGAAUUAUCUUAACGAAAAUGUAUAUAUUGUUUGAAAAGUAUAUUCAAGCAAUAAUGAAUACCUACAUUCAGCAAGCUUCCAAAAUGCAAUCAGUACCUCCUCAAGAAAUGCCUUUCCCUAAUUUUUUCUUUAGAUGAUUGAAACAAAAAUUGAAAUUUCAAGAGCAAAUUACACAUCAAAAUAUUAAUAUCUUUUCCGCAGCAGAAUUUCAUGUUCUUUUCUUAUGUGAACAUCUGCACAGUUAAUCAAUUAUUUGUUACAUGUACUAACAUGUUUUAAACUUUUUGUAAAAAUGUCGUCGUGCGCUUGGCUUAGUUGGUAGGGACAAUGCAUAAUACAUGCAAAAUCCAGGGUUCAAACCCCGGCCACCACAAACAAAAAACUUUUUAUAAAAAAUAUUGUUCUAAACUUUUUCAAUUUUCAAAAUAUGAUCAUAUAAAGAUAUUAACCGCAAAUGAUUGAAAGAAGUGGCCCUGCUCAAAUAACUAUGCACAAAAUUAUUAUUAUUGGACACCAUAUUUUACUAUGUCAUUUUAUUGUUGUUCAAUAGGUCCUUGGAUCGCAUAAAGGCCUCUCAACGGAUUAGGUUGUAACCUCUGGUAGUCUUUUUUUUUUUUUUUUUGCAUGUGUAAAGUUCGAUCGAGUCGUAGCUUCCGAUUGGUUUAUUUUCUCUUUAAAAAAUGUAAAUAGUUGAAGAGUUUAUUCAACAAUCAUCUUAUUAUUUGUGGUGGUUGUGUCAAGUCUUUAAAAUAUAGUGAAGAUAAGAGGAAUUGUACUUAGUUCAGAAAAAAUCUAUGGAAAUGGUACAUCGUUGAAACUUCAAAGAUGCAGCAAGUUGCAAUUUAAGUGUGCAACUAUUACUAUUCAGCAACAAUUGUGACUCUUAACUAUAUGCACAAGCUAAGUCUUCUUGAGUCUUCAUUACUCUUAACUUUCUUUCCUCCUUUCAUGCAAUUUCAUUUACAUAUUCUUUUUUUACUUUCCCUGCUUUACUUUACAAAUCAUUACUUAUCUGUUACUUGUGGUAACAUAUUAAUUUUCCAAUAUCUUCAAAAAAUAUAAUAAAAAAAAAUAUUUAAGGGAUAUUAUAGGAAAUAAUUGAAAGAAGUGGCCACAAAUAACAACAAUUCACAACAUUAUUUUUCUCUGAAACUUAUUUGACUGAGUAUGUGUCAUGUCUUCUUUUGGGCCCAUACAAUAAUAUCAUACUUUCUUAGAAAGUGUGUGUUUUGAAAUAUCAUUUACAUUCAAACCUUCAUUUAGUAAAUGCUAUAUUUUUCAGCAAUGAUAUACUCAUCAGUUAUCACAUUUAGAAAGGUUAUCAACGUAAUCUCUAGUAAAUUAUUUUUAAAUUUUAACACAGGUGAUAAGAAAAAUGACAAUAUGAUACAUUUAUUUUUAGUAUAUGAGAGGAAUUUAACUAGAAAUUGCAUAUUUGACUCACUUUCCUAAAGUAAAAAUGUAUAUACAGGAUCUGCUAUUUAAAGAUUUCGAUGCUUUUAAUUGAGUGUGUCCACCAAUCUUUUCCUUUUUUCUUUUGGCCUCAAUUAUUUUGUGGGAUGUGUCCAAUAUUAACACUGCUGAGCUUUGCUUUCCAGCUUUCAAAUUUUGUUUCUUUCCAAUAUUAACUUUUCCUAUAUGCACUCCCAACCAUUCACAAGCAAGAAAUCUGCAUCCUUCUUCAUCGACAAAACCUUUACAAGCUAAAAUAUUUGAGGGAUAUUAUAGGAAAAUUUUUUGAAGCCAUCUUACAUAUUAAAAAUGGUUUUAGACACAGAGUCAUCCUAAAAGAAAAUUAGUUUGAAACAGAACUAAUAAAUUGAACAAAUAGCUAAAAUUUUACGAGAAUGAAAGUUAAUACGUCCAACAUUGAAGCAGUCUUGCAUUUUUUUUCCCUUCCAUAAUAACAAUGAUUUGGUUGAAAAAGUAUAGUGAUUUAAAAAUGACCGUCCUUUCAAAACAAAACAAAAAAAAUUCAAGACUGCUUCAAAGUUUAUAAGCCUUGCAAUCCACCAACAUUAUUUCGGUGAAGGUAGCUCAAACUAUAUUGACCGAAAGUUUUCUACACCCAAAAUAAUGUUCACCUGGAAUAAUGUUCUAUGCAUCUUGAAACUAAUGGGAAAAUGAAUCUCGGUGGACAGCAAGGAUAAGAAAAUUGUGAGUCUCACAAAUUUGUGACAUUGUUUGUUGAAUGAGCAUUUUGUUCACAUUUUUAAUCAAGAAGUCUCACAAAAUCCAUCCCAUAAAGAAUUAAUCGAAGUCUAUCAAUUUUUGAAUACCCAAAGACAUUUUAUAAGUUGUGAGAAAUCCUAAUUGAAUACCAAUGGAUUUCGUUGCAUUGAAAAAAAAGUCUUGAUUGUCUUAAUUGAAUACUACAAGAUUUAUUUAUAUUUUAUAAAAGUUUUGAUUGAAUACCACAAGACUUUUUUAUAAUCAAAAAGUUUUUUAAAAUUCCUUGAAAUUUCAAUCCAAAACACCAUCCUUAAUUGAAUACCACAAGAUUUAUUUAUAUUUUAUAAAAGUCUUGAUUGAAUACCACAAGAUUUUUUUAUAAUAAAAAAGUCUUUUAAAAUCCCUUGAAAUCUCAAAUAGUUUCAGACUUGGUACAACUCAAAUAGUUCUUCUGAAUUUCGAAUAGUUCUCAAGAUUCUCUGUUUUCUUUUAUCUAAUAAAACUUUUGAUUAGACUGUUAUCCCAUUAUUUAAUAUUUAAGAUUUAAGUGUCAUUCUCAAUCUAAGAAGAAUCACGCUCUGUAGGAUUUGAACCUACGACAUCGGGUUUUGGAGACCCGUUCUACCGAACUGAACUAAGAGCGCUUUCUUUUCAUAAACUAUUUUUUACAACAAGUACUUAUUUUAUUUAUAUUAUGCUUUUAAUCCAGGCUUCAGACCAACCAUAAUUCAUUUGUUCCGAGGAAAUGGACAAAAGAAUAAAAAAAAGAAUAAAUGGAGAAUUGCUCUAUCUAACUGGUGACUGGUUUCAUUCAUCUACCACCAUGAACAAUACUCUUUCGCGAAUGUAAGUACAAUAUUUCUUUUUCGCAAUUUACAUUUCAAUGAAGAACUCUGACUAUGAUAUCAACAUUCUGAGCGAUACAAAAUUAAUAAAUUUCUUUAGACAAAUACAUCCAAACUCAUAUCGAGGAUGAAAAAAGUAGCGCGGAAAACUCAUAGCAGAAUCACUUGUUAAACAUUAACAGACAAUCUAUACAGAUUGAAACGUCCCUGUUUGGAUAAACAACUUAUUUUGCACCUUAUCUCAUAAGCGCUUACCAUAUAAGUGCUUAUGAAUAAGUUGAACAUGUCAUAUAAGUGCUUAUGAAUAAGUUGAACAUGUCAUAAGCGCUUACCAUAUAAGUGCUUAUGAAAAAAGUAGCGUGGAAAACUCAUAGCCAAAUACAAUUGACAUUAAUGGUUGAACCUUCCGCUCACAUCACUUGGCAUUAAUACAUAAGUUUUUAAAUAUCAUAUAGAAUCCUUAGCGAAGACUUUUCUUAAUAUUUUUUUAUUUAGAUUUGUGAAACUAAACUGAAAUUUGAAGGGCAGAGAAACACAUCAAAAUAUUAAAAUCUUGUCUCCACACCAAUAUUUCAUUUUGUCUUUCUUUUGUUAUUUGUACAUUGGAACCAUUCAUCAAUGGCUUGUUACUGAUGAUAACAUAUUGUUCUAAAUAUCCUUAAAUGAUACUCCCUCCGUCCCUUAAUACUUGACACAGUUGACUUUAUUACGCAUGUCAAUGCAUAACUUUGAACUUAAAUAUCUUGAAUAAUAUAUUAGGAAAAAUUAUGAAAAUUUGAUAUUUUGAAAAUACUCAUCGAGACGAAUCUAACGACAACUUAUAUGAUGUUAUUUAUUGAUAGAUUUUUUUAGCAAGUGUACUAAAUACUAUCGAAGUAGUAAAAAUAUCGUUCCCACGAGGACUGUGUUAAUCUCAAUCUCAAUUUAGCAAUUUAGUAAAUAUUUAGGAUGUAUAAAUUAUUUUGUUUAUAGAUUUGAUUUGAUUGCAUAAAAUUAAAUAAACAGAAAAUAAAGAUAGUUUUGGAAAAUAUAUAUGAGAGAUGAGACUAGGUCUUUUGAAUCAUCUAUGUUUCCUAAUUGGUAUACUGCACCUAUUCUUAUGAAUGAUUUUCUAGUUUCACGAUAGUUAACAAAAUAGUCCUAAUCAAUCCCUUGACUUAGAACCCUCUUCUCAAACUACAGCCCCUAAUUCCUUAGGUGGUCUAAUAAUAUUUGAAGGUGUAAGCACGUUAACCUAAUAUCACUAACAAAUGAUUAUCCAUUCCUAGACUAACCCUGUUUAUUAGAACAAUUCAAUUAUGUCUAAGUAGAAAGUUAUGGUCAGUAGUCAUUCAUUCUCACUAAAUCAUGCUUAUAUUUGAUCAGGAUAUAAAAAGCAUUAAGAACAAUUGAAUUGAAUAAAAACUAGAUUAUCAUUCACAAUAAAUAGAGUUUCAUAGCAACAUGGUUCAAUUAGGGUUACAAGGAAUAUCUCAGAUCUAAUCAAAGGAAAUUAGCUAGACAUAAUCAAAGAAUUAAACAACAUAGUAAAGAAAAUAAACCAAUAGGAUUCCGUCGUUGCCGGCUUAGCUUCUAAUUUUCUUUCAAUCGAUGUUGUUCUUUUUUUGUUUCCAUAUGCAAGCUUUUUCUUUUUCUCUCGUGCUGCGUGAAUGCCUAAUUCCUCUCUUCCAAAACGUGGCUUCUCUGUACCAAGCGUCCUCCUUUUUUUUGCUGCUCUCCUCAUAUAUAUAUAUGCCAAUAAGUAAAGAAACCUAAUUCUUCAUUUGUUUCUUUCCGUUAGUAACAACACAUAGAAGCCCAAUUCUUUUUUUAUGCUAGCGACACCUCCUGUUUUGCGAUCUUUUUGAUCAUUUUCUCUUGCUUUCAUUUCUUUCCUUGUGCCAUAUGUCCCUAAAAUCGUGUCACGAAAUAACCAUCGUAACGCGUUUUAACCAAUGUCAAAUUAACUUCAUUCUGUGCUCCAAACCGUGACACGUGACACGAUUUUGCUUUCUUCAAAAUCUUCUAUUUUUCUUGUUUUCUUUGUUGUUUAAGCUUGCUUGUGAACUCAAAAUAUCAUGAAAAUGACACUAAAAACAGUGAAUGACUGACUGUCAUCAUUUAUAUUUGUAUAUUAGUUGAAAAAUACGGUCAAAGUCAUUUAGGUUAAAAUUAAAAAAAUUUAAAUAGGUCAAGUAUUAAGGGACGGAGGGAGUAUAUUAAUAGGAAAGAGGUGGCCCUCAAUUAUUAUCAUUGGGUCCAGCAGUUCAGCUUCAUUUUGAAUAGCCAAGGGGAAAAUAAAUUUAAGGACUAAUUUAAUUCUCUUUUUUGUUUGAGUUUAUAUCGAUCAAGUCAUUAUCUCAGCAGUAAAGACAAAGAGAAUCGUAAACUUUUAUUUCUAAAACCCAAUAACUAUGGUCAUUAGAGUUUCGAACAAUUUUAAAAUACUAGUCGAUCCACAGUCAGACUAUAUAUUGAAAUGUUCCACAAUAAAAUUUAUCAUUCAAGUGUUAGCCGACCCUAGUUUUCUAGUGGGAGAAACUCCAACUUCUCUCUAAACUUUCUUUCUCCUUUGUUCAUCGAGGAGGGGUGGUUUUAGGUCAUUUUGACCUAGAAUCACCCCUCUACAUCUUUUUUCCCCUUUUCUUUCAAUCUAAAUAAGUGGUUUUCACGUCUAUCAAGUUUUUCCUUUUGUGUUUUUGUGAUUUCGUCGUCUAAGUGCGGCGUUGUGUUGUUCGUCGUCUUGUGCGGCGUUUGAUUUCGCGUUUUGUCGCGGUGUUUGCUCAGUUCCUCUUGAAAGAUCUACAUCAGUCAAUUACAAAUUCAACCAAUGAUUUGAACGAUAACGUUGCAGAUCCAGAUGCAUGAGUAUUUCGGCGACUUAAGUUUUAUCAUAUUAUUUGUAGGCAUUUUGCCGUUGUAUGCUAUUAACUUGGGUGCUGUGAGUUUGUUCGUAGAUUCACCCUUUACGUUUUUAGCUAUGUUUGUAUUUGAUGUACUCUAUCGAUUUGAAUGAAUGAAUAUCGUUUUAUUUUUGUCAAAAUUUUUUUUAUCAUUCAAACUUCAAAGAUGCCAAUUGCUUUUAAAGUGUGCAACUAUUCUUUGUAUAUCUAUUAUUUUGUCUGAUGUGGGUCCAUUAACAAGCAUUAUUUCAUUCACAUAUGAGUCUUUACUAUAUGCACAUGCUAAUAUCCUCUCGAGUCUUAACUCCUUAAUUGCAUUCACAUAGCUCUUACUUCCAAUCAUUUCUAUAACUAGUAUAUAGUGACCCGUGCCAGCACAGGGAAAUAAAAAACUUUUUUGAUCAAAUGUAUAGAUUUUAAAUUCGAUAUGAAAAAAAUAUCAUCUUAAUUUUGUAUAUAUUUUGAAAUAUCUAAACAUUGCAUAUAACGAUAAAAAUAUUUGGAUUAUUAUACUUGUACUAAUUAUUUGUAGUAUAAGAUGCACUCAUUUUUAAACUUAGCAUAUGUAAUUUUAUUGCAAAAAUACGUCGACGUACUGUGUAAUAAUAUUUGUUGACAAAAUGUAUUUUAUUAAUCAUAAAAACUAAAAAAUAUGUUUUUUUUUUUUUUAUAUAAUAGUCAUUGUCACAUGCAUACACGUAGUCGGUAAAUGCAAACGUUUAAUUUUUUACGGGUGUGUAUAAAUAUAGUUUGGGCUACAGAAACACCGAUUGUUAUUUGUUUUUAAUUUUUACAAAACAAAUGGUGUAAUGUAAAUAAUGUAUUUUAGGGUAACAAUGAUGUAAAAAAAAAAUGUUCCGCGGAUUGUUAAACCUGAAAAGUGCAUGAAUUAAUAGUCAAUGACAGGAGGAUCUGCUUAUAUAGAAAUUGCAUGUCUAUAAUGACCCGUGCCAAGCACGGGAAAUAAAAAACUUUUUUGAUCAAAUGUAUAGAUUUUAUACUAUGUUAUCUUAAAGUUAUAAGUGUUGUUAUAAUUUACAUUUGAUAUGGAAAAAAAAUAUCAUCUUAAUUUUGUUAAUUUUGUAUAUAUUUUGAAAUAUCUAAACAUUGCACAUAGCGAUUAAAGUAUUUGGAUUUAUUAUAUUUAUACUAAUUAUUUGUAGUAUAAGAUGUACUCAUUGUUAAACUUAGCAUAUGUAAUAUUUUUGCAAAAAUACGCCGAUGUACUGUAUAUUAUUAUUUGUUGACAUAAUGUAUAUUAAUCAUAAAAACUAAAAAAAAUGUAUUUUUUUUUUAUAUAAUAGUGAGUGUCAGAUGUAUACAUCUAGUCUGUGAAUGCAAACGUUAAAUUUUUUUACGGGUGUAUAUAAAUAUAGUUUGGGCUACAUAAACGUCGAUUGUUAUUUAUUUUUAUAUUUUACAAAACCAAUGGUCUAAGUUAAAUAUUGUAUUAACGAUGUAAAAAAAAAGUUCCGCGUAUUGUUAUACCUGAAAAGUGCAUCAAUUAAAAGUCAAAAGCAAGAAGAUCUGCUUAUAUAGAAUUUGCAUGUCCUGUAAUGACCAGUACGUCUUACAAAGAAAUUAAAAAAAAAAAAAAAACUUUCAAUCAAUACGCAACUUUAGUUUUCUAAAUUAUAGCAACAACAAUUCUAAAACAUAACCAAUGAUCAUACUUUUUAAAAAACUUCACGAUACACAACAUUUGUGGUCUCCUUGAAAACAUUAUUAUCUUCAUCCAAGAUGAGCAGUUUCAAACCUUUUCUAGAAGUAACUCGAGAGACAACGACAUAGAGUUGCUCAUGCGUGAACACGGGCUUAGGAAGAUAAACUCCCACUCGAGAUAAAGAUUGACCCUGACUUUUAUUUAUUGUCAUUGCAAAAUAAAACGUCAAUGGAAAUUGUCUGCGCAUGAAUUUGAAGGGUAGUCCUGGAUCACUCGGAAUAAGAUUCAUCCUGGGAAUGAAUACGUUGGUACCUGCCCUUUUUCCUGUAAUUACGGUAGCAGCUAUCAUGCUCUUCCCUAGAUGUGUAACUGUCAGCCUCAUACCAUUACACAGUCCAUUGGCCCGAUCGAUGUUUCUCAUCAGCAUAACUGGACAUCCCACCUUUAGUUUCAACCGGUGAUUUGGAAUUCCAGAGCUCUUAAUAUCAUUAAGGAAUUCCGUUGUGAACCACUUGAUUUGGACAUCAGAAUUUUCACCCGAUCAACAAACAUAAUCAAAGCUUAAAUACUCUUUCUCUUCACCUGGAAUCAGUGACAUCAUAUAUUCGUUAACAUGCUCAACUGAAUCAAGCGUUGGUGCGAGUAUUCCCCUUUCUUGGAAAAAUAGCGGGUCACCAAGGUUAUCAUUCAAAUCGAGAUACACAAAGUCUGUAAGUGACAUCAACAGAUUUGUUGCGUCUGAUAUGAGCAAAUCUUCAGGAAUUUCUACCUUCAUUUCACCAUUCUCCUCCGAAGCGUUGUUGCCGUCUCCAAUUCAUAGUAUCCACUUGCCAAAAUUAGCAAUUUCUUUCUGCUCUGUAGGUACCAAAGAUGCACCCAAUCUCAUAUUAACAGUAAGCAUUAACACAUUAAAAUAAGCUCAUAUCUUUGAUGAAUUGAUUGAUGCAUCAACAAUAUCCUGCCUCGUUCCUUUUCGGACAACAGGCAAUAUCUGCCUGAAAUCACCACCUAAAACUAUUGUCAUUCCAUCAAAUGGUUUAAACUCGUUUAGGGAAUCAUUCUUGGACAUGAUACCACACAUUGAUCGGUCAACUGCCUCAAAACACCAUCAGUGCAUCAUUAGAGCCUCAUCCCAAAUUAUCAACUUUGCAGCACGCACCAAGUCUGCCCUAGGACUAUCCUUUUCCAUCGUAAGAGAUGAUGCCUCAUAAUCUCAAUAGGGACUGUCAGCGUCAGGUGUGCGGUUCUUCCUCCUGCUAAUAGAAGAGUCACUAUACCGCUAGAUGCAACAUUCAAUACAAUUAACCCCUUCGAUCUAACAGCAGUCGACAAUGUUUUCAUAUAAAGGUUUUUCCAAUACCACUGUAACCAUAUAAGAAAAAGAAACCAUCGUCGUUAGAACCAACGGACUCCAUGAUCUUUUCAUGCACAUAUCUUUGUUCAUCAAUCAGCAUCAGUAACAUAUCAGCAUGUGUCUUUUCCAGUUCAUCUUUGUUGUAAUUUAGCUCAUCAACGAUAAGCUUGUUUGUGAAAGUUGGCAUGUCUGCUGCGUUUUGUAUGGGUAUGGAUUUGAUGUCAGUAAGCGACUGUUCGUUUUCCUGAAGCAACAUUUCAAUUUCAAUCAAACAAAGGUUCUUCAAGUCAUCGUCACCGAUACGCAGAUCUGUAUAUUAAAUGUAAAGUCACGAAAUUAAUAUUAACACCUUUGCAUGCAUUUGUGUGCACGUUGAAGAGAAAGAAAAAAUAUUAGCUUUAUAUGAGAAUCCUUUAUAUUUAAACUUAUCAGCCUAAAAAAUGUAGAAAAUGUUGAAUGGUAUCGUAGAGUUAUUAACUCUUAGUUUUUUCUUUACUAUAUCCUAAAAAAAGUACCUUUUAACUACUUAAACUACUCUAAUCAGCCUUUACUAUAUCCUAAAAAACACACCUCUCGAAAACAACCCUGUCAUCAAGGUUGGAAUGUGUUAAAUUUCUUAAUGUGUAAUAGUCUUCAUAUGUAUCACCCUUAUCCCUAAUUUUUAUUAGUGAAGUACUGUUUUGAUUCUCACUUUAAUUUGAACUAUUUGGUUCCACCAAGAUAUUUUACUCCUAGCUAGGUCCAAAACCUAUUAAUUCUUCUAGUGUCUCUUUUGCUACUUUUCUAAUCUCAUAUGUCAUCUUGUUCCACGUAUCAUUUUCACUUAUAUGUAGCUUCACACAACCUUCCUUCAAAAUCUUUUGCAGGAAAACACUUUGGUUUUGAUCCUUUAAAUGUCACCACUUGAUCCUUGUUUCUCAAUCAUGGCCUCUCAUCUUCGCUCUUAUCUUAACCCUUACAUCCAUAACCAAUACUAUAUGUUGGAUGAUCAAACUCUCCAUGUAAAACUUUAAAUUCAAACAAAUAUUUAUGUCAUAAUUCCUAAUAAGAAAUAAAUCUAUUUGAGAACAUGAAAUCCCACUCUUGUAUGUAAUAAAUUUCCUUUUUAUUUUCCUAAAGUAAGAUUAAAAGACAACAAAAAAAUCUAGGACGAAUUUACCCAAUGCAUUUAUCUCCCCUAGGCUAUACCCUCAUUCAAGCCUUUAUAACUUAUCAAGCACUUCUUACAUGCCCAUUUAGAUCCCCUCCUAGAAAAACAUUUUCUCCUUGUGGUAUAUCUUGAAUUUAACCUUUCAAAAUUUAACUUUAGAAUAUUCUUCCAAAUCCACCUAAGAUGGAUAAACACUCAUAACAUUAAAGAUGUCUUAUUUCCUUUAAAAAAUAAAAAAUAAAGAUGUCUUAUUAAACUUAAAAUUUGUAGGAUACAAUCAAAUCUCACAUCCUCUUUACAUCCACAAUAUCCUUUUUCAAUUCCUUAUCCACAAUAAUGCCUACAUCAUUUCUCGAUCUAACUUUUCCAGUUUAUCAAUUUGAACUAUCUAAUUCUUUCGUCUUUUCACCUACCCACAUAGUUUUUUGCUGGCACAUAAAAUUAAUCUUCAUUUUAGUCAUAGCGUCAACUAUUUCCAUAUAUGUGAUCUCAAAAAAAAAAAAAAAACUAUUUUCAUAUAUGUUCAAGUAAGAGUACCUUUAUUCCAUGUUCUAAAACGGAUUAUACUCUCAUUAACUAACUUCUUUACCCACACUCGUUCACAAAGAUGUGGAGACUCUUGCUUAUUUUUUACUGCAUUCAGGCAGCGAUGUACCCAUCCUUGCUCAUUUAACUUUGUAUUUGAGCUAUACAACGUGUUUCUUCUACGCAUUGACCCAGUUUCACACUAUUAUAUACUUGGUUCAUAUAUGCCUCAUUAAUAUCAAUAGGGACUGUUAGUGUCGAGUGCGCGGUUCUUCGACCUGGUAAUAGAAGAGCCGUUAUACCGCUGAAUGCAGCAUUCAAUAUAAUUAAUCGAUUAAAGAACAGAAAAUGUGAACAAAUUAAUCUCGGGAGCGUAAAGUAGCCGCUGCUCCCCCCAAUAUUUUUUUUCUUCUUUCGUAUACUACUACAAAUGCAGCACUCAACCGCUCACCCUUUGCGACUGUGAACAUGUUAUCUCUCAUUAAGCCUACUUCUCAAGUCACUACGUAAUUGUAGCAUAAUCUCCAUCACGUGAAACGAUCACGUCGUAGUGACACUUUUUUAUUUCAAUGUAUUUUAUAUGACAUGAACACUAUAUAAAUAUUUAAAUAUUUUAUGUAUGUAUAAUACUGAGAUUUGGUUAAUCCAUUUUUAAAUUUUCGCUGCUCAUGAGCAAGAUCCGCCACUGGUUGUUAGAAUAUUAUUCUGUUUCAUCCAAAAAGACAGGUCAUAUAACCUUUUUGACAAAUAUUCAUCUAAAUUUGUUUAAGAAAUCUUCAGGGUUAAUUGUUGUCAUGUAACAUUUUUAAGAAAGCUUCAUUUUAUGUUAGAUCAUUAAAACAGAUGAUUGAUGUAUAAAGUGAAAGAUUUACUCGCAACGUCUCAACAAAAUCAAUUCCUUAACUCAGAUUUUCUUGUUUGGAAUAAACAGGGACAUAGAUGAAAACUCGGAAUACAAAACAAUUGAGAUGAAUGAAUAGCUUUGGGAAAGAUUAAUGUAGGCAAUUUUCUUGUUUAAAUUCACAUAUGGCAAUUUCUCUUCGGGAAAGAUUGGCGCACAUAAACUAAUUUAUUGAAUAGCUUUUUCUGUGUAAAUAGUUAAGAAUGAAAUCUCUUUUGAAUUGCAAUCUCCCAAUUAUAUUGUAAAUGUUUAAUGUCACGGUAUAAAACAAUAUGAAAUUUAUUGACACAAUAUUUCAAGUACUACCAGAAAAUUCCCCCCUUUUUUUUUCUUUCUUUUUCUAGACCACAAAAAGGCCUUGUAUUUUUUCGGUACAUCAAUCAAUACUUCACUAAAUAUGAUAAAACCAAAAAUAUUCUAUUUAUGAAAACUUAAUAGAGAAUUUCAUAUCUGAUAUAACUUGACAUUGCAAAUAAAUUACACAUCAUCAAUGAAUCUUAGGCCUAAUACGAAAAGGUAUCCUUAUUGUGAACGCUUCGAGACGAUGACAAACCCUUUUUGCAAAAGGUUGAAGAUUAGUACAUCACCCUUUUCGAGACGUAAGCUUUUCAGGAUAUAUUAACCUCACAAGAACGGUACAACUUGAGGGUCCACAAAGUUUGAGAUAUGUAAGACAUGUUUCUUUCAGGAAUUCUCCAAAAAUAAAAUCAUAUAGAAUCUUCUAAGACAAUAAAAGAGAAUAUAUUAGUAAUUCAGGUGGGUCGAUAAAUCAACUAUUACGAAGAAACCAAUUAAAAAAUGUACUCCCUCCGUCCUAAAUUAUAAGCAAAAAAAAUUCAUUUUCUUUGUCUCAAAUUAUAAGCAAAAAAUACAACUUUUAUCAUAUUUAAUUAUGUUUUUUCAACAGAUUAUCUUUUCCAAAGGAAAAUUAAAAGCAAAGUGCAUUCAAUUUGCUCUAUUUUUCAUUUUCUCUAUAAUCAACUACCAAUGAAAAUUGUUUUUACAUCUUCCUAUAAAACUUAUUUCAAAGAUAAUACAAAAAAUUAUGUUACAAACUACUAUGUUUUAGUUUUCUUAAUAAGUGUGAUUUUUAUUUUUCUUAUAAUAUGGGACGGAGAGAGUAUUAAAAUAAAAAAUCUUAACCAUGGGUGAUGAAGUUGCAUUACGACCAGUAAGAUGGCAGAACUGUGGUUAAAAGAAUAGAAACAAAAAAAAUAAGACUGAAAAAAAAUAAGACAUAAUAGAAAAGGGGAUAUAAAAAUAUGAAAAAAAAAAUUAAGUUAAUCAACCUUAUUGUCCAUUAGAACCAUUUCUAAGGAGAAAGGAAGUUGGUCAUUUUUCAUAUCUGUCACAAACCAAAUGCGAACGACUCGAACCUGAUAUUUCAGUUUUCUUUGUAAUGGGAUAUAUCAGAGAUCAAGUCAAUCUUUGGGGCCAUUUCGAUUUAAUGAAGAGACACAAAAAGUACGCAAAGAAAAAGAAAUAAAAUAGAGAGACAACUGUAAAAUUGGAGUUGUGGUGUGAGAAAAAUGUUUGUCAAUACAAUUUAUAAUAAUUUUUAGAGGACAAUGAUGUAAAAUAACCACAUUCAAUUCGAUAAAUGAUAUCAAUCUGCUUGUAGCCGAAAAUAAAAAUUCAAUAGGUCAUUAGGUUAUUUAUUUUUUUUUUUUGUGUUUGAUUGCAUCCUUUUUUUUUUUUUUUGAUUAAGUGUUGGAUUGCAUCCUAAAGUUGCUCAUUAAACCACACAAAUCAAAAUCAAUAGGUUAUUUAGUUUUAGAAAGUUUUCAUCCGAUUUUAAUAUCAAUAAAUUCCAAAAUAUUGUAGCCGAAAAUAAAAAAAUCAAUGGGUCAUAAUGUUUUAUUUUUAUUGCUUCAGAUUGCAAAUAAAGUUGCUCAAUAAACCACACAAAUCAAAAUCAAUAGGUUGUUUAGUUUAAAAAGUUUUAAUCUGAUUUUAAUCCCAAUAAAGUCCAAAACCUUUUUUUUUUCCGGUCAAAUAAAAAAGCUACACAUCUAUGAGAAAAAUAUACAAUUUGAUAAGGUAUCAAUCGAUCAAUGUUACAAUAAAAUUUUGUAUUAGAUAAACUAUUAUUAAAUUUAUAUAAUAUAGAUUUUACUACUUAAUAAAAAAAAAAUUACGGAUUGGCCAAAAAAAAUCAAUUUGAUAGGGUGUCAAUAGGUUAAUGUUGCAAUAAUAUUUUGUAUUAGAAAAAUUAUUAUUAAAUUUAUAGAUUUUAUUGGUUCACAAAAAAACCAAUUUGAUAGGGUAUCAAUCGGGCAAUGUUACAGUAAUAUUUUGUAUUAGAAAAAUAAUUAUUAAAUUUAUAUAAUAUAGAUUUCAUUAGUUCAUAAAAAAAGUUUAUGGAUUGGAAAAAAAAAUCAAUUUAAUAGAGUAUCAAUCGGUCACUGUUACAACAAAGAAUUGUAUGAUUACAAUGAUUUUGAGAUGACACAAUAUACAAUUAUAUUGCACAAUUAUAUCGCCCAUUUUUGAUGGAUGAGAAACCGUUGUGAAAGAAAAAAAAAUAAAAAUGGAUUGAUUUGAUUUCGGCUUAUGUGGCCAAACUUUGAUUUGAUUUAUGUUUAAUGCAUAUGAUUUUUUUUUUCUUGUGGUAAAUGCAUAUGAUAUUUUAGCAAUUGCAUGAAAUUUAUUUUGAGCCAUCUUUAUUCUUCGUAAGAUAAAACCAAAAUGAUGCGAUCAUGUUUUUUGAAUAAAAUCUUAGAGAAGCAUUAACAGUAGAAUAAUCAAUAUAUAUUCUUUUUUUUUUUUUUGAACAAAUCAAUAUAUAUUCAUUUGUUUAUAUUGUUGAUUACAAUUGUUAUAAAUAACCAAUUAAGAUGUUUAAGCUUAUGAUACAAUCUUUACAUUUUUUAUUUAUACAAAUAAUUGAAUCAUACGAUAUAUAUAUAUAUAUAUAUAUAUAUAUAUAUAUAUAUAUAUAUAUAUAUAUAUAAGAUUUAAAAAAGAUCAACUAUAUGAUUCGACCAUUGAUUCUUUAAAUUUCUUUAUGCAAAUGGAGAUAUUGGGAACGUAUGUGAAUGGAGAUACCACGAACUAAUUCAAACAAACUAUCGACUAUAUAAAAAAGAUCUAAAAACAUAACAAAGUCGAAUGAGAAAUAUCAGACAUGAAAUUAAUUUUCGGUGUUAUUUGGAUUGUAUAGAAAUAAGAAGAAGAAACAACAAAUAGAAACAACAAAUAGAGUUGUGAUGUGAAAAAAUUGUUAAACCAUAGGUCUAAUUUAUAGUAAUUUUUACAGGAUAUUUUGGUAAAAUGACCACAUAUAAUUUCAAAUAUUCAUUAAUUUCACUUUUUUUUUUUGUCUUGCUUUAACUUUUUUCUUUUUUUCGGUUACUUUUAUUGCCUCACCAUUUACAUAUGGACGUUUCCUUAACUGUUUUUUUUUUUGGCUUUUCAUCCAUUUUUGAUUUUUUUUCGGUUACAACUUUGCCUCUCAACAAAUCCUCACAUUUAUAUCACUUUGAUUUUUCCCUCAAAAAAAAAAUCACUUUGAUUUUGGAAAAAGAGAAAACUUAGGUACAGUUCCUUAGGUGCUUUUCAUAUGGUUCUUAACUAAAAAUACAUAUUUUUUUGGAUAUAACAAACUUUGAGAAAAUUAUGGAUUUGAGAAAAUUGAAUUUAGUUAAGAACCAUACGAAAAGCACCUAAGGAAUUGUACCUAAAUUUUCUCCUUUGAAAAAUCCGUUUUUGAUUGUAAGUUUUUAUAUAGUUGACUAUCAAAAUUAGAAGUUUUUCUUCUUCUUUUUUUUUUUGCCUCAAUAAAUAUUUCUUUAAUUUUUUUCCCUAUUGUUAAGGAAAUCAAAACAUAUCGUGUUUAAUUGUUUUAAUGCAAUUACAUAUAAAAUAUCUUUGACAUAGUUUUAAACAAAAUAUAUAUUUUUUGAAUAAAUUAAACAAAUAAAUUGUAUCACAUUAUUAUUAUUAUUAUUAUUAUGAAAAUAAAAAUUAAGAUAUUGAUUUCAAUGAAAAAUAUGAUGUUAUUUAAAAAAAAAUUAAAAUUGUCUGACAAUAUUAUUAUUAUUAUGAAAAUAAAAUAAAAAUUAGUUAAGUUCAUUAAUUCGUUAAUUUUAUUAAUUCAUAAAAGCAUAAAAAUGUGAAUUGGUUAAAAAGAAACAUGAGUUGAUAAGGUUAUAUUAUUUUUCAAUUUUUUUUUGUUUGGUUUAAAGCUUAUAUAAGCUAUAUUAAAUCGUAUUUUUAUUAUUUGGCAUAUAUCAAUUAUUUGAUCUCUUUGACAUUAAAAUAUUUAAAUUUUAUUAUUUGUUUUAAUAUAAUAUCUGAAAUUAAAUAUUUAAAUUUAAAAUUAUUUGAUUUAAAUCUGUAUUAUUUGAAUUCAAAAUGUUUGAUUUUUAAUUUAAUAUGAAAUAUUAGAAAUAAAAUUGAAUUUGAAUUUGAAAAACUUCCUUUUAUUCAUAAGCAUUAAAUACAAAUUUGUGAGGAUGAAUGUGGUGAGAGUAUUUUGUGAGGAACAAUAUGAUGAGAGUAUUUGUAAAAAAGAAAGGGACAUAUGACAACACCAAAACAAUAGUAAUUCAUUUCCAUAAAAGUCUAUGAAAUGGAUCCUAAAUUUAUAUUAUAUAGAUUCAAUCUCCAUAGCUCUUAAUUACCUUCAAAAUUUUGCUAUUUACGUGUGCAGCUUUAUCAACAAAUGAAUUAACCACAUAUUUAAUAACAAGAUGUCCAAGAUAUUUCAAAGAUGCAAGUUGCAAUUUAUGCGUGCAACAUUUCUUUGUAUAUUUACUAGUGUAACGCCCCGUGCCAAGCACGGGAUACAUUUUAUUUAAAUUUUUUUAAUAUGAUUUAAAUUUUAACAGAUUUUUUAAAUAUUAUUGUUUUUGUUUCUUUUCAUCCAUAAUUUUGGCGUUAUGUGGUAUUUUAUCUUUGUAUUUAAAAUUGAACAAUAAAUAAUCAUUUAUUGAGAUCAAAAAGUUAAAUUUUAUAGAUGACUAUUUUUGUGAGAGUGAUAAAAUAAUCAACAAAAGUACAAUUAAACCCAAAAGAUAAAAACACUAUAAAUAAUUAAUAUAUUUCUAAAAAAUUAACUAAUUAGUAAAUGGAUAUGAUUACCUAUGGUUAGCUUUGGUUUGUCAGUCAUUCAAUAUAUCAAAUGGAUAUGAUUACCUAUGUUUUAAUUUUUCACUCUUAAUAAAAAUAUUAAUUUUUUACUUAAUCACAAUGAUCUCUAUGAUCGCAAUUAUAAAUAAAAAAAAACCUAAAUUCAAAAUUUUAGUUACAUCUAUUAUUUUUAUUGGUUUCAUAAAUAAUAUUCAUUGACAUUAUUUUUUUAAUUUAUCAAAAUAAGCACAUUUUUGAAUAAAAUUUACCUCAUAAAUAUAUGUAUAUUUUGUAUUUCAUUAAAAAAAAUUGAAUUUUUAUGUUAAAUUUUGAAUAUAAAAAAAGCAUUAACAAAUCAUGUUUGGUUUUAUAUUUGUGAACAAAAAAUAAGUUUAAAACACAAAAACAAUAUUUUUAAAAUAAUAGGUUAUCGCUAAUUAUUCACACUUAGGGAAACUUAAUUUUUGUAUUUACUUUAGAAUUUGUGUAAAGUUUAAGACAUAAGUAAAUUGUAAAUAUGGAAACUGUAUAUUUUUUUUAUUGAAGUGUCAAUACAUGCAACAAAAACAAUUUGUUCAAUUGAAAUUGAAAUUCCCAAGACAAUAAAAGAGGUGCCCUGCAUCACCAUACAAAAUAACAUUAUACCAAAAGGUGUACAAACUUUACCAAAAUAGAUCUGUAAUAAAAAAUAAAAUAAAAAAACCGUAUUAACAUUCUUCAACUCCUCAAUAGUGGUCCUAGGAGUAAGUAAGAGAAACUCCUCAUUUACAGGUAUGUGAGAUGAAUUUGGUAACUGGAUCAAUCCCGAUGCAGGAGAGUUUGUAUUUGCAUUAAGAAAGAGUAAAUAGUCAAUUUCCCCCCUGAAAUUGUAAAUUUCAUCAAUUACCCCCUGAAAUUAACAAAACUUCAAUUACCCCCCUGAAAUUUCACAACGUUAGUCAAUUUACCCCUUCCGUCAAAUUUUUCUGUUAGUGAACAUGACGUUUUGCAAAUACCCCCCUGAAAUUUUGCACUUAUGUGCAAAAUGCCCCCAAACUUAAAAAUUUAUAUUAUUUUUUUCUUAAAAACAAAACAAUUAAUAGUUAAAUAUUAAAACUAACUAUUAAUUUUGAAAUUUGGGAAAACUACAUGCAUAUAUACAUCAAAAUAGGCUCCAAAAUGGAAAAAAAAUAUGUAUUUUUUAAAGUGACAAUAAUGGGAUGAUUUGUGGAUUAAUAUUGAGGGUUGUGUAGUUUAAAUGGUUUGAGCAAAUUGUUGAAGGAGUUGGAGGAGUUAAAAGACUAAGAUGGUGAAGGAGAAAAUAUAAAUUUAAAUCUGAUUAUUAAUUUGUUUAUAAACCUCUAAAAAUAAUAAUUUGUCUAUUAGAAAUAACUAUUAUUGUCACUUUAAAAAUACACUUUUUUCCCUAUUUUGAUGUAAAUAUGUAUGUAGUUUUUCCAAACUCCAAAAUUAAGAGUUAGCUUUAAUAUUUAACUAUUAACUGUUUGUUUUUAAGAAAAAAAUAAUAUAAAUUUUUAAGUUUGGGGGGCAUUUUGCACAUAAGUGCAAAACUUCUGGGGAGUAUUUGCAAAACGUCAUGUUCACUAACAGAAAAAUUUGACGGAUGGGGUAAAUUGACUAACGUUGUGAAAUUUCAGGGAGGGUAAUUGAAGUUUUGUUAAUUUCAGGGGGGUAAUUGAUGAAACUUACAAUUUCAGAGGAGAAAUUGACUAUUUACUCCCCUAAGAAAGCUAUAAUAAAAAGUAUCAAUCAAUAAUAUUAUAACUUAAGAAGAAAAAAUAUAUAUACCUUUUCCUUAGUUCCUUUGUUUCACCAAUUUCAGGAUUGAAUGUGAUUCUAGUGGAAGAAAAUGCAUUUUGCAAUGCUGGUUUUCCUAUCAUUAAGAUUCAAAAGUAUAUGAAUCAAAUAUAUAUAUUCGUAUAAACAAACAAUCACAAUUGCUAGUCAUAAAUUAUUACCUUAAAACAAUUUAACUUUUGUCAACAUAAUGGCUACAACAACAUUUUGAGAUUCAUCGGACGAUAGAAAAGAGUUCAACUCUUCAACAUACUCUCCAAAAAGAGUACAUUUAAAACGGUACCUAUUUAAAAUUGUCAAAGAUUAUACAAAUAUUAAUAAAAAUACUAUAAAAUAGGUCUUAAAAAAUUACAAUUACAAAAAAAAAAAAAAAAAAAUCAAACCUACCCAUUUGAAUCCAAUUCAAUGACAUUCAUUUUAGUUUUUACACCAUCUCUUUCGUACUCUCUUUCAACUCCAACUCCAAUCAUGACUCCAAUUACGUCUGCAUAUAUAACACACAUUAAAAUUUCGAUCAAAUUAUUAUUUAUUAUUAAAAGAAUAUAACGUACAAUUGAAUCAUAUUAAAUAAAACAUUUUAUUAAUUCAAUAUAUAAAUUAUUGUGUUAUUUUUGUAAGAAAAAAAUAAUAUUUAAAAAAAUCUACAUGAAGAAAAUUAUAGUCACUUACCAACUAAGUAGUUGUUGUCGUAAGAUUCAUUGAAAACAUCAGGUGUAGGUGUAAACGAAUACACGUUUAUUGGGACCAAAACAGUUUUAGAUAGUUUGACUUUUGUGAAAUUCAGUUUGUAUUCGUUGCGUGAUGGUCGAUACGGACCACUGUUUGCUAGCAACAUCAAAUGAGGAAAUCGUGAACACCAUUCCCUCUUGGAGUUGCUCCUUGAACUUGUAGAUCAAUGUUCUUCGUAUAGACGCACCAAUUUGAUCACCCUAGAUAAAAAAGAUGAGAACACUAUACUUUAAACAAAAAAAUACUAAAAAAACAAAAAAGAAAAACGAUAUGAAAAAGGUACCUUUUGAUCAAUUAGAACAAACUCCAUGGAAAAUGGUAGUUUUUUAUUUUUGUAGUCUUGACCAAACCAAGCACGAACAACCCUCACAACCAAUGUCCACGAUUGUUUUCUUGGCGAAACAUCAGAGAUGAAGUCGUGUUUCGUAGACAUUUUCAUUUGCAAUAGAAAAAUUACAGAAAUAGUUUAGAAUAUAGAUAUCAAAGCACCAAAGAACAGAAAACGAAAAACUAUAUUUUGUGAUUGUUGUGUACUCAUACCCAAAAUCUCUACUAUUUAUAUAGAAAAAUAGUACCAUAACGGUUAAUAUAAAUUAAUUAUCAAUUUAACCGUUUUAAAAUUAAUAUUAUCAACGUCUUUAAUAUUAUAAAACGUGCAUUAAACGAUUAAAUUAUAUUUCAUGUAACGUACAAAAAAUUAACUUCAUAACAUUUGAAAUUUAAUUUGAUAUUUAUUAAGAUCUUAUAAAUUAUUAUGUAAUAUAGUUUUGUAACAAACAAAAAUUAAUUAUAUAACCUUAAAAACUAAUUAAUACAAUUAAUUUUUUAAUUAGUAGGUUAAUGCCUUAGUGUAACGUCCCAAAAUUCAAAAUAUAAUUUAUUCAGUUUAUUUAUUAUAAUUUUAUAACCAACCAAAUUUUGAAUGUUACAUAUAAAUGUUAAUUGAAUACUAAUUAGAUUAAUAAUUAUUUGAUUUGUAACGUUCAAAUUUUUAUUGUAAAAUAUAAAUUUUAAUCGAAACAGUAAUUAUAUUAAUCAUUAUCUGAUUGUAACCAACUAUUUACUUUAUGUACAAUUUAAUGUUAAAUAAAAAACGGUUUUUAAUAAUAAUUAAAAUUAUUAAGGUUGUAUUAAAAAUUAGGAGGAAUUUCGGGAACAUAUGCCAAGUAGGCUUUUGAUGAGAUGGACAUCUUUAAAGGAAAGGAAUUUAAAAUAGGCUAUUUCUAAGAACUCUAAAUUGUUAGUAUAAAGAUUAUUUUGUCAGAUGGAGUUCCAUAAACCAUUAUUGAGCCAACAAACAAGUACUAUUAUUAGUUAUUACAACCAUUGUUGAGCCAACAAACAAGUACUAUUAUUAGUUAUUACUACCAUUAUUGAGUCUUAACUCCUUAAUUGCAAUUACUACUAUAUCCUUGAAUCUUCAUUGCUCUUAACUUUCUUUCCUCCUUGAAUCUUCAUUGUGGUAAAUAUUAACUUUCAAAUAUCUUUAAAAAAUAUCAUAAAAAAAUAUUUAGAAGAUAUUAUAGGAAAUAAUUGAAAGAAGUGGCCUCAUAUAAUAAUAAUUCACAACAUUAUUUUUCUCUGAAACAAUAUUUGACUGAGGAUGUGUCAUGACUUUGUUUUGGUAGGUGGCACACUUUUAUUGACCAUUGAUAUAUAACAUUGAUACUUUAAUGGUACACAAGUGGAAUCCGCAAUAAUAUCAUCUCUUCUUAAAAAGUGUGUGUUGUUAGGAAACAUGGCAUCCAUGAAAAGAAGGAGAGAAAACUAACAAACUCUUUGUAUUGAUGGAAAUGAAAUAUUACAAAUGAGUGGAAGUAACCCUCUAAUAAGGUGGUUACAAGUUAUUUAUACUACUUUCUACUCACUACUAGAACUAAUAUGCCACUAAUCUCUAUUUCUAAUUUGUGUUUUGAAAUAUCAUUUACGAUCAAACCUUAUAUUUAGUAAAUGCUAUACUUUUCACAAUGAUAUACUCAUCAGUUAUCACAUUUAGAAAGGGUUAUCAACAUAUUAUAGAUAAGAAAGGUUAUCAACAUACUCAGAUAUAUUUAUUUUUAAUUUUAACACAGGUGAUAAGAAAAAUGACAUAUGCUACAUUUAUUUUUAGUAUAUGAGAGGACUUUAACGAGAAAUUGCAUAUUUGAAUCACUUUCCUAAAGUAAAUAUUAACCACUGCUGAGCUUUUGCUUUCCAGCUUUCAAAUGUUGUUUCUUACCUAACCAUUGAAAAACAAUGUUAUCCAUUCAGAUAAGUGUUCUUGAGUCUACCCUUUACUAUAUGCACUUCAAGCCACUCAAAAAUAAGAGAUUUAAGGUUUGGAGUUGGUUACGUAAAGUGAAUGUAUUAGUACACUAAACGUCUAUAGUACUCUACAGGAAUUUCUUGUAUUUUUUAUUUUUGACUAAAAUUGAUUAUUAUUUGCUUGCGAAAAAGAUUAGUGAGAUAACAAAAAAAGAAAAUAUUUUGUUAUAUUUUUUGAUUUGGAAAGACGAAGUCUUUUGCCUCCGUACCCGCGAAGGAUUAAAAUCACGUAGUUCGGGGUAAAAAGUCGAGUGAUUUGUUCGAUGUUUUUUAAUCGUUUUUGAAAAGGUUUUAAAAAAUAAAAGCCAAAAGGCAAAAUGAAAAGUUGUUUAGUGUUUUUUCAGUUUUAAGAAAAAAGUUUAAAUAUGUUUGAAAUAGAUUAAAGUUUUUAUUAAAGAAAAUAAAAAAGGGAAAUUCCUUGAUAAGAAUCAAGGGUUUUUUAGAAGAAAAAAAAAAUAGUUCUUUUUUUUUUUAAAUUUGUUUUGCGACUACUUGAAUAUUUUAUUGAUUUUUCAAUAAAAGCCUAAAAGAAAUAAAAAUUGAAAAUAACGACGAUUAACGCGCGAGGAAACCGUAAACUACCUAAUAUGAGAAAGUGAAGUUUUUGAGUCCUAAGUACCAAUAGAUGACUAUUGAAUCCAAUAUUGAUAAGUCUAUUUUUGAAAUUGAGUAGUUGUGAUCAGCAUUAUUGGAUCCAUACAGAACUUUUCAAAAUAUGGAUCAAUCAUUUUGAGUGCCAAAGACUAUCAAAGUCUAUGCUUUUCAACUACAUUUUUAUAUGUGAAUCAAUCAUAAUUUUUGUAUCAACUACAUGAAUCAACCAUAAUUUUCAACGUGAGUUGAAUUAAUUAUCUAUUCAAUUGAAUUAACCACAUUUUUAUACAUGACUAACUAGGUGUCGUAAGUGUAUGACAAAAUAUGUGCAUGAGGACUAAUAUCUUCUUUGGAAUAUAAAAGUUUACGGUCUUCAUAUUGUCACUGGCCAUAGAGUCAAGAGGAGGACAGUGAGGUUUUAUUUCUAGGCGAGUUUUGGCAUUGGGCAAUUGUCAAAUUGUCCUAUUUUAGAUCAAUUUUAUUUUAUUUGCUAUUAGUUGUACAUCCUGAAUUUUUAUAUUCCAAUUUAUAACCAUAUUCAAUUAUAAUAUAUUAGUUUUAAUUUUAAUUUAACGGAGACUAAAAUAUUUUGAAGGGACAAAAAUGUCAUUAUUUAUAAGAAUUAAAAACAAAUUUAGUUAUAUUUAUAAGCACCAAAAAUAUAUUUAACCCUAAUUAAUAUUAAAAAGUUUUGUGGAUGGGAUUAAUAUUAAGAUACAAACUAAAUUUAUUUCUUUACAAAUAAUGUAGUAAAUAUAUAUUUACGCCAUAUUUUUUUUAGCCUAGAUUUAAACAUGUCUAUGUUUUCAAAUUUAAAAAAAAAAAGUUUUCAAAUUAAAAAAUCAUUGAGAAUGAGCUGGACCUAUUAGAUUUUUAAACGGAAGAUUAAAAAAUAAUGUAUUUACAAAUAAAUUAAUUUGAGUCAAAUUAUAAUUGAGUAAGGCUAUAAAUUAGAAAUUUUUUUUUUUCUAAGGAACAUGAUCAUUAGAGUUUUAAAUAAUUUUGAAAUAAUGGUCCAUAAACCACUAAUGAUCUUUGCCGACAAACAAGCAUUAUUACUAUUACUAUUCAUUCACAUGUGAGUUUUAUUGAGUCUUACCUUUACCAUAUGUACUGCAAACCAUCCAAAAACAGUACUGUUGUCGGUUCAUUCAUAUGCUAAAUCCUCUUCAGUCUUAACUCCUUUACCAUAUCUCUAAUACGAUGUCCUUACUUAACAAGGAUCACUCCUUGUUAAGGACACUCAUUGGAAGAAAAAAAAACGAGUCUCCGUUAAGGAACAGACAACUAUAUAAGAAUCUUUCUUUUCCUAAACAACUAACGGAUCCUACGUUUAAAAGAAGUAAUAAAAUAUGCACUAUUUAGUCCCACUUAUAAAAAAGUAAUAUUUUUCAGCAAUCAUAUACUUAUCACCAAAUGAUUAUUACAUUUAUCUCUUUUGUUGGGUAAUACUACAUUUAUAAACACAUUCUCAAUAAUAUUUCAUUAUUUUUUAAUUUUCACACAGGUGAUUAGAAAACUGAUAGUAUGAUGGUAAAGGAAUAAAAGUGUACAAUUAAACCGAUUUGAGUGUGCAACUUUUUCUUUUGCUUUGUAUCAAUUAUUUUGAGGGAUGUGGGUCCAAUAUUAAACAAUGAUGACCUUUGCUUUCCAGCUUUCAAAUUUUGUUUCAUACCCAACAAAUCAACCAUUCAUUCACAUGCAAUUAUUUCUAUCAUUCAAUCUUCAUAGUUCUUAAUUUCCUUCAAAAUUUCAUCUAAAACUUUUAUCCUUGCUGCUUUACUAUAACCAAUCAGAGAUGGCUGCAGCUUUGGUUGGAGGUGCGUUUCUGUCUGCUUCUGUUCAAACCUUAAUGGACAAACUAACUUCACCUGAGUUUCGUGAUUAUUUCACAAGAACAGAGUUGAAUGAAUCAUUGAUGUAUGAGAUGGAAACAAGUCUACUUACUCUUGAGGUUGUACUAGAUGAUGCAGAGGAGAAGCAGAUCCUCAAACCCAGAAUCAAACAAUGGCUGGAUCGGUUAAAAGAUGCAAUCUAUGAUGCUGAGGAUUUGCUCAAUCAAAUCAGCUACAAUGCCCUACGAUGCAAGCUGGAGAAGAAACAAGCUAUCAAUUCUGAAAUGGAGAAGAUUACAGAUCAGUUUCAGAACUUGCUUUCAACUACAAACUCAAAUGGAGAGAUCAAUUCUGAAAUGGAGAAGAUUUGUAAAAGGCUGCAAACUUUUGUCCAGCAGAGCACCGCCAUCGGCUUGCAACACACUGUAAGUGGUAGAGUUUCUCAUAGACUGCCUUCAAGUUCAGUGGUAAAUGAAUCUGUCAUGGUGGGUAGGAAGGAUGACAAAGAGACAAUAAUGAACAUGUUGCUAUCUCAGAGAGACACAUCCCAUAAUAAUAUAGGUGUUGUUGCAAUUUUGGGCAUGGGAGGUUUGGGAAAAACUACCCUUGCCCAACUUGUUUACAAUGAUAAAGAAGUUCAACAACAUUUUGAUUUGAAGGCAUGGGUUUGUGUGUCUGAGGAUUUUGAUAUUAUGAGAGUAACAAAGUCUCUCCUUGAAUCUGUCACUUCCACAACUUGGGAUAGCAAUAAUCUUGAUGUCCUUCGAGUUGCGUUAAAGAAAAUCUCGAGGGAAAAAAGAUUUUUGUUUGUGUUGGACGAUCUAUGGAAUGACAAUUGUAAUGAUUGGGAUGAGCUAGUAAGUCCCUUCAUUAAUGGAAAACCUGGAAGCAUGGUGAUUAUAACAACGCGCCAACAAAAAGUUGCUGAGGUGGCACGCACAUUUCCUAUACAUGAACUAAAAGUACUAUCAGAUGAAGAUUGUUGGUCUUUACUAUCAAAGCAUGCAUUGGGAAGUGAUGAGAUUCAGCAUAAUACAAAUACAGCCCUUGAAGAAACAGGCAGGAAGAUUGCAAGAAAGUGUGGAGGAUUGCCAAUAGCUGCUAAAACACUAGGAGGACUUCUACGUUCAAAGGUAGACAUAACAGAGUGGACUUCAAUUUUGAACAACAACAUAUGGAACUUGCGAAAUGAUAAUAUUCUUCCUGCAUUGCAUUUGAGUUAUCAAUAUCUUCCCUCUCAUUUGAAAAGAUGUUUUGCAUAUUGUUCAAUUUUUCCAAAGGAUUUCCCACUUGAUAAGAAGACAUUGGUUUUGUUGUGGAUGGCAGAAGGCUUCCUUGAUUGUUCUCAAGGGGGAAAAGAGUUGGAGGAAUUAGGUGAUGAUUGUUUUGCUGAAUUGUUAUCGAGAUCAUUAAUUCAACAAUUAAGCGAUGAUGCUCGUGGAGAAAAGUUUGUCAUGCAUGACCUUGUCAAUGAUUUAUCUACAUUCGUAUCAGGAAAAAGUUGUUGCAGGCUUGAAUGUGGUGACAUCUCUGAAAAUGUUCGUCACUUCUCAUAUAACCAAGAAUACUAUGACAUUUUCAUGAAGUUUGAGAAAUUAUACAAUUUCAAAUGCUUGCGAAGCUUUCUAUCCAUUAACACGACGAACAAUUACAAUUUCUUAUCCUCCAAGGUGGUUGAUGAUUUGCUACCAUCACAAAAACGGUUGCGUGUUUUAUCACUAUCAUGGUAUAUGAACAUCACCAAGCUACCAGAUUCAAUUGGAAAUUUGGUGCAGUUACGGUAUCUAGAUAUCUCCUGCACUAAAAUCAAAAGCUUGCCUGAUACAACAUGUAACCUUUACAAUUUACAGACCUUGAAUUUAUCACGUUGUUCGAGUCUCACUGAAUUACCAGUACAUAUUGGAAAUUUAGUAAGUUUACGUCACCUUGAUAUAAGCUGGACUAACAUAAAUGAGUUGCCUGUAGAAUUUGGGAGACUAGAAAACCUUCAAACUCUCACACUAUUUUUAGUGGGCAAGAGACAUUUAGGGUUAAGUAUCAAAGAGCUAAGGAAAUUCCCAAACCUACAAGGAAAACUUACCAUCAAGAACCUGGAUAAUGUUGUUGAUGCCAGAGAGGCACACGAUGCAAACCUGAAAGGCAAAGAGAAAAUUGAGGAGUUAGAACUGAUAUGGGGAAAACAAAGUGAAGAGUCGCAAAAAGUGAAAGUUGUGCUCGAUAUGUUGCAACCACCAAUAAAUCUAAAGAGCCUGAAUAUUUGUUUGUAUGGUGGGACAAGCUUUCCGAGUUGGUUGGGAAAUUCUUUGUUUUCUAACAUGGUAUCUCUGCGCAUCACUAAUUGUGAAUAUUGUAUGACACUUCCACCCAUAGGGCAGUUACCUUCUCUCAAGGACAUAGAAAUACGUGGUAUGGAGAUGUUGGAGACAAUUGGCCCGGAGUUCUAUUAUGCCCAGAUUGAAAAAGGAUCUAAUUCUUCCUUCCAACCAUUCCGAUCCCUUGAGCAUAUAAAGUUCGACAACAUGGUCAAUUGGAAUGAAUGGAUUCCCUUUGAAGGCAUAAAAUUUGCUUUUCCUCAACUUAAGGCUAUAGAGUUAUGGAAUUGUCCAGAACUAAGGGGACAUUUGCCCACCAACCUUCCUUCCAUAGAAGAAAUUGUAAUAUCAGGUUGUUCUCAUCUAUUGGAAACACCAUCUACUCUGCAUUGGUUGUCUUCAAUAAAAAAAAUGAAUAUCAAUGGGCUUGGUGAAAGUUCCCAAUUGUCAUUGCUUGAGAGUGAUUCUCCGUGUAUGAUGCAACAUGUAGCGAUUCACAACUGUUCUAAGCUAUUAGCUGUGCCAAAAUUGAUUCUGAAAAGCACUUGUCUUACACACUUGAGACUCUAUUCUCUUUCUUCUCUCACUGCAUUUCCCUCAAGUGGACUACCCACUUCAUUGCAAUCACUUCAUAUUGAAAAAUGUGAGAAUUUAUCCUUCCUACCUCCUGAAACGUGGAGCAAUUACACAUCACUUGUGAGUAUUGAUUUACGGAGUAGUUGUGAUGCACUUACAUCCUUUCCACUUGAUGGUUUCCCUGCGCUCCAAACACUUACCAUACAUAAUUGUAGGAGUCUGGAUUCCAUUUAUAUUUCAGAAAGGUCUUCACCUCGGUCGUCCCUCAAAUCACUUUAUAUCAUAUCCCAUGAUUCAAUUGAAUUAUUUGAAGUCAAGCUUAAGAUUGACAUGCUCACAGCUCUUGAAAGGUUGAAUCUAAAAUGUGCAGAGUUGUCAUUUUGUGAAGGAGUUUGUCUACCUCCCAAAUUACAAUCAAUUGAGAUACAGUCCAAAAGAACAGCACCGCCUGUGACAGAAUGGGGUCUUCAAGAUUUGACCGCUCUUUCAAGAUUGAGUAUUGGAAAGGGUGAUGAUAUAGUUAACACCUUGAUGAAGGAGUCAUUGCUACCCAUCUCCCUUGUGUAUCUAUAUAUCAGGGAUUUCGAUGAAAUGAAGUCCUUUGAUGGAAAUGGGCUUCGACACCUCUUCUCUCUCCAACAUCUCUUCUUUUGGAAUUGUCAUCAACUUGAGACAUUGCCAGAAAACUGCCUCCCUUCCUCGCUGAAAUCACUUGACUUUUGGGAUUGUGAAAAGCUAGAGUCAUUACCAGAAGACAGCCUCCCUGAUUCUCUUAUGCAACUGUGCAUUCAAGGAUGUCCAUUGUUAGAAGAAAGGUAUAAAAGGAAGGAACAUUGCUCCAAAAUUGCUCACAUCCCUUUCAAAAAUAUCAAAGGCACAAUAUGAUAGACAAGUUGUGUUCCCAUUUCAGGUAUGCUCCUAGUUCCUACCAGAAAGCCAAUAAUCAAUCCUCUGUACGACACACCUCUUAAUAUUUUCAUAUCAUCUCAUGGGUCCUCUGCUACGUAUGUCUUUUUAUAAAAGAUGAAUUUUUAAAGACCAAUUUUUGUAUACAUUUUGCACAGAAUAUUUUUUUUUAAUUUUUUUUUUAUUUUAUUUCUAGAAUCAAUUAAUGUAGCUCGGGCAGUUUGAUAUAUAACUACAUAAGUCAUGCCGGAAAACUGGUUUCUUAUUUAUUUUUGGGCUUAUAAAACUAUCUUUGGAAAAAGCUGUAACUGCUACAUUAAUCUCAACAAUAAAAAUUUAACAAUCAUAUCUUCGGAGCUAAUCAAAGGAAAAUGCUUAUUUCAUCUUUUCAGGAGAUCAAAGGCCCAGCUAUGUGGAUGAUAAUUAGCUCAUUUGGUGAAUUGAAGCCAUAUGCAUAGUUGCCAUUCAUUGCCACAAGAUUUAAUUUACUCAUUUGUAUGAUCUGGUCAGACAAAAUACAAUGUUGUAGGGUUUGCAAUAUUUAUAAUUUGUAACUUUUUUUUCCUCAAGUGAUUCUUAAUUUGUAACUUUAAGUGAAUGCUCAUAUGAUAAAACCAUGCAUUUGUUGAAUUAAUAUUGGUUCUAAAUAUUCAUAUUCCUAUAUACAUUUGUUGAAUUAACAGUUUUGUUUCUUCCAAAUAACCUGCAUGAUUUGGUCUAAUAGAUUAGAAUGCGGUAGGGUUUGUAAUAUUCUUAAUUUGUAGCUUUUAGUGGAAGAAUGUGAGUUGUUAUUGUUUCUAAAUAUUCGAAAUUUGUUUGAGUAACUUGAAUAUUGAUGUUCCUGAUAUAUUGAAUAAACAUACUAUUUGUGCUGUAGGCCUUUAGAGAAAUUGUGAAGUAUUGGUUGCUAUGUGAAAAACUACUUUUUAUGAAGUAUUGGUUGCUAUUGUGAAGUAUUUGUGACUCAGGUAAAAUAAAACAAUGUCCCAACUAUAUAGGUUUUAUGAAAUUAAAGAAGAUUCUGAUUUUUUAUUAAACUAUGUUAUUAUAAGUAUUUUUGUUAGAAUUUUAUCAAUGAAGAACUCUGACUAUGAUAUCAACAUUCUAACUCACUUAAAUGUUUAGAACAUCGACACCAACAUUAUAUUUGUUUCAGGCUUCAUAACGAAACUCGUGUACACCGAAGAAAAUACUAGAUUCAUUCCUGGACACGGUGUGGCUUAUUGUCUCUGAUGUUUCUCCCGACCUCGUAACUAAAAUUCCCUAUGUUUUAGAAGUAUACUUCUGAACCAUACAAAAUUAAUAAAUUUCUUUAGAUAAAUACAUCCAAACUCAUAUCGAGGAUGAAAAAAGUAGUGCGGAACACUCAUAGCAGGAUCACUUGUUAAACAUUAACAGACCCUCUAUGCAGAGUGAAACGGCCCUGUUUGGAUAAACAACUUAUUUUGCAUCUUAUUGCAUAAGCGCUUACCGUAUAAGUGCUUAUGAGUAAAUUGAAAUCAUGUGGCAUUUUUUUUAAUUGAAUCUAAUUAUUUCGUAAAAUAUUUACCUAAAAAUUUCUAACUCCUUUAACAAAUCCAAGAUGCCAAUUGUUUGAUGUCAGCACCGCUGCCCGCACUGGAUAAUCUAUUACAAACCAAUUGUCCCAAAACAACAUUCCCUUUGAAAUCAUGUUCUUUCAAAGAGAUGUUGUUAUGCAUGCGCCAAUUGGUUUGUAAUAGAUUUUCUAUAUUAGGGGUAGAAGCAUCGACAUCAGACACCACAGCUUGUUGGCGCAUGUAGUUCACUAUAGCCUCUUUAAUUUGAUCCAAAGAUAUCUCCAACUAAGAGAUUCUUUGUUCGACUUCCGUCUCACAUGUUGACAAAUUUUUCAAAACUAUAUGUAAAAUACAUGUAAGAAAGAGUCUUACUUAUAAACUAUAUGGAUUUACAUUACAAAUUAUCGAAGUUUUCUUGAUCAAGACUCCAAUCAUAAAAAAUUUCUUUUCCCUUAUUCAAAUUCAUAUUUAUGUCUUGUUCUGUCUACAAGUUCAUUCAAUCAAACAAAUGACUUACAUGCUUAGACACAAAGGUUCAAUACAAUAGUUUAUAAUAAUACUUAAAUUUUUCCAAGAAAUUGUACCCCUUGGAGUUUCAGGUAACUUUUUCUUUUUGAGGUAGUAUCUAACAAAUUGAAAACUGUUAUACUUCAUUACUCCUCCUUGUUCUGUAGACCUUUGGAGAAACUGAAGGAUUGGUUGCUAUGUGAAACUCUAUACACAGAGUGAGUUUACUGAAAUAUACAACAGUUAGCUAGAUUUUUUAUAAUAUGAACUAGAUUUUUUCAUCUUCAUUAUUUAAAACAAAAAGUUUUCUACUUCGUUUUCUGAUUAAAAGCUUUUUGAUUGUGUGAUGAGGUCGUUUUCGACUUUCGUUUCUUUGCACUCGUCUGCUUUCUAAAUGUAUGCCUAGUUUCUCAACACCUUAUAAAAGAUCAGAAAGUUGCUAUACUGUUGUUUUUAUGUUUCCAUAUAAAGAUCAAAGGCUUGUUUGGAUGAGGUCAUUAUCCACUGGCAUAUGCAUUUGGUCGGACUAUUGGAAACAGCUGAUGGGAACAACUUAUGACAUGUAUAUAAGCUAUUUUUGAGUUAUUUCCGUAAGCUCUGUAAGAUGGCUUAUGAAAACAACUUGUAUCUUAUAUAAAAACAAUUUAUCAUUAUUUUAUCUUUUUUUUAUAGAAAUAACUUAUUCUAUAAGCACUUAAUUUAGGUUUUAACGAAAUAGAUAGGAAACCCAUUUUGUUAGUCUGUACUCUAUAGUCGGUAGUUUUUGUAUUGCAUUUGCUAAAGAGGCUAAUGCUACUACAGCAUCUAGUUCCUACAAUCUUUGCCAAAGAGGGUAAAUUGUGAGCUUCUAUAUUAAACUCUCUACUAACAUGAGUAACCAUUACAAAUGGGAUUAGCUCUAUUAAAUUCCAACAAUCAACAAUGACAGGUUCAAUGGAUGCUAAUGCUACUACACCAGCUCUGUUGACACAAUUCACCACAAUGAGAGCAUCAAUCUUUGGAUGCCUAACCUCAUUGCCUCUUGAAGCGCCCAUCUUACUCCUGGUGCUUCGGCCAAGCAAGGGUCUACCUCCACCGAUUCCAAUUUGCACUUGCUAUGAGUAACUAUUCUUGUCUGUGUCUUGUUUUUCAGAAUCAGCCCCCAUCCUGUUCGUCCGCUUGAAAAACAUCUAACAUCCACAAACAUAUGAUGGGAUACAUCCUGGAACGUGCCAGCAUUGUCCCUCCUUUGGCGGGGUGGUUGAGGCCUUUGCUUGACAUUAGCUGCAUGGAACUCCUGAAUAACUGAACAGCUGUUUGAGCUAAAUUAACGGAGUCUGUAGUGGCCCCAUUAAAAACAGCUUGAUUUCUAGCGUACCAAAGCUUCCAGAGAGCAUUCAUGAGAGAAACAAUUUCACACAAUUUUCAAGUGAAAAGGUAAUGUAAAAUUUUAACAUGAGAGCAUUCAUUCCUAUUACUAGUGCCUUAUUAAUAGUGAUAUGAACUGUGAAUUGAUUUUUCUUAUUUUCUGUUAUUAAAUCCCCUUGGUGAUAAUUUUACUUUUGCUUAAGAUUGUUUUCUGAUAAGUAUUGGUGAAAUAAUAGAGCUAGUGUCAUAUUAAUAAACUUAUUCAUGUCAUGAAUAAGCCUACAUAUAUUUGACUAAAUAUAUAUAUAAUUUUAGGGCUGUGUUUUAGCAUACAAAGUCUAUUGGUCAAGCUGUGUCAAAGGAGUUCACACCGGAAAUAUGGUUUUGCGUCUGGUCGAAGCAAUUGGUAAGAAUAUUAUUCUCCAUCAUUAUAAGAAAGAACAUUCUAGAUCAUAUCUUACCUGCAUGUUUCCAAACAAGCAACAUGAAAAUAACUUUUUUCUUUUUCUGUUUUAACUUUACUUUGAUUUCUGUCCAAAUUUCUGAUAAGAUUUAGUUUUGACUGACAUUUAGCCUUCUUUAUGACAAUAAAAUAAAUGAGUCUUGUUGCUGCAGAUGUUUAUCUUGCUGGUACCAUUAUGUUGAUUUUCGGAAUGUUCUUUUAUGGAUUGUUUAUCAGCAACACACCUCAUGACAUGUCUCUUUGGAAUGUUUGCUUUGAAGGUAAUCAUAAAGAUCAAGUUUUUCUAUCUAAGAGAAGUUCAGAAGGAUGGAGAAGUUCAACUUGUCUAUUGUAGAACAGAACAUCAGAAUGCAGACAUCUUAACGAAGGCACUUCCUAAAGCUAGAUUUGAGUUCAUGAGAAAAAGGCUUGGAAUAUGCAGCUCCAGUGUCAAGGAGGAGUGUUUAAUGAAUGACCCUUGAAGCUUUUCAGUCAGUUUUAAUUCUCCUAAAUUCCAGGCAAUAAAGAAUAAGUGGCUGAUUUGUUUUCCUUUUAUUUAGGCAUCAGCUAUGUUAAUUAGUGGCAAUGUAUUUGCCUUUCUACUUUCCUUAGGGCUGUAUAAGUACACCAGUCUUUCCUGCUAAAUAAUAUACAAGCCUUUUGCAUUCAUAUUUUCUCUUUGUUCAUUCUUGUUAUAACCACUGUAUUUCAUCAAAUAACCAACACAUUUUCAUGAAAUGCAAGCCUUUCUACAAUUUCAAAUGCAGUAGGGUUUGUAAUAUUCUUAAUUUGUAAUUUUUUUUUUUUGUGAUUCUUAAUUUGUAUCUUCAUUAUGUAAUAAUUAAUUAAAAGAACUUUCACAUUUGACUUUAAAUUCUGAAGCUUAUUCAAGUACAGAUAUUUUCGUAACGGCAAAAGGUACUAUAGUGUUAUGAAAAUAUUUCCACUAAAAAUUUAUCUGUUACCAUAUCCAAAUUUUUAAUAAAAGACUUACGCUGGUGCAAAUUGAGUUCACAGUGAUCAAAGUAUUUUGGAACAUGGGUCACUCAUUUUUAUUUUUUUAUUAUAUAACUAGAUUUUUUCAUCUUCAUUAUUCUAAAAAAAAAAAAUGAUAUACUCCAUUUUCUGAUUAAAACUUUUUGAUUGCGUGAUCAGAUCGUUUUCGACUUUCGUUUCUUUGCAUUCCUUGCUGUUGGAGGUUCCUUGGCUGGCUCACUCCUCUGCUUUCUAAAUGUAUGUAUGCAUAGUUUCUCAACACCUUUAAUUAAAGAUCAGAAAGGUGCUAUACUGUUGUUUUUAUGUUUCCAUAGAAAGAUCAAGGGCUUGUCUGGAUUAGGUCAUUAUCCACAUGAUUACUUUUUUUUAUUUUUUUUUGAAGUUCCAACUUUUUGAUUAAACAAACGAAGGAGCCUGAACACGGCUUACAACAAUGUUACAAAAAGGAGAAGUGAACAGACUUGGAGAGGCAUUCCCCUGCCAGCAUCUAGUUCCUACAGUCUUUGUCAAAGAGGCUAAACUGUGAGCUUCUAAAUUAAGAGCUCUACUUACCUGAGUAACCAUUACAAAUGAGAUUUGCUCUAUUAAAUUUCAACAAUCAACAAUGACAGGUUCAAUGGAUGCUACUACACCAGCUCUGUUGACACAAUUCACCACAAUGAGAGCAUCACAGUUUCAAGCUUUAGAUGCCUAACCUCACUGCCUCUCGAAGCGCCCAUCUAACUCCUAGUGCUUCGGCCUAGCAAGGGUCUACCUCCAUCGAUUCCAAUUUGCACUUGCUAUGAGUAACUAUUCCUGUCUGUGUCUUGUUUUUCAGAAUCAGCCCCCAUCCUGUUUGUGCGCUUGAAAAACAUCUAACAUCCACAAACAUAUGAUGGGAUACAUCCUGGAACGUGCCAGCAUUGUCCAUCCUUUGGCGGGGUGGUUGAGGCCUUUGCUUGAAAUUAGCUGCAUUGAACUCCUGAAUAAACUGAACAGUUGUGUGAGCAAAAUUAACGGGGUCUGUAUCGGCCCCAUUAAAAACAGCUUGAUUUCUAGCGUACCAAAGCUUCUAGAGGAUAGUGCAGAACAGCUGCGAGCCAUCCUUAUCAGCACAAGAUAGCCAAUCUAACAACUAGCUAUGCAGGUCCAUAUUAAAGGGAGCAUGGCAACCCAAAGGCGAUGCAAACAUAGCUAGUUUGGACAAAUUACAGUUCAUCAAAUAAAUGUGCCACAGUCUCAGCUUCAGAAUGACAUAAAGGGCCGGAGGUGUCAAAAUAAAUGUGCCACAGUCUCAGCUUCACAGUCUCAGCUUCCACCAAGGCUUCCUCCCUCAAAGAACAGUUAUCGAUCUUCGAUGUCAAAAUUUUGAGGUUUAGCAUCCAGUCAUCCUUCCAAAUUCCGAUAAUACAGCUAGUGUCAUAUUAAUAAACUUAUUCAUGUCAUGAAUAAGCCUACAUUUUUUUUAAGGAAAUAAGUCUACAUAUAUUUGACUAAAUAUAUAUAUAUAUCAUUUUAGGGCUGUGUUUAAGCAUACAAAGUCUAUUGGUCAAGCUGUGUCAAAGGAGUUCACACCGGAAAGAUGGUUCUACGCCUGGUUGAAGCAAUUGGUAAGAAUAUUAUUCUCCAUCAUUAUGAGAAAGAACAUUCUAGAUCAUAUCUUACCUGCAUGUUUCCAAACAAAGUACAUGAAAAUAGCUUUUUCCUUUUUAUAUUUUUAUUUGGAAGUUUGAAGUUUACUUCGGUUUAUGUCCAAAUUUCUGAUAUGAUUUAGUUUUUACUUACAUUCAUCCUUCUUUAUGACAAUAAAAUAAAUGAAUCUUGCUGCUGCAGAUGUUUAUCUUGCUGGUACCGUUAUGUUGAUUUUUGGAAUGCGUAUAUAUGGAUUGUUUAUCACCAACGCGCCUCAUGACAUGUCACCUUCUGUGGACCGUGCCUCUGAUCCUCUCUCUUUGGAAUGUUUGCUUUGAAGGUAAUCAUAAACCCUAUUAUCAUGUAGGGAGUAUGGUCGCGAUCCUCCACUCACUCCUUGAGUAACUCUCGUCAGUUGCUCCGUUUCAUAGCUCUUUAGAUUUUAAUUUUAUCGAUUCAACUAUUAUCUUAACGAAAAUGUAUAUAUUGUUUCAAAAGUAUAUUCAAGCAAUAAUCAAUACCUACAUUCAGCAAGCUUCCAAUAUGCAAUCAGUAACUCGUAUGCUAUGCUUCAUUAGGUUUUAUAUCACAUAAAAUUCUCAAGAAAUGCUUUUCCCUAAUUUUUUCUUUAGAUGGUUGAAACAAAAAUUGAAAUUUCAAGAGCAAAUUUCACAUCAAAAUAUUAAUGUCUUACUUCCACAACAGAAUUUCAUGUUCUUUUGUUAUGUGAACAUCCACAGUUAAUCAAUUAUUUGUUACGUACUAACAUAUUGUUUUAAACUUUUUUGUAAAAUAAAAUAUUGGUCUAAACUUUUUCAAUUUUCAAAUAUGAUCAUUUAAAGAUAGUAACCGCAAAUAAUUGAAAGAACUGGCCCUGCUCAAAGAACUAUUCCCAAAAUUAUUUUUAUUAUUGGACACCAUAUUUUGCUGUCAUUGGAUGGUCGUUCAAUAAGUCCCUUAGAUCGCUCAAAGGCCCGUCAACUGAUUAGGUCGUAACCUCAUAUCGUGUGUUUUUUUUUUGUGUGUGUAAAAUCCGAUCAAGUCAUAGCGCUCGAUUGGUUUAUUCUCUUUUGAAAAUGUGAAUAGUUUGAAGGGUUUAUUGAACAACCAUGGUGUGAUUGUGGUGGUUGUGUCAAGUCCUUGUUUUGACCCAUGCAUUACAAUACCGAUAAUUAGAUCAUUUUUCAUACUCCCACAUGAUAUAUGGUCAAUCACGUUUCAAAAUUGUGAUGAAUUCAGUUGAUUAAAUGAUUAAUUAAAUUCACACCAAAAUUGUGGUUAGUAAUUAACCACAAUUAACACGACAAAUAAGACAUUAGUCAUUAGAGUUUCAAAUGGUUUUAAAGUAAUGGUCUACUAUGAACCAUGUAUCAAAAUGAUCUAUAAAUAUGUUUUAUUUUAACAGAGAUGAUAAGGAGAAUUGUACUACUUCAGAAAAAAUAUAUCGAAAUAGUACAUGGUUGAAACUUCAAGGAUGCAAGUUGCAUUUCUUUGUAUAUUUAUUAUUUUGUCAGAUGCAAGUUCCAUAAACCAUUAUUGAGCCAACAAACAAGUACUAUUAUUAGUUAUUACUAUUACUAUUCACUAGGUAUAUAACCCGUGCGUUGCACGGGUUUUAUUAGGAUUCGUUUAUAUAAUUUAAACUUUUUGGUACAACAGGUCAAAUAAAUCAAAUGGAUACAUGUUAAAAAGUAAAAUUUAUAGUAAAUAAAACAUGUCAAUCGGAUACAAUGAGUUCAAAUCAUAAUUUAAAAAUUAAAACAUGUUUAGAACUUUAUAUGCCCUUGUAUCUCUAAACAAUCUUAGUUUCUCGUUCAAUAUUGUUUUCACCGCUAUAACAACACUAAGACCCCGUUUGGAUUGAGCUUAUGAUUGUUUAAUUAAAGUCAUGGUUAUCAAGUAAUUUGAAUUUUUUUCUUGUGCAUAUACAAUUUAAAUAUAAGUUCAUUUUUUCAAGGUGCACAAAUUGAACUAUACUUUAAGAUAAAUUUUAUUUUAUAUAAGGUAGAAAAAAACUAUCGAUAGAUUAUCAUAAUUUGAGUUUUAUGUUUCAGAAAUAUUUUACCAAUACAAAUAUGGCCAAACAUAAAAGAUAGUCACUUUUAUGUUUAGGACUGGUCUCUCUUGAAGAAAAAAAUUUAUUAGGACCGGUCUCGUGAAAUAAGGAGGGUGUAUUGGAUUAGGAUUUUAAAGGACAAUUUUUGUUUAAAAAAUUCUUAAGGAUUUUAAAAGACUUUGAUGGAUUUUGAUUAAUUUGAUGAUUUUAAAAGAUUAUUAAGGAUUUCAAUGGAUUUAAUUCAUAAGAUUAUAAAGGAUUUGAAAUGAUUUUAUGGAUUUCAACAGAUUUUAUGAAUUUUAAGAAAUAAUUGAAAAAAAUAUCAUCCUUCAAAAAAAAAAAAUUGAAAAAAACAUCAUAACACACUCUCCUUCACAAAAUCUCAAUAAAGACUAUUUUAUUUAUUUUUUACGGGAGAGAGGAGAGGAAAAGAGAGAGAGAGAAGGGAGGAGAGAGAGAGAGGAGAGGAAAAGAGAGAGUGGGAGAGAAGGGAGGAGAGAGGGAGAGAUAGUAAAAUCUUAAAAGAAAAAAACAAUCCUAAGAAAUCUCAUGUUUUCAUGAAAGACUUUUUCAUGCUAAAAUUUCACUAGAAAAUCCCACAAAAUCCAUCAAAAUCUGAUUUAUUAAACAAUCCUUCGAAAUUUGAAUGAUUUUGAAUACCACUAGACUUUUUUUAAGUGAUUAAGAGUCUUGAUUGAAUACCACAAGACUUUUUUUAAAUGAUAAGGAAUCUUGAUUGAAUAACACAAGACUUUUUUUAAAUUGGAAAGAGUCUUGAUUGAAUACCACAAGACUUUUUCAUGAUAAAAAAGUAUUUUAAAAUCCCUUAGAAUCAUGAUUCAAUACACCCCCUAAGUUUAGAUUCACUUGGGACAAAUUAAAAUAUUAGUUUCUGUUAGCCAAUAUUUGUGAAAAUGCUAUCAUUUAAUGCAGUCAAAGGUUUUGACCUGAAGAAAUGGAUUUAGCUUUGUGAAGGAAUUUAUCGAAAAUAUAUCCUCGGCAGGAGUCGAAGAAACCAGUUCUAAUUCGAUGGAUAAAGGCAGUUAUCGAAGCGCCUUCAGAUUGUGGAUGAGAUCAAGCAGUUAGCAACGGCUAGUUUCGAUUUUGAAAUCGAACAGAUAUGAUUAAGUAGUUAUAGGACUAUUUGUAUAAAUAGUAGUUUUUCUUAGGAAAAACGGGUCACAAUUCAAUCAUACUAAAAACUUACACUCAAUACUGUCCGUAUGGAAGCGACAAACGAGUCACAAGUUGCAAAGUAUGAAUAUGUGCACCAAUUUUCAUUAAGUCUUUACAAAUUCAAUACAGUUCUUUAAACACCUUUGCAAUUUACUUAACCUUUUUCGAAGUAUUUUCUUCUACUGCUAUUCUUUAUAGAUUUUCGAUUGAAUUCAACACGGAUUGGAUUCAGUUAUUUACACUUUGUUCUUGUCUUUUACUUUAUCAAAAUACUUUACGAACAAGUAUUACAUUCAUUUCAUACCAUAAAAAGCACAAUAUGCUCCUAAGAUUUACUGGUUGAUCUUGCAAGUAAACAUCAUUGAAACCAGCGAUUGUUUACCAAAAAUCAGUGGAAACAAAUUGGCACGCCAAGUGGGACCUUUUGUGCUUUUUACUUUGAAUUUUUUUUUCAAUUCUAAACUUUUGGUCGAUGUUUGUGCAUGCGUUUGAGGAACAAUAAAGUACUUCCUGAAAUGACGCGCCCUCCUAUCGUUUCUGGCACAGCGGCAUCGAACGCCGCUUCCGCUUCAGGAACAACGACCAAUCAAACAUUCCGACAGGGUCUACGCAACUUAGCCAAACUAGUAACAUGGUGCACGUAUUAGAGCCUGUAUACACCCUAGCGGAUGAAAAUGUGACUUCGCAAACGUUACAGGCCAGUACAUCGAAUACUUUGGCCAACACUACUUCGCAAGGCAGCCCGGCGGUUACUGCGGCCGCUCAAACUACCCAGGUUACGGGAAAUAUGUUUUCUCAAAGAAAUCUAGGAAACAAUGGAAGAGGAUGAUGAGUCAUUUAUAUGUUAUUUUAAUAUGCUUUUUAGUUUAGAUUUUAUAUAAAUUUAUAUUAGUAUUAUUUCCUUUUUAGGAUAGUUUACUUUAAAAUGCAAUUUAUUAUAUUUCAGGAAGGAAUAUUUGAUGGAAAGAGUCUUGGAGCAAAAGAAAGGGAUUUGGAGCAGAUUGGACACAAAAACAUGAAGAUUGGGAAGCAAAAUAUAUCUCCCACAAGUCAGAAGCUUGGCACGGCCCGUGCUAGCCUUGGCACGGCCGUGCCACCCUCCAGAUGUCUUUUGCUGCUUUUGCUUUGACUCCAAGCUAUUCUAUUUUGGCGCACAAUCUACCGAGGAAUAUUCUAGGAAUAUACUUGCUUAGAUUCUAAGUCAAUUGUGUACUAUAAAUAGAGUAGCUAGCCAUCACUAAUAUUCAUCUUUACUUGGAAUACAAUAAGUGACAUUUGCUUUUCUAAAUAAAGUUCUUUUCCUUUAUUUCUUUGUCUUUUACUUUCAUGCUUUCUCUCUUCUCCCCCAUGUCUACGAUGAACAUGAGUGAGUAGACUUCUUCCUGUCUUGGGAUUGUUGGAUAAGUCUAAAUGACAUAAUCUUAAUCAAACCAAGCCCUAAGCCUUAAUCUUAUGUAACCCUAAUUUCUUAUCUGAAUUCACCGUCUUAACAUGGAUUAACCAUUAUCAAACUGUGGAAACGAAAGUGGAGGGUUUGAUAAUUGUUCGUCCAUUAUUCCAAAUAUCAAUUCAUAAAACGAAAGUGGAGCUUUGAUAUUCGAACAAGUGAAUUCAGACAAGGAUUGCAAAGUCAGCGAAAUAGGCUUUGCAAUCUUUGAGACAUAUAGUUUCGAUCUUCAAGGGAACCAAUAACAAUCAAGUCAGCAAAAUAGGCUUGGUUGUUAGAGGAACCAAAAUCCAAUAGUAAUCAAGUCAGCGAAAUAGGCUUGGUUGCUAGAGGAACACAAGAGAAACUGUCUUGAGAAAUUAGGUCUAACAUAACAUUAUAAGCUUAUGGUUUCGGUUUGAGAAGGACUUGUUAUUUAGAUGAAACCAACGAUCCCAAGGCUCUUUUAUUAUAUUGUUUUUAACCGUUUAAAAACCCCCAAUUUACAACCUCUUCUCUCUUCUAAUCAUCUCUAAAGGUUAACUAAAUUAAACUACUCCCUGUCGGAACGAUACUCUUUAUUACUACUUCGGUAAGACCGUGCACUUGCGGUUUUAUCUCAUCAAGUUUUUUGGCGCCGCUGCCGGGGAGUAAACUAAUUUAAUUAACUCUUUCUUUGUGAUUAGAACUCUCUUCUCUUUUCUCUUCCUCCUCUCUUCUAUUUUUCUUUCUUUUUGUUUUUACCACUAACUUCUUGGGUUCUCGGUUUCUUAUGCGAAGAAGUAAAAGUGUCGGAGAAUUUAUUCCUGAGAUCGAAAGGUUUUUGCAUAAGAAAAAGAGAAAGGCACAAAAUAAUACCGCUAUGGCUGAACGUACUCUCAAAGAGUAUGCUACUCCUUCAACGGAAGAGCCACAAGCUAUUAUCGUGUACCCAACGGUUGCGGGUAAUAACUUCGAAAUCAAGCCUGCACUACUCAAUUUAGUGCAGCAAAACCAGUUUUCUGGAUCACCCACUGAGGAUCCAAAUCUCCAUAUUUCUUCCUUCCUCAGACUCAGUGGCACCAUAAAAGAGAACCAAGAAGCCGUAAGACUUCAUCUCUUUCCCUUUUCCUUAAGGGAUAGAGCUAGCGCUUGGUUCCAUUCCCUAGAAGUCGGUUCCAUUACUUCAUGGGACGAUAUGAGGCGAGCAUUCCUCGCCCGAUUCUUUCCCCCAUCCAAAACAGCUAAGCUUAGAGACCAAAUUACGCGUUUCAAUCAAAAAGAUGGGGAAUCUCUCUAUGAGGCGUGGGAGCGUUUCAAGGAAAUGCUUAGACUUUGUCCCCACCAUGGCCUAGAGAAGUGGCUUAUAGUCCACACGUUUUAUAAUGGCUUGACUUAUACCACUAAAAUGUCUGUUGAUGCAGCUGCAGGUGGAGCUCUAAUGAACAAAAACUACACGGAGGCUUACGCUUUGAUUGAGGACAUGGCUCAAAAUCACUAUCAAUGGACCAACGAAAGAGCCGUCACAACUCCUACUCCCUCUAAGAAAGAGGCAGGUAUAUACGAAGUCUCUGAAUAUAACCACCUUGCUGCUAAGGUUGAGGCAUUAACACAAAAAAUUGAAAAACUUAAUGUUAAUGCUGCCCCACCUCCUCCUGCAUCCCCUACUUGUGAAGUCUGUGGUAUAACUGGUCAUACAGGUGUCGAUUGUCAGUUAGGUAGUGCUGCCAAUAUUGAGCAAUUAAAUUACGCUCAAUACAACCAAGGAAUGAGGCCAAAUCAAAAUUUUUACAAAAAUCCUCAAGGUUCCUAUGGGCAAACAGCACCCACCUGGCUAUACAAACAACCAGAGAGUAGCUCAGAAAUCUAGUUUGGAAAUCAUGUUAGAAAAUUGCAUGAUGAAUCAAAAUAAACAACUUCAAGAGUUAAAAAACCAAACAGGAUCUCUGAACGACUCUCUCUCCAAGCUCAAUACCAAGGUUGAUUCCAUCGCCACACACACCAAAAUGCUUGAAACACAAAUCUCCCAAGUGGCCCAACAAGUGGCCACCUCUUCUCAAACACCAGGAGUCUUUCCUGGACAAACUGAAACAAACCCCAAAGCCCAUGUCAACGCUAUUUUUCUGGGGGGUAGUAAGAUAGAAGAAACUGUUACUAAAGCUAAAAAUGUCAAGAGGGAGAGUGUCAGGUGUCUAGGUAAGAAUGGUGUGAUAAACCGUGAGAAACCGCUUGAUAAGAACAAAGCCCUAACACCCUUUAGGCUUGCUAAGCUCAACUUGGAGGCUCAAUCCACUAAACUCUUUAACACUAUUAGAAAGAUUUGCAUUAAAAUCCCCUAUGCUGAAGCUUUGUCUCGUAUGCCUCUAUACGCCAAGUUUGUAAAAGAAAUUUUUUCAAAGAAAAAAGCUAUAGACCAUAAUGAAACAAUAGCUUUGACAAAGGACAAUAAUGCAAUUAUCAAGCAGCCACCUACAAAGCUGAGAGAUCCAGGAAGUUUUGCCAUCCCUUGUAUGAUAAGGAAUGAAACCUUCGACCGAGCCUUAUGUGACUUAGGAGCUAGUGUUAGUCUGUUGCCCUUACCCCUCUUUACAAGGCUAGGGUUGGGCAAGCUAAAGCCUACCGAAACAACAUUGAAGUUAGCUGAUCGUUCUGAUAUCCAACCUGUCGGAUAUGUCGAGGACAUCCCCGUCAAAAUAGAAGGGAUAGAAAUCCCAACUGAUUUCAUGAUACUCGACAUAGAUGACGACAAUGCGUGCCCUAUAAUCUUAGGACGACCCUUUCUCGCCACUGCGGGUGCUCUAGUAGAUGUUCAAAAUGGUAGGAUUGUUUUUCAAGUGAGUGAUGAGUUGAUAGGAUUUGAGCUGGAAAAUUAUAUGAAAGGUCCCGCCCUCUACUCUUGUAAUAUGAUUAAAGGUCAUGAAGUGACAGGACGCUUAUUAGCACCAUCUACACAACAUGACCUCUUUGAUCCCUUCUAAGGACACUUUCUUCCAACGUCAAGCUAAUGACUAUAAACGAGCGCUUCGUGGGAGGCAAGCCACGUAUUUAACUGCUUUCGUUUUUGUUUUUAAGUUAUUUUGUAGGUAAUCGUCCGAAGGUGAUUCAAGCUAAACAAGAAAAAUUUUGAGGCCACUAUCCAGGACCUUGGCACGGCCCGUGCUCACACUGGCACGGCCGUGCCAGACCAUACCCAUCCAAAACCAGCCUUCCCUCCAGAAUGUUGGCACGGCCCGUGCUGAGGUUGGCACGGCCGUGCCCGACUACAGGUAAGGAUAAACCCACCUUUUCAUCUUCUUCUUCCCUCAUUCUCUACCACAAACUCUCUCUCCAUUUACACUUCUCUCAAAAAUCCUCCAUAACCAUAGCUAUUCAAAACUUCCAUAUCUCCCCCAAAACUUCACCGUUUCACAUAAUUUCUUCACCCAAUCAAUCACAAACCAAUUUCAAUCAUAACCUAUCAAUCAAAAACACCUUUCCUCCAUCCCUCCCAAAAAUCACCAAAUUCGUAGCCCCCAUAAACCUACCCAAAAACCCACAAAUUCUUCAUCCAUUCACCCAAUCCAACUCCUAACACUUACCCAAACCACAACCCUCACCCAAAACACAAACGGUCACCCAAGGUUCCGGCUAAAUGGCAUCUAGGAAAGGUGGAGCAAGCUCUUCUGGAGGACCACAACAAAAGAAGAAAACUCAAGCCAAGAAUCAUGGAAUAAUCUUCAAGGACACCAAGCAAAGGGACAGGUAUAAAAUUCUUCUCUCUAAACCUUUGCAUCCUUGUCGAUAUCCAGAUCCUUAUACCUUGAGUGUGCUAGGACUAAGGGAUAAUGUGUUUAGCUUACUAGCAAAUUUAGGAUGGGUUGAUAUGCUUAGACCUAUGAAGGGCUUCGAAAAUUUCACUUAUGAAUUCUUAAGUUCUAUUGAAUUUACGAAGGAUAAGGUGAACUUUGACAACCCCGAUCAUAGAGUUUCCUUCCGACUUUUGAAUAUGGAUUUUGAGAUGUCUCUUGAAAAUUUCUGUUUAGAGAUGGACUUUGCAAAUGCGGGGUUCAUCCAUGACUCUUGGAAUCCAAAUUUAAAGUCGGAACACUAUGACCCCGCUCUCUUUUGGAAACGCAUUACCGGGUUAAGGCAAUACAAUCCUCGCAACAACAAGGCUAGUCACAUUCACAACCCCGUACUUAGAUACCUCCAGAGAGUCAUGGCUUGUACCAUUUUGGGUAGAAAAGAAGUAGGAACAACUAGGACGGAUGAACUUUUCAUGCUUUGGGCAAUGCUUCAUAACAAUCCCGUUAAUACUUGUUUCUACCUACUUGACUACCUUUCCUCCAUAGGAGCUAGACCUGACAAUAGAGCUGAGAUAGUAGUCGGUGGUAUCAUUACCUUCAUCGCUAGAAAGUUUGGAGUAAGUGAAGGGGAGGGGAUAAAUCCAAUUGAGGGCAACAAUAGACUUAAUAUUGAAACCCUUGUUGCUAUGAACUUCAUUAAAAUUCAUCCACCCAUGACUUAUGCACUUCAACUUCGCAUACCACUUUUGUUUUUACUUCCUAACCCAUCUCGGACUAACCCCGAGGUGGAGGAAAAUUUGUUGUAUGUUGGUGAUGGAUUACAGGUACACGAGGAGCAUAAUCAAGGUGACGAAGAGGGUGCUCACAUGCACCAUGAAGAAGAGCCCCAUGACCAUAACGACGACAAUGAACGAUGGGCAUGGAUGCAAACCGAGGUACAAAGGAUAAGCACCGAGCAACAAAGGCAAGGUGUUGAAUUAUCUGGGCUAAGAAAUGAUGUCCUACGGGGCAACCGCAUAUCCGAAGAAAAUAACCAAAUGCUUCGGAACAUGAUGCAACAUUUACACCUUCAGGGCCCUCCCUAUGGACCUCAAUAAAAAUGUGAGCUUUCCUCUUCCUCUUUUUUCACCUUAUCUCUUUCAUCUCUAUCUCACUCUUCUACCUCUCCUUCUCUUUUAUUUUUCUUUUAUCUUGAAUCAUUGAGGACAAUGCUUCUCCUAAGUGUGGGGGGAGCCUAAUAAAGUGUCUUUAGUCGUAGUGUUUCCAAACUCCCUUGAACUUUAUUCUUUUGUUCUGUUUUAUUGUAAAAGGCAUAGUUAAGUAGCUAAUUUUUAUUGAAAAAAUCAAGACACAAAAAUUUUCAUUGUCUCCUCUUAUUUUGAUUGAUUCUUGUACAUGAAAGCAAACUCUUGUGUUUUAAGUCUUCUUGAUAUAACCACAUCUUGUUUUAAAGUGAAUAAAAUUCUCCAAUGAGAAAAACACAAAGUUGCUUCCCUUGAGUAAAUGUAUGAAUAGGUAUUUUAAGGAAACACAUUCUAAUCUUAGUGGUGCAUUAACCUUUAAAAAUUCUCAAAGCGCCAGUAGUAUAAGUGAGUAUAAGGGAGAUCAUAAAAAGCCAAAAAGCCAAAUAAUUCCAAGGUCUCAUCACUGAAUCUAGAUUGGGGAAGGAGGUAGGCCCUCCGACUUCCUACGUGAAGGUGAUUGUUAUCUUGAGAAAAACUUUAAAAAGCAUUGUUGAAACUAGAUUGGGGAAGGAGGUAGGCCCUCCGACUUCCUACGUGAAGACAAUGUCUUAAGGAAUACCAUUGAAUCUAGAUUGGGGAAGGGGGUAGGCCCUCCGACCUCCUACGUGAAAAUGUUGUUCCUUAAAUAAAGAACUUAAAAUGUGCAUAUGGCAAAAGAACAAAGAUUCUCAAAAACUCCCAUCUCUCUUAUAUGAAUUGUAGAAGGAAUUUUUCUUGGUUAGUUUAGUGCUAGGAUUAGACCAUGUUUCCUCAUUAUACCUAUCUUAUACAGGAGCAAGAAAAGGGUUGGACUUCACACACACACUCACUUGAAACUUGAUUGUUGGGUAGAAUAAAGAUUUCAAGAAAUACUUGAGUUUGUGAUUAGUGUACAUUUUGGGAUUUAAGCCCUUGAGGAGACAUGUGCUUUAAUUAACUGUCAUUUGAUUUAACUAUUGAUGCUACUAUGUUUAUGCCUUUUGCUUGAGGACAAGCAAAGACUCAAGUAUGGGGGAGUUUGAUGAGUCAUUUAUAUGUUAUUUUAAUAUGCUUUUUAGUUUAGAUUUUAUAUAAAUUUAUAUUAGUAUUAUUUCCUUUUUAGGAUAGUUUACUUUAAAAUGCAAUUUAUUAUAUUUCAGGAAGGAAUAUUUGAUGGAAAGAGUCUUGGAGCAAAAGAAAGGGAUUUGGAGCAGAUUGGACACAAAAACAUGAAGAUUGGGAAGCAAAAUAUAUCUCCCACAAGUCAGAAGCUUGGCACGGCCCGUGCUAGCCUUGGCACGGCCGUGCCACCCUCCAGAUGUCUUUUGCUGCUUUUGCUUUGACUCCAAGCUAUUCUAUUUUGGCGCACAAUCUACCGAGGAAUAUUCUAGGAAUAUACUUGCUUAGAUUCUAAGUCAAUUGUGUACUAUAAAUAGAGUAGCUAGCCAUCACUAAUAUUCAUCUUUACUUGGAAUACAAUAAGUGACAUUUGCUUUUCUAAAUAAAGUUCUUUUCCUUUAUUUCUUUGUCUUUUACUUUCAUGCUUUCUCUCUUCUCCCCCAUGUCUACGAUGAACAUGAGUGAGUAGACUUCUUCCUGUCUUGGGAUUGUUGGAUAAGUCUAAAUGACAUAAUCCUAAUCAAACCAAGCCCUAAGCCUUAAUCUUAUGUAACCCUAAUUUCUUAUCUGAAUUCACCGUCUUAACAUGGAUUAACCAUUAUCAAACUGUGGAAACGAAAGUGGAGGGUUUGAUAAUUGUUCGUCCAUUAUUCCAAAUAUCAAUUCAUAAAACGAAAGUGGAGCUUUGAUAUUCGAACAAGUGAAUUCAGACAAGGAUUGCAAAGUCAGCGAAAUAGGCUUUGCAAUCUUUGAGACAUAUAGUUUCGAUCUUCAAGGGAACCAAUAACAAUCAAGUCAGCGAAAUAGGCUUGGUUGUUAGAGGAACCAAAAUCCAAUAGUAAUCAAGUCAGCGAAAUAGGCUUGGUUGCUAGAGGAACACAAGAGAAACUGUCUUGAGAAAUUAGGUCUAACAUAACAUUAUAAGCUUAUGGUUUCGGUUUGAGAAGGACUUGUUAUUUAGAUGAAACCAACGAUCCCAAGGCUCUUUUAUUAUAUUGUUUUUAACCGUUUAAAAACCCCCAAUUUACAACCUCUUCUCUCUUCUAAUCAUCUCUAAAGGUUAACUAAAUUAAACUACUCCCUGUCGGAACGAUACUCUUUAUUACUACUUCGGUAAGACCGUGCACUUGCGGUUUUAUCUCAUCAGAGGACCCUAUGGGAUGCCAACCUCUUCGACCCAAACUUCACCCAUGAGUACUAUAGUACUUCCUGAUAAUUCAAAUAUGACCAUACCGCCAUUGUCUAACCAAGGGGAGAAUAUCUCGUUUGGUAGAUCCCAACAAACAUUUAUUCCAUUUGGUUCGCCUCAACAAUCGUUGACCAACGCCUCGAUGAAUGCGUUAAGGCAAACCAUGGCAGAUAUUAAUCACGAUAUGGUCAAUAUGGUGACUCAACAAGUCACGACGGUUAUCAAUCAUUUAAUCCAAGAAACCAAUAAUAGUUAUCAAGCCUUAUCGCAACAAAUGGGGCGAAUAGCGGAUUUUCUAGGUGCACCCCAAGUGCGCAUUACGCCGGCUGUGCGAAAUACGAAUCCUCGGCAGAGGGAACCGCUUGUCGAAGAACAGACAAACCAAAUGCUUGAAAACCAAGCGCAAGAGGCACAACCUGAAAUACCGGAAGAACCUGUUAGGAUUCCUAUAAUGGUGAACAUAAACCAAAAUGCGGACCAAGUGGUCAUGCAGGCCCGUCGAAAUAAUUAGGAGGGCCAUAACAACAUAGCCAAUAUAGUCGAAGCAUUGCUGGCCCAAAAUGGUUUCAAUACUGGAUUGCACCAUCCAAAUUUCGUUUCGGCGUCGUCCGAAUUUGUCUUAGAAACGGAGAUGCCUAGAAAGCACAAAGUCCCCAAAUUCACUAAAUUUGCUGGGGAAACGAAUGAAUCCACUAUCUAACAUGUUGCUCGAUACAUUAUGGAGGCCAGAGACUUAGCAAACAAUGAGAAUUUGAAAUUGAAAUAUUUUCCAAGUUCUCUGACAAAAAAUGCAUUGACAUGGUUCACAACGUUGCGUCCACACUCCAUAGUUAGUUGGAAUCAAUUAGAGAAGGCUUUUCAUGAGCAGUUUUAUAUGGGCCAAUCUAAAAUUAGUUUGAAAGAAUUGGCUAGCGUUAGACGAAAGACGCAUGAGUCGAUAGAUGAUUACUUGAACAGAUUUCGACUCCUUAAAGCCCGAUGUUUCACCGCCGUGCCAGAACAUAAGUUGGUCGAAAUGGCUGCGGGUGGCUUAGAUUAUUCUGUUCGAAAGAAAUUAGAUACACAAUAUCUUAGGGACAUGGCGCAAUUAGCAGAUAGGGUUCGCCAAGUCGAGAGACUUAAGGCUGAAAAAGCCAAAACAAAUAGGUUCCCUAAGAAAGAGAAAGUUGCUUAUAUCGAUACUAGAGAUAGUGAGCCAGAAUUCGAUUGGGGAUCAGAUUCUGUAGAAGAUAACGAAAUAAAUCUUGCAGAAUUAAAAGAUGGGCCGCCUUACACUUGUAAAUUGUUAAGGCCAUCAAAUGGGAAAAACGUAGAAGAACCAAAAAAUGAUAAAUAUCCCCCAAAAACUUAUACUUUUGAUGUGUCUAAAUGUGAAGAAAUAUUUGAUCUUCUAGUUGCUGAUGGCAUAAUUUUAGUGCCAGAUAAUAUGAAACUCCCUCCUCUAGAUCAGAGGAAGAAAAGGGGUUUUUGCAAAUUUCAUGGUUUUUUGGGCCAUAACUUAUCCCGUUGCACUCGUUUCAGGGAUUCUGUGCAGAAGGCUCUUGAUGAAGGAAGACUGAAAUUCGGAGAAAAGGCUAAAGUAACAACUAAGCCUGAUGUCGAAUCUUCCAAAAAGGCUGAUUCCAUGUACACUGAAGUGGUUGGUAUAAACAUGGUGGAUGUUACAGAGUCAAGCGACGACAAACUAUUAUCGGGAAAAGCUUUACCUGAUGAUACUGAGAUGGUUACUGAAGACCAUGUUCGAAAUGCCAAUCUGGUCACUGAGGACCAACUCCAGAAGAAUGUAGAAAGGGCAUAUCCUAAAGCUGAAGAAGAUCUAGUUGAUUUUCUGAACCACUGCAAAGUUUUAAACACCAACGCCAUGCUUUGUCCAAGGUGUAGCGCAGUCUUCGAUAAAGAGGCCGCAAAAGCAAUCGAAGGCUCUCAGCCACAGACAAAAUGGAAGGGGAAAAAGAAAGAUAAUCGCCCUAAAUUCAAUUUCAACAAAAGGGGUGUCCCUUACAAAGACCAAUCCGCUCGAAAUUCUCAAAAGAGAAAUUGGAGAGGAACCUUCAAUCCGUCUGCGAAGUCCCCCACUGACACUUGGGUCUUUUCAGGAGGAAGGAAAUCUGGCUAUUCUGCCCCUCCAGCAAAAUGGGUGAAAAGAAAAGUUCCUGCUCCUCCAUGUGAGGCGCCAGAAGUGCCUAGCAGGUAUGCUUACAAUAAUAACUACAAAGGUAAGCAACCUAUGAUACGAACUCAAUGGCGCAGGUAUCAACGCCAGAAAAAAGCAUCAACAUUACAAGAUAUCACCAAUGUUGACAAAGGAGAGGGCAAGCGAAAAGAUGUGUUCGAAAUGGUUAAAAAACCAGUCACAGAGAGAAUCUCACCCCCAUUGUCAAUUUUGAAGAAAGAUCAUCCCAAAGAGGAUGAAGAAAUGACUUCAAAUUUCACUGGAUCUGACCCCAGUCUUGACAUAGUAUGCAAUGUGGUUUCUAUACUACCUGUGGAAUAUGACGUUCCGUCAGAAAUUAAUGAAGUUGAAAGUGAUUUCAUCGAUGAAAUGGCAAUUCACAAGCCACUAUGCUAUUAUGUCAUGAAUAAUGGUUGUGUAGAAGAGCAACAUGCAGUCUUUGAAAAAUCAGACACUUCGAUGAAGUUACAUCUCAAGCCUUUAUUUAUUCAGGCUAAAAUCAAUGGUGUGGGGGUAAAUAACGUGUUAGUUGAUGGUGGAGCCACAGUCAACCUGCUCCCUCAAUCGUUCCUGGGAAAGAUUGGACUCUAUGAUUCUGAUUUGAAGCCUCAUAAUGUCAUUCUCACUAACUAUGAAGGCACUUCAGGAAAUUCUUUGGGUGCUAUCGAACUGGAAUUAGUGGAGGGUAGCACAAGAAGGAUAACAACAUUUAUGAUAGUCCCAUCAAAAGCAAACUUUAAUGUACUGCUGGGUAGAGAAUGGAUACAUGGCGUGGGUGCAGUCCCCUCUACGGUGCAUCAAAGGAUUGCCAUAUGGAAAGAAGAUGGGCUAGUUGAGAACGUUGAAGCCGAUCAAAGUUAUUUCUUAGCUGAAGUAAACACUAUUACCAAGAAAAACUUCGAUAAGCAACUGGCACACAUAGCCCCAGUCACAUCUCCAGGACCCAAAAACAUGAUUUCAAAUGACGAGAUGUACUCCAUGAAACUGCAGCCAGAAGCAGGAUUUGUGUGGGAGAAAGAAUUGAGAGACCAUGACUUUGUAAUGGUCAACCAACAGGAAGUUCAGAUAGAAAAUGAAGAUCUGCUCGAAACUAGAGCCCAAGCAUACAAAAAGGUUGCUGAUAGCCUUGUACCUAACAUUCCUAAGUAUGCUACCCCACCAACUGGGGGGGAUGUAAAAAAUUGAAAUUAUGACUGAGCCCAAUAUUUGGGAGAAGAUUACGGCCUACUUGGCCGAAAACAAACUCCAAACGGCCAAAGAGGCCGAAGAUUCGAAGCAAGAGGUGAUCGAGAAGCUCGUGGACGAAUCCACAGACGACGGUGUCGAAGACCAGAAAUUGGAUUGCAUUUACGAUGAUGAACCGUUAGGCUUCGAAGAGGAUCCUAUGGGAUCCACUACAAAAAUGAAAGCGCAAGAUCCCCUCGAAGAAAUCGACUUGGGAGAUGGUACUGUCAAAAGACCUACUUAUGUAAGUGCCAAAAUCCCUGAAGGAUUCAAAAAUCGAAUUGCAGAGCUACUAAAAGAAUACAAAGAUUGCUUUGCAUGAGAUUACAAUGAAAUGCCUAGUUUAAAUCGAGAAGUGGUGGAAUUAAAAUUAGCAAUUCGGCCAGACAAAAAGCCAGUCAAGAAAAUUCCUCGUAGGUUCGCUCCACAGAUCCUACCAAAGAUCAAAGAAGAGAUCGAUAGACUGCUGAAAUGCGGAUUUAUCAGGCCUGCAAGGUAUGUAGAUUGGCUAGCAAAUGUAGUUCCAGUUAAAAAGAAAAAUGGAACCAUAAGGGUAUGCAUAGAUUUUAGAGAUUUGAAUCUCGCUACCCCUAAAGACGAAUACCCAAUGCCUGUAGCAGAAAUGCUCGUAGAUUCAGCGGCGGGUUUUGUAACGCUCACCUUCGUUUAAUCGUUUAUUUAAUCGAGUUUAGGCGAUUAUAUUAUAAUUAUAUAGUAUAAGCAUGAUUUUGAUAUGUUUUGAUGAUUUAAGAUGAUUUUGGUGAUUUGAUUGAUGACGUGAUAAGUUAUGAGUUUUUGAAGAUUUAAUAAGGAUAUGAGAUUUAUUUUAUUGUUAAAUAGAAUAAAGAUUUGAAAAUAAUAUAAAAUAUUUAGUUGAGGGCUGUUUUGAUAUUUUAGAUAGUUUUGGGGGAGAAAGUGAGAUAAGAUAAGUAAUUAAAAAAAAGAUACAAAUAGGGAAGACCUAAUUUUUAGAAAAACUGAUUGUACGUGAAAACUUUUGGAAAAAGGGAGAAAAGCUUAGAGAGGAGCAAGAGACCAAGAGGGCUGCGAUUUUCUGCAAAUUUAAGGUAAGGGUGAGACUAAUAACUCAGUAAUAUUAGUUGUUGUAAUUCUGAUGAGUAAUUAGCAAGAAUUAGGAAUUAAAUUGAGAAAACGAAAACUAGGUCAAAACCUUAGAAUUGAUGAUCAAACGUUGAGAAUUGGUUCAAUCGAUGUAGAAAGUGUUCCUAGACCUUAGAUAAUGUUUAGGAUGAACUUUGGAAUCAAAAACAAGCUUAGAACCAUGUGGAUCGACGGAUUUUUGUGAUUUUAGGAAACCUGGCCGUAGCGACAUUCAUCGCUCGCCACGCGAGUCUUUCCCCUUCGCCUCGUGAGUUGUUUGGUACAACUCGCCAUGGCGAGCUUUUCCCUUCACCUCGCGAGUUGUGCGACGCAGCUCGCCACUGCGAGCAACCUUACUCGCCAUAGCGAGCUAAGGCAGAGUGUAUGUUAGAUUUUGUGUUUUCGACUUUUUAGUUGGACCUUGAGUGCCUUUGAGUGUUUGAACAUACCUAGUAUUGAUUAGGAAUGAAUGUAGGAUCAGAGGGAACCCAGAACAAGCUUAGUUUGGGAGUUGAGUGGUACUCGCCACGGCGAGUAAGAACUCUCGCCUCGCGAGCACAACCAGGAUGAACUUGUUUGUGUGUUUGUGCGAUCUGUGUCGCACUUGUUGAUCAAGAGUGAACCCCUAACUGGUAAUGAGACCUAGUGAUGUCAUUUAAUGCAGACUGUAGAGUUGUUUAAGUUAUAUUAAUAUCAAUUGAAUAUGAACUAUUAUAUUGUAUAUUCAUGCAAGAUAAGAAGAUGUGUUAAUGAUGCAAAUUAUGUGUUUUGAUAUAAUGAUAUCAUCUUGUUAUGUGACUUGUUUACGCUGCUUUUGUUAUUUAACUAAGUGCAUAAGUAUAAGAUGAAGUUUAGCUCCAAAUUAUUGGAUGCAUGUUGAUAAGUCGAUUACGUUGUUUUGUUCAUAUGUGUCCAUGCAUAGCAUAUCAUUGAGCUUAGUCCUCACCAUGAAUAUUAGGAGCUUUGUCCUCCGCACGUUUUAUAGGAGCUUUGUCCUCCGCACGAUUAAAGUAUAUUAAUACUUAUGAUGACGAUUGGUACCACAUGCAUAUAAGGAGUCUAAGAGCAUUGUCACAUUGUCAUGAUUAAGAUGCCUUGUUGAUAAUGAUUGAAUAUGUGAUAAGUGUUUAAUGAUUAUGUUAUGUUGUUGAUAAUGAUUGAAUAUUUGAUUACGUGAUAAGUGUUUAAUGAUUAUGUUAUGUUGUUCAUGAUGAUUGGAUAUAUGAUUACGUGAUAACUGUUUAGCAUUUAUGCAAAGUUGAUAAAGGAAUGAUUAAGAUGUUAAUUUAUGAUUCGCAAUUACAUUGAUUAAUGUUAUUUUGUUAUGAAAUCUCACCCCUUCUGCUUGAAAAUGUUGCCCUUCGUAUGGGUAACUUGCAGGUGAUCGUGCUUAGUGUGCAGUUGCCGUCGUGAGUGGCCUUGCCUUCACUGUGUCGUCUAGGUCGCUCUGAUACGUAACGGGAUGGGGUUUAAUGUUAUGCAUGCUUCAUUCUUUUACGUGAACUGCUAUGAUAAUUUCUGUUUUGAUUAACUCUUUUGAGAUACUUUGUUAGGGCCUGCGUGCCAAAACCUUUUAUGAAUUAUGAUUAUGAUUUUCCGCUGCAAUGUUUAAGUUAUUGGUUAAAUUAUUAUUUAACUGUUGGAUUACGUUAUAUGUGAUAUCCCGUUGUUUUGAAGCUUACUCUGAUAAAUGUUAUGUUUUAAGAAAUUUUGAUAUUGGGAAAACGGGGUGUUACAGGUUUCGAUUACUUGAGUAUGCUAGAUGGAUACUCUGGUUACAAUCAAAUCUUUAUUGCAGAAGAAGAUAUCGCUAAGACCGCAUUUCGAUGCCCAGGGGCAUUAGGAUGUUAUGAAUGGGUAGUAAUGCCAUUUGGUCUAAAAAAUGCUGGUGCCACGUACCAGAGAGCGAUGAAUUUAAUGUUCCAUGAUUUCAUAGAAAAUUUUAUGCAGGUUUACAUCGAUGACAUUGUAGUGAAAUCUUCUUCGGAAGAAAGACAUUUGGAACAUUUACGCCAAUCAUUCGAAAGAAUGAGGCAAUAUGGAUUGAAAAUGAAUCCUUUAAAAUGUGCAUUUGGGGUUUGUGCAGGUGAUUUCUUAGGGUUCGUCUUGCAUAAAAAGGGAAUCGAAAUCAACCAGAACAAAACCAAAGCAUUAAUCGAGACCAAGGCUCCUUCUACCAAGAAAGAGUUGCAGUCUCUACUAGGGAAGAUCAACUUUCUCCGGAGGUUUAUAUCAAACCUAAGUGGUAAGACACAAGCUUUCUCACCAUUACUCCGACUAAAGAAAGAUGAUGUUUUCAAAUGGGAACCAGAGCACCAAAAAGCUUUCGAUGAAAUCAAGUCAUAUUUGGUAAACCCUCCGGUUCUUUCUCCUUUGUUGAAAGGCAGGAGAAUGAAGUUAUAUAUAGCAACGUCAGAUGACACCAUAGGAAGUAUGUUAGCACAAGAGGACGAACAUGGCACGGAAAGGGCCAUUUACUAUUUAAGUCGUGUACUUAAUGAUGUUGAAACAAGAUAUCAUCCUAGUGAAAAACUUUGUUUGUGCUUAUUCUUCUCAUGUACAAAACUUAAGCAUUAUAUAAAGCCUUUUGACGUUUAUGUUUAUUCCUAUUUUGAUAUCAUUAAGCAUAUGUUGUCAAAACCAAUUCUACAUAGCAGAGUCGGAAAAUGGGCCUUAGCAUUGACAGAAUAUUCAUUGACUUAUCAAUCAUUAAAGGCUGUCAAAGGCCAAAUUGUGGCCGAUUUUAUUGUAGAUCAUUCAGUAGAUGAAGUUUUGACAACUGAAAUGGAAAAUCAUCCAUGGAAUUUAUAUUUCGAUGGUUCUAGUCAUAAAAGUUGUACUGGCGUGGGGAUAGUGAUAGUCUCGCCCAAACACCAUAUAUUUAAAUACAUGCUUCGAAUCAAUCAACUUUGCUCUAACAAUGAGGCUGAAUAUGAAGCCUUAAUUACAGGUCUAGAAAUUGCACUCGAACUGGGGGAAAAAUGCAUCAAAAUCAGAGGAGAUUCUGAACUUAUCCUUAGACAAAUGACAAAAGAAUAUAGGUGCGUUAAGGAAAGUUUGGUCACCUAUCAUGCAAUAGCUGGCAGGUUGUUAAAACAGUUCACCCACGUGGAAAUUCGGCACAUACCUCGAAUGGAGAACCAAGAUGCAAAUGAUCUGGCACAGAGGGCCUCUGGAUACAAAAUACCGAAGGACCAGAUGCAAGAGCUGAUAUAAAUUAGAAACAGACGAAAUUCGAUGGAAUCGUUCUCUUGCAAAUCGUUAACGCCAAAACUUGGGGGGACUGAAGCAGGCCAAAAGUCCAUAAAAGGUACAUAUUUUUGUCGAAAUUUUUGUCAUUAACGAUUUAAAUGAAAAUGAUUGGCGAAGACCUAUAGUGAAAUAUCUGGAAAAUCCAGAUGGAACCACUUGUCGAAAAGUGAAGUACAGAGCCUAGGCGAAACAAAUGCAUAUCUGGCUGUUUUGAAUACACACGACGGAACUUGUGGAACGCACCAAGCGGGCCAUAAAAUGAAAUGGCUUUUAUUUCGACAAGGGUUAUAUUGGCCAACUAUGCUCAAAGAUUGCAUAGAAUUCGCAAAAGGAUGCCAAAAAUAUGCUGGAAUUCAGCGCGUCCUAGCAAGUGAACUUCAUGCGAUAAUCAAACCUUGGCCAUUUAGAGGAUGGGCUUUGGAUGUGAUAGGGGAAAUCAAACCCACUUCAUCGAAAGGAUAUAGAUACAUCUUAGUAGGAAUAGAUUAUUUCACAAAAUGGAUAAAAGCAAUUCCCUUAAAAGAUGUCACUCAAGAGGAAGUUAUAAGUUUCAUCCAGAAGUUCAUCAUCUAUAGGUUCGGUAUUCCGGAAACCAUUACCACAGACCAAGGGUCCGUAUUCACUGGUCGAAAAAUGGCGAAAUUCGCCGAAGAUAUAGGUUUUAAAUUGCUAACCUCGACACCAUAUUAAGCACAAGCAAAUGGUCAGGUUGAAGCAGCAAACAAAAAUAUCAUUGCCAUUAUCAAACGAAAAAUAAAGGCAAAGCCAAAGAAUUGGCCUGAAGUUCUAGGCAAAGCUUUGUGGGCAUGUCAAACAUCUCCAAAAGAAUCGACAAACACCACACCUUUUAGGCUAACAUUUGGUCAUGAUGCUGUGUUACCCGUAGAGUUUUUGCUUCAAUCAGUCAGAAUCCAAAGGCAAUGCGAAAUACCAGUUAAUCAUUAUUGGGACAUGGUCAUAGACGAGUUGACCGAUCUCGAUGAAGAAAGAUUAACAGCACUAGAAAUCCUUGCAAGACAAAAGGAGAGGGUAGCAAAAGCAUAUAAUAAAAAGGUAAAAUCGAAAUUUUUCACCCAAGGAGAUUUGGUAUGGAAAGUCAUUUUACCAAUGGAUAAGAAAGAUAGAGUUUUGGGAAAAUGGUCAUCCGGUUGGGAAGGACCAUGGUAGAUAUUGAGAGUCUUUUCGAACAAUGCAUAUGAGAUCGAAGAAUUAAAUGAAGAUCGAAGGAUCUUAUGAAUAAACGGAAAGUACUUGAAAAAGUAUAAACCGACAUUACAAGAAAUUAAGAUCAUACAAGAGUAAUUCGAAAAGAAAAGUUCAAACAUGGCAUUUCAUAAGGCCAACUAAUGGGCGGUUUACACAAAAUAAACUUCAAAAUGGGCUCUAAAGAGCGCAAAGUAAACCAUUACAAAAGAAAUGCUACAAAAGGAAAUUAGAAAAUUCUAAAAUGAUUUUUCUUCGAUGGAAUGACCUACAUAAGUUGGCCAAAGCCAAAAAGGUCGAGAAACCAUCGAAGCUCACUAUCGAGACAACACCUAAGGCAGAAACGCUGAAGAUUAUAUAGUUCGUCCUCAGCAGGAUGAAAUCCUCGAUAGUUGCGCCUUAACCCAUAUCCAGGGCAGUUGUGCCAGUUGUUGCAGAAUCGACGACGAAUCAACUGGGGGGGGGGGGGGGCAGCAACCUUUUGUACCAGCCUGAAACGAAGCGAAAGUGGGAGUCCCCUCCCGUUAUCUCCCUGCGAUAACGCGCAACAUUCUUCGUCUCCAAAAGAGACCAAAAGUCAUUGAAAAGUUCAGUUAUAUCAGGAGAGAUACCGUCAAGCGCCCUCAACAUUACAUCAAAGUAAAGCGCGCUCACGGAGCCAUCAUCCAUAGCAUUCUUGAGCGAAUACUUGACAGUAGGAAUGCAUGGCUCAACAUCUAGCAUGUGUUGAGUACAUCUCAAAAUACAAAACAUGGGAUUCCCAUGUUCCCAUAAACGAAGCUUGAAAUCCAACUUCGGAUGGGUAGGUUUCAGAUCGGUGAGUAUCCUGAUGCAAUCCUCACCAAAGGCUCUUGAGACCUUACGAUCUCCACAGAGAGCAGCAAUUCUCUUAUUUUGUCUUUGAAAACAAAAAAGAUCAAGCAUGCUGUACUUGGCGACCCUUGCAGCAAUGUCUAUGAUCAGAUCAUCACUCAAGCAACUUAUGAACUCCAUGAAGAAAUUUUGUUUAUGGAAAAGUGUUUAAUGAACACAAAGAAAGAUAAGUGAGAGAUGAAAAACACAAGACAAAAAGGAUGGUAUUUAUAAAAUAAGUGGGAAGUUGAAAAGUGGUUUUUUCUCUUUGAAACAUAAGCGACGGUUUCUUUUCUUGAUCAUCAUAGAUCAUAAGAAGACACGUGGCGUCAGUUGAUGCCGUGAUUCAAAAGCCUUGGGGAGGAAGUUGUAAAAAUCUUUAUGUUUUAUCUUCCCUAAAAAGAAUCUCAUAAUUAUAUUUUUUGGAAGAGUUACGGUUUCCAAGACAAGCUAAUCCUACCAAGUUAGGAAAAGACAUUUUAGUUUCUCAUCAUUAUAAUUGUCUUGAGAUUUGUUCAAUUAAGAGAGCAAUUAAAAUAUAUAUAUAUUAUAUAUAAAUAAUCAAAAUGAAACAUUGUGUUAAUAUUAAAAAGGUUGCUAAACCGUUACAAAAUAAAUACAUACACAAUAAGAAGGAACAAAAUAGAAACUAAGACUCUGAUGAGAAAAAACCGCAAGUGCACGGUCUUACCGAAGUAGUAAUAAAGAGUAUCGUUCCGACAGGGAGUAGUUUAAUUUAGUUAACCUUUAGAGAUGAUUAGAAGAGAGAAGUGGUUGUAAGUUGGGGGUUUUUAAACGGUUAAAAACAAUAUAAUAAAAGAGCCUUGGGAUCGUUGGUUUCAUCUAAAUAACAAGUCAUUCUCAAACUGAAACCAUAAGCUUAUAAUGUUAUGUUAGACCUAAUUUCUCAAGACAGUUUCUCUUAAGUUCCUCUAGCAACCAAGCCUAUUUCGCUGACUUGAUUACUAUUGGAUUUUGGUUCCUCUAACAACCAAGCCUAUUUCGCUGACUUGAUUGUUAUUAGUUCCCGUGAAGAUCGAAACUAUAUGUCUCAAAGAUUGCAAAGCCUAUUUCGCUGACUUUGCAAUCCUUGUCUGAAUUCACUUGUUCGAAUAUCAAAGCUCCACUUUCGUUUUAUGAAUUGAUAUUUGGAAUAAUGGACGAACAAUUAUCAAACCCUCCACUUUCGUUUCCACAGUUUGAUAAUGGUUAAUCCAUGUUAAGACGGUGAAUUCAGAUAAGAAAUUAGGGUUACAUAAGAUUAAGGCUUAGGGCUUGGUUUGAUUAGGAUUAUGUCAUUUAGACUUAUCCAACAAUCCCAAGACAAGAAGAAGUCUACUCACUCAUGUUCAUCGUAGACAUGGGGGAGAAGAGAGAAAGCAUGAAAGUAAAAGACAAAGAAAUAAAGGAAAAGAACUUUAUUUAGAAAAGCAAAUGUCACUUAUUGUAUUCCAAGUAAAGAUGAAUAUUAGUGAUGGCUAGCUACUCUAUUUAUAGUACACAAUUGACUUAAAAUCUAAGCAAGUAUAUUCCUAGAAUAUUCCUCGGUAGAUUGUGCGCCAAAAUAGAAUAGCUUGGAGUCAAAGCAAAAGCAGCAAAAGGCAUCUGGAGGGUGGCACGGCCGUGCCAAGGCUAGCACGGGCCGUGCCAAGCUUCUGACUUGUGGGAGAUAUAUUUUGCUUCCCAAUCUUCAUGUUUUUGUGUCCAAUCUGCUCCAAAUCCCUUUCUUUUGCUGCAAGACUCUCUCCAUCAAAUAUUCUUCCCUGAAAUAUAAUAAAUUGCAUUUUCAAGUAAACUAUCCUAAAAAGGAAAUAAUACUAAUAUAAAAUUAUAUAAAAUCUAAACUAAAAAGCAUAUUAAAAUAACAUGUAAAUGACUCAUCAAACUCCCCCAUACUUGAAUCUUUGCUUGUCCUCAAGCAAAAGGCAUAAACAUAGUAGCAUCAAUAGUUAAAUCGAAUGACAGUUAAUUAAAGCACAUGUCUCCUCAAGGGCUUUAAUCCCAAAAUGUACACUAAUCACAAACUCAAGUAUUUCUUGAAAUCUUUAUUCUACCCAACAAUCAAGUUUCAAGUGAGUGUGUGUGUGAAGUCCAACCCUUUUCUUGCUCUUGUAUAAGAUAGGUAUAAUGAGGAAACAUGGUCUAAUCCUAGCACUAAACUAACCAAGAAAAAUUCCUUCUACAAUUCAUAUAAGAGAGAUGGGAGUUUUUGAGAAUCUUUGUUCUUUUGCCAUAUGCACAUUUUAAGUUCUUUAUUUAAGGAACAACAUUUUCACGUAGGAGGUUGGAGGGCCUACCCCCUUCCCCAAUCUAGAUUCAAUGAUAUUCCUUAAAACAUCGUCUUCACGUAGGAAGUCGGAGGGCCUACCUCCUUCCCCAAUCUAGUUUCAACAAUGCUUUUUAAAGUUUUUCUCAAGAUAACAAUCACCUUCACGUAGGAAGUCGGAGGGCCUACCUCCUUCCCCAAUCUAGAUUCAGUGAUGAGACCUUGGAAUUAUUUGGCUUUUUGGCUUUUUAUGAUCUCCCUUAUACUCACUUAUACUACUGGCGCUUUGAGAAUUUUUAAAGGUUAAUGCACCACUAAGAUUAGAAUGUGUUUCCUUAAAAUACCUAUUCAUUCAUUUACUCAAGGGAAGCAACUUUGUGUUUUUCUCAUUGGAGAAUUUUAUUCACUUUAAAACAAGAUGUGGUUAUAUCAAGAAGACUUAAAACACAAGAGUUUGCUUUCAUGUACAAGAAUCAACAAAAUAAGAGGAGACAAUGAAAAUUUUUGUGUCUUGAUUUUUUUCUUCAAUAAAAAUUAGCUACUUAACUAUGCCUUUUACAAUAAAACAGAACAAAAGAAUAAAGUUCAAGGGAGUUUGGAAACACUACGACUAAAGACACUUUAUUAGGCUCCCCCCACACUUAGGAGAAGCAUUGUCCUCAAUGAUUCAAGAUAAAAAGAAAAAUAAAAGAGAAGUAGAGGUAGAAGAAGAAGAAGCAGAAGAAGGAGGAGAAAGUUAAGAAGGGAAGAGUGGAAGAGGAAAGCUCACAUUUUUAUCAUUGAGGUCCAUAUGGAGGACCUUGGAGGUGAAAGUGGUGCAUCAUGUUCCGAAGCAUUUGGUUAUUUUCUUCGGAUAUGCGGUUGCCCUUUUGGACAUCAUGCCUUAUGCUCAUGAGUUCAACACCUUGCCUUUGUUGCUCGGUGUUUAUUCUUUCAACCUCGGUAGUCAUCCAUGCCCAUCUUGCAUCCGCAUUUGUUUCAUCUUCAUUAUGGUCAUGGUAUGCCUCUUCAUGGUGCAGUUGUGCACCUUCCUCUUCCGGAUGCAAGUGUGCAUCCUCUGUUUCUUCAUUAGGUUGUUCUAUGUGCACCUGUGGGUCAUCAGCAACAUACAACAAAUUUGCUUCCACCUCGGUGUUAGUGCGAGAUGGGUUAGGCAAUAAAAUCAAGAUGGGCACAUUGAGUUGGAGUGUAUAGACAUAGGGGACUCGAGUUUUUAUGAAAUUCAUAGAGAUGAGAGUUUCUAUGUUUAGUCUAUUGUUACCCUCUAUCUUGUUUAUCCCUAGGUCUUCACUCACACCGAAUCGCCCAGCUAUGUAUGUUAUGAUACCACCAACUACUAUUUCUCCCCUACUAUCGGACCUAUUUCCUAUAAGGGAAAGGUAGUCAAGCAAGUAAAAACAAGUGUUAAUGGGUUGGUUGUGCAACAUAGCCCAAAUCAUGAAGAGUUCAUCAUUCCUAGUGUUCCCUAAUUCUUUCCGUCCCCUAAUGGUACAAGCUAUAACCCUUUGAAGGUACCUAAGUACGGGGUUGUGAAUGUUGCUAGCUUUGUUGGCACGAGUGUUAAAUUGGUCAAGACCGGUGAUUUGCUCCCAAAAGGCGGCGGGUUGAUAGUUAACCGGUUUUAAAUUUUGAUCCCAAGAGUCGUGGAUGAACCCCCCAUUUGCGAAGCCCAUCUCAUCACAGAAGUGCUGAAGAGACAUCUCAUAAUCAAUAUUCAAAAGCCGGAAAGAAACUCUAUGGUUGGGGUUAUCAAAGUUCAACCUAUCUUUUGUAAAAACAAUAGAGCUUAAAAAUUCAUAGGUGAAGUUUUCAUACCCUCGCAUAGGUUUCAACAUAUCAACCCAUCCUAGCCUUUCUAGCAAUUUUAACACAUUAUCCUUAAUACCUAGCUUAUUCAUAUCAUGGUUAUCAAGGUACCUGCAAGGUUGUAGAGGUUUAGAGAUUAGAAGUUUGUACCUAUCCCUUUGCUUGUUGUCCCGGAAGAUGAUGCCAUGAUUUUUUGCUUGUGCUUUCUUCUUUGGGGGAGGUCCUCCGGAUGAGCUUGCAACUUCCUUUCCACUUCUUUUUGAAGUCAUUGCCUAGACCUUGCCUUUGGGGUGGUGGUUUGGUUAAGGGUUGUUUUGGUGGAAAGAGGUUGGAUUAGUGUUGUGGUGAAGGUUUAGGUGAGUUUUUGGGGUUGGGUUAGGGAGGUUGGUGAAAAAUUUAUGGUUUUUGGGUUAGGUUAUGGAGGGUGACGAAUUUGGGUGAUGGUGGUUUUGGUGGAUGAAAGUUGUUUUGGAAUGGUGGGUUAUGAUUGGAAUGGUGUUAGGGUUUGAUUGGGUGGAGAAAUUUUGUGAAUGGGUGUGAUUUGAGGGUAGUUGUGAAGGUUUGUAGUUGUAUGGUUAUGGAGGUUUUGAGAGAGAAGGUGGGAAGUAGAGAGAAGUUUGUGUUGGAGAGUGAAGGAAGAAGAAGUUCAAAAGGUAGGGUUAUAGGCACCUGGUGUCGGGCACGGCCGUGCCAAGCUUGGCACGGGCCGUGCCAAUAUUCUGGACCUUGGCCAUUUGUUUGGUCUAUGAGGGUCUGGCACGGCCGUGCCAGUGUCAGCACGGGCCGUGCCAAGGUUCUGGAAUGCUAGGCUUCAAAAUUUUCUGUUUUCUUGAAUUUUUCUCGGACAAUAACCUACAAAAUAGUUUAAAAGAAACAAAAACAAAAACAAAAGCAGUUAAAUGCGUGGGUUGCCUCCCACGAAGCGCUCGUUUAUUGUCAUUAGCUUGACGUUAGGAAAGUGUCCUUAGAAAGGAUCAAAGAGGUCAUAUUGUGUAGUUGACGCUAGAAAGCGUUCUUUCACAUUGUGUACUUACAAUUAUGUUACAAGAAUAAAGAGCGGGACCUUUCAUAACAUUUUCCAGCUCGAACCCAAUCAUUGCAUCACUUGCUUGAAAAACUAUCCUUCCACUCUGAACAUCUAUUAUAGCACCUGCAGUAGCUAGGAAGGGUCGUCCUAAGAUUAUUGGGACAUCAAGGUCCUCUUCUAUGUCGACCACAACAAAAUCCGUCGGGAUAUAUAUCCCUUCUAUUUUAACGGGUAUGUCCUCUAUGUAGCCAGCUAGGGGGAUAGUAGAACGGUCUGCUAGUUUUAAGAUCAUCUCGGUCGGUUUAAGCUCUCCUAUUCCCAUCCUUUUGAAGAGGGAUAAAGGCAACAAACUUACACUAGCUCCUAAGUCACACAAGGCUUUGUCAACGGUUUCUUUUCCUAUCACACAAGGGAUGGAAAAACUACCUGGAUCUCUAAGCUUUUGGGGUUGCGUCUUGAUGAUUGCACUACUUUCCCUAGUUAAAGCUAUUGUCUCCUUGUGAUCUAUAGCCUUUUUCUUUGAAAAAAUUUCUUUUAAAAAUUUGGCGUAUAGAGGCAUACGAGAUAGAGCUUCAACAAAGGGGAUCUUAAUGCAAAUCUUUUUAAGUAUGUUUAAGAAUUUAGCAAACUCGGCCUCCAAGUUGAGCUUAGUGAGCCUUACAUCCUUCUCACCUAGAAGCUUAACACUCUCUCCCUUGACACUUUUGGCUUUGGUAAUGGUCUCUUCUAACUUAUUGCCCCCAAGAGAAAUGGCAUUGACAUGGGCCUUGGGGUUUGUUUCAGUUUGUCCAGGAAAGACUCCUGGUGUUUGAGAAGAGGUGGCCACUUGUUGGGCUACUUGGGAGAUUUGGGUUUCAAGCAUUUUGGUGUGUGUGGCGAUGGAAUCAACCUUGGUAUUGAGCUUGGAGAGAGAGUCGUUCAGAGAUCUUGUUUGGUUUUUUAACUCUUGAAGUUGUUUAUUUUGAUUCAUCAUGCAAUUUUCUAACAUUAUUUCCAAACUAGAUUUCUGAGCCACUCUCUGGUUGUUUGUAUAGCCAGGUGGUGCUGUUUGCCCAUAGGAACCUUGAGGAUUUUUGUAAAAAUUUUGAUUUGGCCUCAUUCCUUGGUUGUAUUGAGCGUAAUUUAGUUGCUCAAUAUUGGCAGCACUACCUAACUGACAAUCAACACCUGUAUGACCAGUUAUACCACAGACUUCACAAGUAGGGGAUGCAGGAGAAGGUGAGGCAGUAUUAACAUUAAGUUUUUCUAUUUUUUGUGUUAAUGCCUCAACUUUAGCAGCAAGGUGGUUAUAUUCAGAGACUUCGUAUAUAUCUGCCUCUUUCUUAGAGGGAGUAGGAGUGGUGACGGCUCUUUCGUUGGUCCAUUGAUAGUGAUUCUGAGCCAUGUCCUCAAUCAAAGCAUAAGCCUCCGUGUAGUUUUUGAUCAUUAGAGCUCCACCUGCAGCUGCAUCAACAGACAUCUUAGUGGUAUAAGACAAGCCAUUAUAAAACGUGUGGACUAUAAGCCACUUCUCUAGGCCGUGGUGGGGACAAAGUCUAAGCAUUUCCUUGAAACGCUCCCACGCCUCAUAGAGAGAUUCCCCAUCUUUUUGAUUGAAACGCGUAAUUUGGUCUCUAAGCUUAGCUGUUUUGGAUGGGGGAAAGAAUCGGGCGAGGAAUGCUCGCCUCAUAUCGUCCCAUGAAGUAAUGGAACUGACUUCUAGGGAAUGGAACCAAGCGCUAGCUCUACCCCUUAAGGAAAAGGGAAAGAGAUGAAGUCUUACGGCUUCUUGGUUCUCUUUUAUGGUGCCACUGAGUCUAAGGAAGGAAGAAAUAUGGAGAUUUGGAUCCUCAGUGGGUGAUCCAGAAAACUGGUUUUGCUGCACUAAAUUGAGUAGUGCAGGCUUGAUUUUGAAGUUAUUACCCGCAACCGUUGGGUACACGAUAAUAGCUUGUGGCUCUUCCGUUGAAGGAGUAGCAUACUCUUUGAGAGUACGUUCAGCCAUAGCGGUAUUAUUUUGUGCCUCUUUCUUUUUCUUAUGCAAAAACCUUUCGAUCUCAGGAAUAAAUUCUCCGAGACUUUUACUUCUUCGCAUAAGAAACCGAGAACCCAAGAAGUUAGUGGUAAAAACAAAAAGAAAGAAAAAUAGAAGAGAAGAGGAAGAGAAAAGAGAAGAGAGUUCUAAUCACUAAGAAAGAGUUAAUUAAAUUAGUUUACUCCCAUGCAGCGGCGCCAAAAACUUGAUGAGAUAAAACCGCAAGUGCACGGUCUUACCGAAGUAGUAAUAAAGAGUAUCGUUCCGACAGGGAGUAGUUUAAUUUAGUUAACCUUUAGAGAUGAUUAGAAGAGAGAAGAGGUUGUAAGUUGGGGGUUUUUAAACGGUUAAAAACAAUAUAAUAAAAGAGCCUUGGGAUCGUUGGUUUCAUCUAAAUAACAAGUCAUUCUCAAACCGAAACCAUAAGCUUAUAAUGUUAUGUUAGACCUAAUUUCUCAAGACAGUUUCUCUUAAGUUCCUCUAGCAACCAAGCCUAUUUCGCUGACUUGAUUACUAUUGGAUUUUGCUUCCUCUAACAACCAAGCCUAUUUCGCUGACUUGAUUGUUAUUAGUUCCCGUGAAGAUCGAAACUAUAUGUCUCAAAGAUUGCAAAGCCUAUUUCGCUGACUUUGCAAUCCUUGUCUGAAUUCACUUGUUCGAAUAUCAAAGCUCCACUUUCGUUUUAUGAAUUGAUAUUUGGAAUAAUGGACGAACAAUUAUCAAACCCUCCACUUUCGUUUCCACAGUUUGAUAAUGGUUAAUCCAUGUUAAGACGGUGAAUUCAGAUAAGAAAUUAGGGUUACAUAAGAUUAAGGCUUAGGGCUUGGUUUGAUUAGGAUUAUGUCAUUUAGACUUAUCCAACAAUCCCAAGACAAGAAGAAGUCUACUCACUCAUGUUCAUCGUAGACAUGGGGGAGAAGAGAGAAAGCAUGAAAGUAAAAGACAAAGAAAUAAAGGAAAAGAACUUUAUUUAGAAAAGCAAAUGUCACUUAUUGUAUUCCAAGUAAAGAUGAAUAUUAGUGAUGGCUAGCUACUCUAUUUAUAGUACACAAUUGACUUAAAAUCUAAGCAAGUAUAUUCCUAGAAUAUUCCUCGGUAGAUUGUGCGCCAAAAUAGAAUAGCUUGGAGUCAAAGCAAAAGCAGCAAAAGGCAUCUGGAGGGUGGCACGGCCGUGCCAAGGCUAGCACGGGCCGUGCCAAGCUUCUGACUUGUGGGAGAUAUAUUUUGCUUCCCAAUCUUCAUGUUUUUGUGUCCAAUCUGCUCCAAAUCCCUUUCUUUUGCUCCAAGACUCUCUCCAUCAAAUAUUCUUUCCUGAAAUAUAAUAAAUUGCAUUUUAAAGUAAACUAUCCUAAAAAGGAAAUAAUACUAAUAUAAAAUUAUAUAAAAUCUAAACUAAAAAGCAUAUUACAAUAACAUGUAAAUGACUCAUCAGACUCCCAUAAUGAGUUCGAUACAAAAUGGUUUACAUCUUAAAACCAGAGGUGAGUUGAUACAGUUGCUGUUUUAAAUCAUCAAGUUGUACAUCUUGGGCUUUGCCAUGAUCAGUGAGGAGUACUAUUUCUUGCUGGGAAGAUUUCGAUUCCUUGAUCUUCUUGAUGGCAAUUUGAGCCUCUGACUUCAUUAAACCUUCUUUAGCCAAAAGUUGGGCCUUCUGAUCCUCUAACUGCUCAAUUUUGGCCUUAUACUGGGUAAUUGAUGAAUCAAUGUCUGCCACUUGAGAUUGGAUUAGAGGGGUUUCUUGUCGAAAAGCCUCGAGCUUGGUUUUGAAUUCAGCAAUUUCAUCCAAAAGCUGAUCAUAUCGAAGGGUUUGUUCUUCAAGUUUAACCUUACCAUCUUUUCUUCGAAGACACCCUUGCUUGAUGUUAUCCAAAAGAGGCUCUAGAGCUUUGAAUUUUUUUUAGAAUUUCAAGCCUAAAGGGAGGUCUAUGAGUUUGUGUGAUAGUUCCCUUAUUUCGAGAAUAACAUUCUCGUCUUGCUCUAUGACCUCAAAUAGAUCAGCCCUUAAAACUUUGCUUCAAAACUCUGCGAAGAGAUUUUCGGUCGAAGCUUGAGAAGGAUCCCCAGUAGACACAUUAGAGGAUUUUCCGGUGCUCCUAGAUAGGAGAAUGUCUUUGGCUAAAAGGUCAAAAGCAUCCAAAGGAUUGGCUUCCUCAAGUUGACCUAAGGUUAUUGGAUCCAAGGUUGGAUCAAUUUGAAGUGGUUCAGCGUUACCUAUCGAAUCUGGGGCGCAAGUGAUUGAAAGAUUUUCAGCGAUGUGACCUUCUCUAGGAGUUACGAUAAAUUGAUCCGCAUCGAGCUCCGCUUCCACGUCGCUACCCCCUUCAGGUGCUUCACCUUGACGACCACUUGAUUCUACCGCAAUCUGAUUAGAAGAAGUGAUCUCCACAUCAGGUGUAGGAAUACUGGUCUCAACACCUUCAUCCUCUUCAGCAAUAGGCGAAGCCUCUGCUUGACCAACUUGAGCGUGUUGGGGUAUAUCGAUUUGGAUAGUCUGCAAGAGAAACACUGUUGUGAGAAACGCAUUUCGAUACUCAUAGCUAAAAUAAGAAAACAAAGGGUUUAUGAAAAACACCUUUAAAGCGUUGUCACCAAUGCAAGAAUGAGCACUGUUGGGAUUCGAAUCUUUGCGAGUUUUCAUCCUUUUUGGGCUAGGAUGGCCUAAGGAUUCUUCCACUGCAUCUAUCUCGAUGGCCGGAGAAUCAUGUUUUCUCUUCCUACGACCCUCUUUCAGUUUGAGAGGUUCAGAUACAGCAGGUCUUUCAGCAGCAUUGGGAGAAAUUUCAACCUACAAGGAAGUUUAAACUCAAAGAUCCCCUACGAAAAGUAUGGUCGAGACGACUCAAGAAAUAACUUAUCUCAUCCUCGGUGGUGCGGGAUUGCUCUCCUUUGGAAGGUUUUUCAGAUUUCUUCUUUUUGUCCGUUUUUGAAGAUUUAUUUUUCUGAGAAGUUUUGUCAGAUUUUGAUUUGGAUGUCUUUUGAGAGGUAUCUUCUUCCGGGUAUUCUACUUCCCCUGAAGCCAAAGGUAGAGGUACGAGCCAUAAAACACAAAACAAAUAAGUAUCCUCUUUUAUUUAAUAUAAUAGAUUCGAAAUUUGGAUGGUUUCUACAAAAGAAAAUCGAAAGGUUCCGUACCUAACCCUAUUUCGGAUAAAAUUCGAAUAUGAGGAUGAUUUAAGUGCAGAUGCCAUCUAAAAGUGUACAAGUUGUGCUUGGUCGCGGUUACUCUGUCUUUUUCCCUCUUUAUAAUUUUUUUUUUUCAUUCCCAUUAGACUAUCACAAAAUAACCAUUUGGGAUAGGGUGGCCUAAAGGCCAAUGCCAAUGGACUAGUUGGCAAAACGGGAAACUUCGUUUUAAAGUGAAGUGCAAAAAGGUAUUUACUGGGGGUAAAAGGAGGAAAAGACAUUGAGGGAAUUUUGUCAUGGAUCUUAUCCCUUAACGUUUUAGCCGCAUAAUAAACUGUCCUUUUUAGAUGGAGAGGAUCAUAUACAAUUUGAAAGAAGUUUUGAAAAGCUUGAAUUUCUCGAAUAUGCGUACCUUUGUUUUUCUUCGAUUUCCUCUGCACAGUAUGAAAAGCAAGGAUCAAUUCAGGAAGCAAAGUAACAGGAUCUAUACGAUCGGUUUGGCGCUUGAAAUAGCACUGCCACCAUCGAUAGAAUGUUUCUAUGCAUGCAAAAGAUGAUGUAUAUGGCUUUAGUUCGAAAAUAAGCUUUUGCCGCUGAGCCCGACGCAAGGUAGACCUCCAGACAUGCUCUAUAAGAGGUUGCCUCAAAUCAUCUAAACACUUGUACAAUGAAUUUGGCUUAAUUUGAACUAAGCCAAAUUGUCUGGCCACAUGGUUAAGUUGAUAGCCGUACACUCCAUACGGGCUUCCAGCAGUCACCCUACUGGACAGAAAGGUGGGAGUGAGGUAAGCUUCCCAGAUGGCAUUAAUAUCUACCUCAUCUUCAGUAGAAUCAGUUGGGAACUUUGCCGUAAACCAUGUAGGCCCAUGAGAUCUAGUGGUAAAGGGAGCCAUCGAAGGUGUGAAAGAUGUGCAACCUAGAAAGGCAUUGUAAGCCACUGCAAACAAAUCUGGAGAACUCCUAUUGUCGUACUGGAGCAUGGCCAAACCUAAACCUUCGACUGACCUAUUAUCAUAGGCUUUCGAAAGAGCAGGGGGACAGGUGUACUGCUAAUUUUGUUCUGAAAUUGGCUAAAAGCCACAAUUGAAACAACCAGAUGGGGCCAGGAAUAAUAAGGCUGCUACCAGGUUGGAAAUCUUUUAUGCUGGAUACUGCGUGGUUCAAACUCUCAUAUAAAGAUCCUAAGAUGAGCUUACUCAAGCAAAUAUCUCUCCCUUCAUGCAAUUGGAUUGCUAAGGUUGUAAACUUCUUAGGGAUCUGAAUCGAUCUUGAGCAGAAAAUAUAUAUAGACAACCAAUAAGUCAGAAAAGCGAUAUGCUCUUGAUCAGACGCUGUAGUACUAGAAGUGUUAUAAUGGUCAAUGAUGAAAUUGCCAUAAGCAGGUCUCGAAAAAUCGAAAGAUAUCUCCGAUGAAUGGGUGUCAGGAUCGAAAGUUUGGCCUAUAGGUUUCAAACCAACUAGACCGGCAACGUCUAGUAAGGUAGGUGUAAACCUAUUUCCAGAAAUGAAGGGCAACAAUGAUCAUCUCAUUAUGAUAUUUAGGUCCCUGACGGGAUAGCUGAAUGAGAUCAAAAAUUCCCAUUUCUUUCCAGAAGGAACUUUUGAUUUUUUCCACUUUAUCCAGCCAAUCAAGAUAUUUCUCAUUGUUUUCUAUCUUGGGUUCGGUUCUAAACUUGGAUUUCAAAAAGCUUAGGUCAUAUGGACCUUUUGAGAAAAUGAGAGGCAGUUGUUCCUCGCUACAAGGAAAAACAGUGUUAAGUUUUUUCUGAUCGUCGGAGUCAUCCGGCAAAGGCCUUAGGUAUGCAUGCGAUGAAUUUGGGCAUGAGAUGAUUACCUGGGAUUUCCAUAUUUUGUCUUCAGCUUCUUUAACAUCCGGUUCUUCCAUAAAUUGAGGAUUUCCGAGAAGAUUGACAUUUGGUUCAUGCUGUUUUGUUGAUUGAGAAGAAGAACCUUCAGCGCACGUCAUGAAGUUAUAAAUUUUUGGUUAAAAGAGCGAUGAACAGUGUUGAAUCGUAAGGAAGAAGGAGGAUACGGUGAAAAGAGUAAAAAUACUAAAAGGAGGCAAAGUGAGAGUAAAAGUAUGACUUAGGGUUAUAUAUAGCCUUUGAUGUUUGACAAAUGUCAACCAUCGCAUGGAACAGUUGUUUUUUGAUAGUUCCCAAUAACAAACAUGGCCCACUAAGCUAUGAUGGAGACAGUUUAAAAGAUAAAACCUUUAAAGUGCCAUUUUUUUCAAAAGAGUGACGUCACGCGGAAGAGUCAUACUUUAUCGAAAAUUUUCAGAAACGUCAAGUUUCUCUUGAUCGAAAAAGAGUUUAAACAUAACGUUUCUGGGGGGCAAUUUGUUAGCCGAUAUUUGUGAAAAUGCUAUCAUUUAAUGCAGUCAAAGGUUUUGACCUGAAGAAAUGGAUUUAGCUUUGUGAAGGAAUUUAUCGAAAAUAUAUCCUCGGCAGGAGUCGAAGAAACCGGUUCUAAUUCGAUGGAUAAAGGCAGUUAUCGAAGCGCCUUCAGAUUGUGGAUGAGAUCAAGCAGUUAGCAACGGCUAGUUUCGAUUUUGAAAUCGAACAGAUAUGAUUAAGUAGUUAUAGGACUAUUUGUGUAAAUAGUAGUUUUUCUUAGGAAAAACGGGUCACAAUUCAAUCAUACUAAAAACUUACACUCAAUACUGUCCGUAUGGAAGCGACAAACGAGUCACAAGUUGCAAAGUAUGAAUAUGUGCACCAAUUUUCAUUAAGUCUUUACAAAUUCAAUACAGUUCUUUAAACACCUUUGCAAUUUACUUAACCUUUUUCGAAGUAUUUUCUUCUACUGCUAUUCUUUAUAGAUUUUCGAUUGAAUUCAACACGGAUUGGAUUCAGUUAUUUACACUUUGUUCUUGUCUUUUACUUUAUCAAAAUACUUUACGAACAAGUAUUACAUUCAUUUCAUACCAUAAAAAGCACAAUAUGCUCCUAAGAUUUACUGGUUGAUCUUGCAAGUAAACAUCAUUGAAACCAGCGAUUGUUUAUCAAAAAUCAAUGUAAACAGUUUCAGAGAUUCGUUACAGCAUAACAUCAAUAGAUGAAAAAAAAAAAACUUGCAAGAAGUUGCAUAUAAUGAAUCUAUUGUUCAAUGACCAAUAAUAGCAUGACUGAUGUAUUCUCGCACACCCACUCCACCAUGAGGCAACUUUGUCAAUUUUUCUUUUUCUUUCUCUCAGAUCAUUUGAACUAUGCCUAUGUCUGACUUUGUGAUUAAAAAAAUUAACUUAUAAUCAAAUGUGGUUCGACAUCUUUUUUUUUAUUUUAUCAUAGAAUAUGUGUGAUUCACAUCUUAAAAUUUCAAAAAUAAAAACUAUAAUUGUUCAAUUACCGAUAUAAUUAAAAUGAGGAAUGUUAAAAAACAUCAAUAUAUUUCUCAGUCAUUUGAUAAGCAAUAAAAAGAAAGACUCAAGAAAAAACUUCAAAAUAACAUACCAUUUUAUCCCGUUGGGUUGUUUUAUUGUCGCCAUACCAACUCCCAUAUUUGUUGCUUAGUCGCUUUCUUAUUUUGGCUAUAUGGUUUUUUGUUUUGAUCGCUGUUAAAGCUCAAUUAUUUUUCCUGCUAAAGUAUCAUUUUUGUAUCUCUUUAUCUCUUAUUCGGGCACAUCUUGUGUUUGGAUUUGAGUUCUUUUAAAAUAUAUUUGUUGAUUAAAAAAACAACAUAUGAUUCCUCUUGUAGAAGUCGCAAUAUAUAGAGAAAAAAAUCCACAUGAAUAAAUUUAUGUUAGAUUAAUAUAAGUUAUCAUCACUAUUAUUCAGGUACAUCUUGUGCUUGGAUUUGAGUUCUUUUAGUACAUCUUUGCCAAUUUAAAAAAAAAAAAAUACAACAUGUGAUUCCUCUUGUAGAAGACACAAAAUAUAUAAAUAAAGAAAUUCACAUGUAACGGUUUGUGUUGGACUAAUAUAAGUUGUCAUCACUCAAUUACAUGACAAAUCCAUAUGCAAUGAUAUAUAUGUUAAAGAGUAUUAUAAGUUGCCAUCACUCAAUUCAAUACAGAAGAAGUAGAAAAUUACAUCACCUGACCAUGAGAUUAUUUUGGUACAAAUUUGGCCUUCAUGUGCAUUGAGUUGGAAUUCUUAGAGUCAUAGAGAAAAAUAUUAGAAACAAACACUUGAAAGAAUUAAGAAAUAACAUCAUAUCCAUAUAAGAGAAUAAACCGAGCAUUGCAAAUGAAAGAGGAUAAGUAGAGAAAAUUACAUUAUCUAACCAUAUGAUUCUUUUGGUACAAAUCUAAACGUAUUCUACUUUAAUUUCCUUUUUAUUUCCUUCAUAUGGAUUGAGUUUGAAUUGUUAGAGUCAUAGAAUUUAAAUUGGCCAUAACAACAUAACAAUAAAAAGAAUGGCAAUAAGGUUGAAAGUGUGCAAGUAAAAGAGUUAAAAAUAUAGUGAUUUCAUAGUCUAAUGAUAAUCAUCAUGAGUAGUAGAAAAAGCCUUAAAAAUAAAUAUGAAUACGGUAAAAAGAGUUACUCAAAUCAAUAGGCAGUAAGAAGCUUAUGAAUGAACGAUGGAUGCUUAAGAAAAUUUGUUAAAAAGGGGAAAUGUGGGGUAAGUGGUGGUUACAAAUGGUGAAAGGGAAUGUGAAAAAUUAUGGACUAAAUUCAUUCAAUUCGUAGGUUAUCAAUAUAAAACAAUGAGUAGUGGAAAGAGCUACACAAAUUAAUUGGAAGUUACAUAAUAAUUUUUUCAAAAUAGAUUAUAAAUAAAAAAUGAGUAGUGGAAGGAGUCACAAAUUAAUUGAAAGUUACAUAACAAAGAAGUCAAAAAUAAAGGAAAAAAGAGUCAUAUCAUAUGGCAUAAGUAUGUCAGAUUAAUUGAAAAGUGGAGGCUUUGGUGAGGUGACACAUAAAUCUUGCUCUAUAUUUUCUUCAAUCUUCUAAAUCUUCCACAUCUUCAGUUUGGUCUGUUUGGUCCUUAUGACCUGAUUCGUUGUCAGAGUGCAAUCUGAAGAAAUCCGCAAGUGUUGAUUUAGCUUACAUACUUACAUGGUUAAAUGCAUUAGACAAUGAUACAUCUUACAUUAUCCUUCUAUUCUUCUUCUGCAAAUAUGGUGUUUUAAUGGUUAGAGAUCCAAUUGAGGAAGAACAUUCAGUGUCAAUGUUGUCACGUCCAUUUUGCUAUCCAAACAAAAAGGAAUGGAAUGUAACUUGAGAAAACAAUUAACUUUUAUUCAAUGUUUGAAAUAAAUAAAAAAACGCAGAUAAACAACAUAUUAAAUUUAAGAUAGAAUUUAAUACACACAUUUUCUAAAUUUGAGGUGAGGUCAUCCAACUUCAGUCGUGUCAAUUGUUCUGCAACUUCAUCAAACAAUACAAAUAUUGUUGAGUUCGUAGAGUGGUUGACCUGGAGCUCCAAACGGUACCUAUAGAGAUUAUUUAAUCAUUACUUCAAGCCACAUGUAUUGAAUUUUGGGGAAAAAAAUAAUCACUUCAAAUGACCUCACAUAGUCUUUGGAUAGUCGACUUUUUUCUUACAAUGCCCACAAUUGAAGUCUGUCUCAGUGGCAGACACAAUUUUUCUACAAUGAGAGCAAGAAACAUAAAACAAUCCAUUUUUUAGUAGAAUGUCAUCAACUGUUGCAACACAGUUAUAGACAGCAGCACCUUGCAAGUAAAGUUGAAAGUAUGACACACAUUGCGAUAAAACAAAAAUUAAGGUUUAGAGAAUAUUUAACCAAGUGUUGACCUGAUUUACUUCCGAAACUGCCAUUGAUAAAAGCUCAGAUAUAGUCUUCAAAUCAACAGUAGUAAAAGCCAAAUCUUCAAUUUCUUUCACAACACUGGUUUUUCCCAUACAACGAUGCAACAACAACACAUAAUUAGAAAACAUGCAACAUAAUAUAAACUUAAGCAUUUAAACAUCAGUAAAGCGACACACUUGGAUGAACAAAUAAGAUCAGCAACUUCAGGGGUGUCUGUCUAUGUUGAUAUAAAUUGUUGUGGAUCUUGAAGACGAAACAUAAAACUCACCUACAACAAUACAUCACAUAUUCAACGGUUGAAGAGAGGGUCAGUUGGAUAUUAAAUGAUAUGGUAUGAUUUGUUACCUUGGUACUGUUUCACCAAAGUCGAGGUAAAAAUUGCCACAUUUGGCUUAGGAGCAGCAUGCAUUUGAUCUUUUAGUUUUUGAUUAAACAUUGAAGCGAAUCAUAGUCAUCCCAUAGUGAUACCUUCAAGAUAUUCCCACUGCCAAAAUUUUCAAAGGAUUAUAAAGUUUGUUAACUAAUUUUUCCGGUAAACUUAAUAACAAAAUGAGAAUUAAAUUAUGGGAAAAAAUUAUGUUGUACCUUCCAUCUCCCAAAUGAAGUGUCAGCAUGUCAACUCUCCCGUUGACAGUUGUUUUCUCCUCAAUUGGACCUACAUCAAUUAUAAAUCUAAUCACAUCUGUUUCGCAUAUAAAUGUUACAUGUUUUACACAAUAUAAUAGAUGUGCAUGACAUUUAAUAUAUUUUGAUAAACCAACCUGCUAACACCUCUUUCCCACAACAUUUGGGCAGAUCAUUGAAAUUAAAAAAUUCAAAGAUAUGGCGAGGGAUUGUGUUGUCUUCCGAGCCCUCCUCAGUCACAACUGUGCCACCAUAGAAAUGAAGCAUCGAGGAAUUUUUUCCGGCCACAACAUAUUUCUCCUUGUUUUUUGAGACCUCAAAGCGCGAAAUGACAUAUACCUUGCCUUCUUGCAAGACUCUCCUCAAUGAAGGUGAGAACCUCAUUGGUAUUGUAGCAUGGAUGCAAUUUUCCUAGAAAACAUUUCUAAAUAGGAAUUAGUCUAAGAUUAUUUGUGAAGGAACAACAAUAUAAUAAGAGCCAUGACAAACACCUUCUCAUCAAUUAGCACCAUAUCUGUACUAAUCAUUUCUUUUUUCUUUGUUAUAUUCAGUGUGUUCCACAUGCGUGCUAUCCUAACUUUGAUCCUGGCAUCAGGGGCAGCAUUGGAGAGUUCGUUGAGAAAGGUAUGCACACCACUGUCGUUGACUUUUCCGACCCUUCAAAAGUAAAGAACAUGAAAUUAGAUUAGACCAGAACAGUUAGCUUACAUGGCAGAGGAAAACUACAAGAAAGUGGUUUACAUGGUUUUGGUGAUAUCAAUGGCAGACAUGGGAGGGAAGCCUAGAGAUUAUGAGCGAAUCAAUGAAGAUAUAUGCGACAGAAUGAGUAGAAAAUGAAUGACACCAGUGCUGAUUAUAUAUUUGUUAGGAAAAUAUGUUAUUGAAAUGGUCUAAACCGCAACAUAUUUUUUAGGCUUUAUGAGAAAGAAUGUAAAGAGACACACCCAAAUUGUAAUUGUAUCCCUAGGCUUUAUGUUGUUACGGAUGCUAUUUUAUAUAAUCAUUGAAAUGGUCUAUACUGAUUAUUAUUUAUUUUUAUUUUUAGUCAUAAAUAAAAAUAUUGUGAACCUUCUUCAUUGUGACCAUUAUUUUUGUAUGAACCGGUAUACUAAAUCUGUAACUUAAGAAUAAAGAAUUGGAAAACAUUGCAUGAUGACUAAUUAACCUCUAUAAGGAGUUACAAUAAGAAAUAAUUGACUGGCACACAAUUUUGGUAAAAAGAAGUUACACAUAUAAUUGCCAGCCGUGUGUAAUAAAAGUAAUAAGUAAGAGGUGUAACUGAUCAUCACUACAACAUAAUCAUUCAAGUGUUGGCAAUCAUCAUUAAUAAAAAAAAUAAGCAAAUGAUUUUUGGUAAAUGGGGUUACACAUAGAUUGCCAUAAUAGAUUCAUUGUAUACAAAAUAAAUAUAUAACAUAUAAAUAUAAAAAAAUCUCGAUGAUAAAAUUUUUGGCAUCUUAAUAUAAAACAAUUUCAUUUAUCCAUAAAAAAUAAAUAUAAAUAUACAAAAAUAUCGAUGAUAAAAUUUUAGGGGUUUUAACAUUGACCAAUUUCAGUUGGCAAAUAUAAAAAUAAAAAAUAUAGACCAACUUUAGACUAAAAUUUAGGGGUCUCCCAUAUGACCGUGAAAAUUUACUUUUAUGGAAAUUUAGUAUCUAAUCUAAUAUAGACCUAAACAUAUAUUCUGGCCUAAAUAUUUUGCACAAUCGUAACCGGCAAUGUUGGGAAAAUUUAAAAAGGCAAGGGAAGUUUAAAAAUUAGAAAAGGGGCAUUGGUUAGGUGACACAUAAGUAAAGUGUAGUUUAGAAUGAGAGAGAAUGCAUACAAAGAGAUAAUUAGAAAGGGGGCAUUGGUAAGGUGACACAUAGGAAAAAUGUAGUUUAGAAUACAUGUAUAGACUAGGUUUAUAACCCGUGCGUUGCACGGGUUUAUUUAGAAUAUAUAAGGAUGAGUUAAGUAUGUUUUUUUUUUUGUUGGUCAAGUAGCAUAGUGGCUAGAGCUCACACAAUUUAAUUGUGGAGAAGUGGAGUGUCCGGGGUUCGAACCCCGGCUCCUGCAUAUAAUAUGCAAUAUCCCUACCAACUGAGCUAACCUCACGGGGAUUAAGUAUGUUUUUUAUCUCUAUAAAAUAUACUAACUUUUUGUUUUAGUUCUUCUAAAUUUUUCCUUCGACUUAUAAAAUUUUUAAUCACCACUUUUAGCCCUUAUUUUUAUGUCAACUCAUGCGUAAAUUUUGUAUUUUUUAAUUAAAUUGUGCAUUAAUGUGUAGAAUAUUGUAAAAAAACUCAAUUAAAAAAAGAAUUUUUUCACAAAACAUGAAUUAAUUAAGAAUUUUUAACGCAAAAAAAAAUAUAAAAAUUCAUAUUUAAUUCAUGUGUUGUUCAAAAAUUCUAAUUUUUUUUAGGAAGACAUUCUUAUAAUAUUAUAAACUUUUAUUCAAAAAUAUGAAUUUUACCUAUAAGUUUGCUUAAAAGGUGAGACCAAAAGUGAAGAUGAAAAACUUUUGAGGGACUAAAAGUCAAAUAAAACUUUUAGACAGACUAAAACAAAAAAUUGCUACAUUUAUAAGGACCAAAAACAUAUUUAACCCUAUAAGAAUUUGAAGAGUAGUGCUAUGGAUCUGAAAAAUUUGUAUAAUAGAAUAAUUUGAAUAUAUCUUCUCGUACAAAAAACAAUAAAUAGUCUAAGAUAUGUGUGAAAAGUAAGAAAGAUAAACAAAUACCUUAUUAUAAAAUUGAAGAGGGGUUGGAGAAAGUGAUGAUAACUCAAACAAAAAUUUAUAUAUAACAAAAAUAUUUAGCACAAUAGUAAAAUUAAAAUAAAAUAUUUAUGAUUUGGAUAGUGUAUAUACUUUAAUAAGAGUUUUAAAGAGGUGAUUGACUCAGUUUAUGAUUUUUUAUUUGAGACUAAAACUUUGCUAAAUAUCGCUUUAUUUUUGCAAUAUCAACUUUAUUUUCUACUAAUUGAAAAUGAAGACAAAAUGUGAUUUUUUUUUUCCAUGCAUGUAUGCUAACACUAUAGGGUAAGCUAUGGUGGUGAAUCAGUCCUUUUAAUAGCCUAACAUAUGGUUGUGAAUAUGUAUCAACCAAUCCAAUAAAUUGUAACCGAUUAGUUAUAACAAAAAUGACCUUAUGUUGUAUUGAAUUCAAGCUAAUGGAAGGUUCAACGUGAAUGGGCCGACAUUAAAAAAUGAAGCGUAAUGCUGGAUAUAGUGAAUGGAAUUUUCGUGAAAUAUAGCGAAGGUGCAUUUGCUGUUUAAUUUCCUCACUUUCCUCUCAUAUUUUCCACUAAAAAAGGAAGUUGAAUGUUUGACUGUUAAUUAAAACACAAUGUGUUAAUUCGGGACAGUCGCUAUGCAUAUCCUUCGCUGGAUAUAACACUACACAAAAAUGAAUUAGAGUAGUAGUUAAGUAGUUAAGAGAGGUGUUCAACUGUAUAUGAUAGCAGAAAUAGUACCAUUGAGGAAACACUCUGAGAUUUACUUGGCGUACAAAACAUCAGGCCCAACCUUUCAGAAGACAACAUAAAAACCAAGACGAUUACACUUGGAUCAACAGAACCUAAUAAAGAUAACAACAUCAACUAUAAAAACAUGGAGUCGAACCUUUUUUUUUUUUGGAGAAAAACAUUUAGUUAAAAAAAAAAACUGAGUUUGUUACAUUCCGAUUUGCAUAAGAAAAAUUAUGUUAUCAAAUUAAACAAUACUACCCAAAGCUAUAUAAGUUGAAGAUAUAUUAAUAAGAAUUUCCUGAAUUAAGAACCACACUUAGGUAUAUGCUGUCUAUCAUCAUUGCUAUGAAAUUUUCCUUAACAUCAGCGCUUCAAAUAUAGUUAACAAAAUGUGCUAAAUGUUGAGAAGGCAAUAAACACACAACACAAACGGGUAGAAAUUCAUUUAACAAUUUUUUAUGUUUACUCUAAAUAUCAUGGUCACCAAACACUAAUAGGAACAAUAUUUAUUGAAUGACAUGAUUAAAGGUGCCUCAUACCAGAUACAAAUGAUUGACUACUAAGAAAACAAAAGGAUAUAAACCACGUAAAAACAAAUUACAAAUAGGCUGAAUACUUCAAAUAAACUCUAAAUAAAGGAAGAUGAAUCAGAAAUAAUAUGAUUGAACGGGAACAAACAUAGGUAAACGAAAAGUAGUAUUUGAUGAACCUAAAGAGGUGAACCAAUGGACAAAUAAUUGAGCAAUGAAAAAACUUCUCUAGGUGGAGAUGUGCAUAAAAGAGUAGAAAAUGAAUGUGGGGUAAGUGGUGUUUAUAAAGGGUGAAAGGGAAUGUGAAAAAUUAUGCACUAAAUUUGUUUAAUUUGUAGGAAUGAGUUACACAAAUUAAUUGGUAGUUACAUAAUAAUUUAUUCAAUUUGUAGGUUAUAAAUAAAAGAUGAGUAGUGGAAGGAGUCACGCAAAUGAAUUAAUAGGAAGUUACAUAAUAAAGAUGUAAAAAAUGAAGAAAAAGAGAAAGCCACUUGGUGAAUGCUUAGAAAAUUAGUUAGAAAAGGGGGCAUUGGUGUGGUGACAUGUAAGCAAAGUGUAGUUUAGAAUACAUGUAUAUAGAGAUAGAGAUAGAGAUAGAGAUAGAGAUAGAUAGAUAGAUAGAUAGAUUAGAUAUAGAUAGAUAGAUAGAUAUAGAUUAACAUGUGAGUCUUCUUGACUCUUAGCUAUAUGCACAAGCUAAGUCUUCUUGAGUCUUCAUUAAUUGCAAUUACUACUAUGUCCUUGGAUCUUCAUUGCUUUGAACUUUCUUUCCUCCUUACAUACAAUUUCAUUUACAGUGUUUUUUUUCCCUUUCCCUGCUUUACUUAACAAAUCAUCACUUAUUUGCGACUUGUGGUAAAUAUUAACUUUCAAAUAUCUUUAAAAAAUAUCAUAAAAAAAUAUUAAGAAGAUAUUAUAGGAAAUAAUUGAUUGAAGUGGCCUCAAAUAAUAAUAAUUCACAACAUUAGUUUUCUCUGAAACUAUAUUUGACUGAGGAUGUGUUAUGACUUUGUUUUGGUAGGUGGCACACUCUAAUUGACCAAUGGUAUAUACCAUUGGUACUUUAAUGGUACACAAGUGGAAUCCGCAAUAAUAUCAUCUUUUCUUAGAAAGUGUGUGUUGUUAGGAAACAUGACAUCCAUGAAAAGAAGGAGAGAAAACUAACAAACUCUUUGUAUUGAUGGAAAUGAAAUAUUACAAAUGAGUGAAAGUAACCCUCUAAUAGGAUGAUUACAAGUUAUUUAUAUUACUCUCUACUACAACUAAUAUGCCACUAAUCUAUAUCUCUAAUAUAUGUUUUGAAAUAUCAUUUACGUUCUCAAACCUUCGUUUAGUAAAUGCUAUAAUUUUCAGUAAUGAUAUACUCAUCAGUUAUCACAUUUAGAAAGGGUUAUCAACAUUAUAUAGAUAAGAAAGGUUAUCAACAUACUCUCAGAUAUAUUUAUUUUUAAUUUUAACACAGGUGAUAAGAAAAAUGACAUAUGCUACAUUUAUUUUUAGUAUAUGAGAGGACUUUAACGAGAAAUUGCAUAUUUGAAUCACUUUCCUAAAGUAAAUAUUAACCACUGUCCACUGCUAAGCUUUGCUCUCCAGCUUUCAAAUUUUGUUUCUUACCUAACCAUUGAAAAACAGUACUGUUAUUCAUUAAUUCACAUACUAUAUGCACUUCCAGCCACUCAAAUUUAAGGUUUGGGGUUGGUUACGUAAAGUAAAUGUAUUAGCACGCUAAACGUCUAUAGUAUUCUAUUGGAAUAUCUUGCAUUUUUUUAUUUUUGACUAAAAUUGAUUAUUAUUUGCUUGCGAAAAAGAUUAAUGAGAUAACAAAAAACGAAAAUAUUUUGUUAUAUUUUUUGAUUUGGAAAGACGAAGUCUUUUGCCCCCGUAUCCGUGAAGGAUCAAAAUCAUGUAGUUCAAGGUAAAAAAAUCGAGUGAUUUGUUCGAUGUUUUUUAAUCGUUUUUGAAAAGGUUUUAAAAAAUAAAAGCCAAAAGGCAAAAUGAAAAGUUGUUUAGUGUUUUUUCAGUUUUAAGAAAAAAGUUUAAAUAUGUUUAAAAUGGAUUAAACAUACCUAAUAUGAGAAAGUGAAGUUUUUGAGUCCUAAGUACCAUUGAAUCCAAUAUUGACAAGUCUAUUUUUGAAAUUGAGUAGUUGUGAUCAGCAUUAUUGGAUCCAUACAGAACUUUUCAAAAUAUGGAUCAAUCAUUUUGAGUGCCAAAGACAUCAAAGUCUAUGCUUUUCAACUACAUUUUUAUAUGUGAAUCAACCAUAAUUUUUGUAUCAACUACAUGAAUCAACCAUAAUUUUCAACGUGACUUGAAUUAAUUAUCUAUUCAAUUGAAUUAACCACAUUUUUAUACAUGAUUAACUAGGUGUCGUAAGUGUAUGACAAAAUAUGUGCAUGAGGACUGAUAUCUUCUUUGGAAUAUAGAAGUUUACGGUCUUCAUAUUGUCAAUGGCCAUAGAGUCAAGAGGAGGAAAGUGAGGUUUUAUUUCUAGGCGAGUUUUAGCAUGGGGCAGUUGUCAAAUUGCUCCAUCUUAGAUCAAUUUUGUUUUAUUUACUAUUAGUUGUACAUCCUGAAUUUUUAUAUUCCAAUUUAUAACAAUAUUCAUUUAUAAUAUAUCAGUUUUAAUUUUAAUUUAACGGAGACUAAAAUAUUUUGAAGGGACAAAAAUGUCAUUAUUUAUAAGAACUAAAAACAAAUUUAGUUAUAUUUAUAAGCACUAAAAAUAUAUUUAACCCUAAUUAAUAUUAAAAAGUUUUGUGGAUGGGAUUAAUAUUAAGAUACAAACUAAAUUUAUUUCUUUAUAAAUAAUGUAGUAAAUAUAUAUUUACGCCAUAUUUUUUUUAGCCCAAAUUUAAACAUGUCUAUGUUUUCAAAUUUAAAAAAAAAAAUGUUUUCAAAUUAAAAAAUUAUUGAGAAUGAGCUGGACCUAUUAAAUUUUUAAACGGAAGAUUAAAAAAUAAUGUAUUUACAAAUAAAUUAAUUUGAGUCAAAUUAUAAUUGAGUAAGGCUAUAAAUUAGAAUUUUUUUUUCUUCUAAGAAACAUGAUCAUUAGAGUUUUAAAUAAUUUUGAAAUAAUGGUCCAUAAACCACUAAUGAUCUUUGCCGACAAACAAGCAUUAUUACUACUAUUCUCUCAAAAAAAAGCAUUAGGGUUAAUUAAGUUUUUGGUCUCUAUUAAUAUCUACAGUUUUGUUUUUAGUCCCUAUAAAAAUAAAUCACAUUUUUUAGUCCCUACAAAAUUUUCCGUUAGUGUUUUUAGUCCCUGUUAAAUUAAAAUUUGUUUAAUUAUGCUUAAAAUUUUAAAUUUUUUAAUGAUUUUUUACAUACUUGUUUAAAACAUUAUAAAAGGUUCCGCUACCAUAAAUUAGCUCAAAAUUUUAUUUUUAGGUCCAAAUUUUCGUUAGUUUUAUCUUGAAUUUUUGGCGUUUUAAAAAAAUUAUAUUUAAUUCAUUACAUGUUAAAAAAUUCUAAUUUUUUAUAUAAGAGAUUAUUAUAAUGUUCUUAACAUGUCUAUUAAAAAUCAUUUAAAAAUAUAAAAGUUUAAGUAUAAUUAAACAAAUUUCAAUUUAACAGGGACCAACACAUACUUUUAGUCCUUGUAAAAUUAAAAUUUGCUUAAUUGUGCUUAAACUUUUAAAUUUGUAACAUAUUUUUCACAUACUUACUUAGAAUAUUAUACAAAGUUCCUCCGCAAAAAAAGUAAUUUAAAAUUUUAUUAUUAGGUCCAAAUUUUCAUUAAUAUAAUUUUGAAAAUUUGGCUUUUAGAAAAAUUCAUAUUUAAUUCAUUACAUGUUAAAAAACUAAAUUUUUUUUACAAAAGAGUGUCUUACGAUGUUAUGAACAUGUCUGUAAAAAAUCUUUCAAAAAUUUAGAAGUUUAAGCAUAAUUAAACAAAUUUUAAUUUAACAGGGACUAAAAACACUAACAGAAAAUUUUGUAGGGACUAAAAAGUGUGAUUUAUUUUUAUAGGGACUAAAAACAAAACUACAGAUAUUUAUAGGGACCAAAAACUUAAUUAACCCAAAGCAUUAUUACUAUUACUAUUCAUUCACAUGUGAGUUUUAUUGAGUCUUACCUUUACCAUAUGUACUGCAAACCAUCCAAAAACAGUACUGUUGUCGGUUCAUUCAUAUGCUAAAUCCUCUUCAGUCUUAACUCCUUUCCCAUUUCUCUAAUACGACGUCCUUACUUAACAAGGACCACUCCUUGUUAAGGACACUCAUUGAAAGAAGAAAAAAUGAGUCCCCGUUAAGGAACAAACAAUUAUAUAAAGAUUCUCCCUCUUCUAAGCAACUAACAGAUCCUACGUUUAAAAGAAUAAUGAAAUAUGUAUUAUUUGGUCCCACUUACAGAAGUAAUAUUUUUCAGCAAUCAUAUAUUAAACAGGUAAUACUACAUUUAUAAACACAUUCUCAAUAAUAUUACAUUAUUUUUUUAAUUUUCACACAGGUGAUUAGAAAACUGAUAAUAUGAUGGUAAAGGAGUAAAAGUGUACAUAAAGAUUCCGAUUGCUUUAAUUGAGUGUGCAACUUUUUCUUUUUCUUUAAACAAUGUGAGCUUUGCUUUCCAGCUUUCAAAUUUAGUUUCAUACCCAACAAAUAAGUCUUCUUGAGUCUACCUUUGCUGUAUGCACAAUCAACCAUUCAAUUAUUUCUAUCAUUCAAUCUUCAUAGUUCUUAAUUUCCUUCAAAAUUUCAUCUAAAACUUUUAUCCUUGCUGGUUUACUAUAACCAAUCAGAGAUGGCUGCAGUUUUGAUUGGAGGUGCAUUUCUGGCUGCUACUCUUCAAACCUUAACGGACAAACUAGCUUCAAUCGAGUUUCGUGAUUAUAUCACAAAAACAGAGUUGAAUGAAUCAUUGAUAGAUGAGAUGGAAACAAGUCUACUUACUCUUGAGGUUGUACUAGAUGAUGCAGAGGAGAAGCAGAUCCUCAAACCCAGAAUCAAACAAUGGUUGGAUCGGUUAAAAGAUGCAAUCUAUGAUGCUGAGGAUUUGUUCAAUCAAAUCAGCUACAAUGCCCUACGAUGCAAGAUGGAGAAGAAACAAGCGAUCAAUUCUGAAAUGGAUCAGAAUAUUACAGAUCAGUUUCGGAACUUGCUUUCAACUACAAACUCAAAUGAAGAGAUCAAUUCUGAAAUGAAGAAGAUUUAUAAAAGGCUGCAAACUUUUGUCCAGCAGAGCACCGCCAUCGGCUUGCAACACACUGUAAGUGGUAGAGUUUCUCAUAGACUGCCUUCAAGUUCAGUGGUAAAUGAAUCUGUCAUGGUGGGUAGGAAGGAUGACAAAGAGACAAUAAUGAACAUGUUGCUGUCACAGAGAGACACAACCCAUAAUGCUAUAGGUGUUGUUGCAAUUUUGGGCAUGGGAGGUUUAGGAAAAACUACCCUUGCUCAACUUGUUUACAAUGAUAAAGAAGUUCAACAACAUUUUGAUAUGAGGGCGUGGGCUUGUGUGUCCGAGGAUUUUGAUAUUAUGAGAGUAACCAAGUCUCUCCUUGAAUCUGUCACUUCCACAACUUGGGAUAGCAAUAAUCUUGAUGUCCUUCGAGUUGAGUUAAAGAAACAUUCAAGGGAGAAAAGAUUUUUGUUUGUAUUGGAUGAUCUGUGGAAUGACAGUUAUGAUGAUUGGGAUGAGCUAGUAAGUCCCUUCAUUGAUGGAAAACCUGGAAGCAUGGUGAUUAUAACAACGCGCCAAGAAAAAGUAGCUGAGGUGGCACACACAUUUCCUAUACAUGAACUAAAACUUCUAUCAAAUGAAGAUUGUUGGUCGUUACUCUCAAAGCAUGCAUUGAGAGUUGGUGAGUUUCACCGUACUAGAAACUCAACCUUUGAAGAAAUAGGCAGGAAGAUUGCAAGAAAGUGUGGAGGAUUGCCAAUAGCUGCUAAAACAAUAGGAGGACUUCUAGGUUCGAAGGUAGAUAUAAUAGAGUGGACAACAAUUUUGAAUAGCAAUGUAUGGAACUUACCAAAUGAUAAAAUUCUUCCUACUUUGCAUUUGAGUUAUCAAUGUCUUCCCUCUCAUUUGAAAAUAUGUUUUGCAUAUUGUUCUAUUUUUCCAAAGGGUCACACACAUGACAGGAAGAAAUUGGUUUUGCUGUGGAUGGCAGAAGGCUUUCUUGAUUAUUCACAUGGGGAGAAAACGAUGGAAGAAUUAGGUGAUGAUUGCUUUGCUGAAUUAUUGUCCAGAUCCUUAAUUCAACAAUCAAAUGAUAAUGGUCGUGGAGAAAAGUUUUUCAUGCAUGACCUUGUCAAUGAUUUGGCUACAGUCGUAUCUGGAAAAAGUUGUUGCAGGUUUGAAUGUGGUAAUAUCUCUGAAAAUGUUCGUCAUGUUUCAUAUAUUCAAGAAGAGUAUGACAUCGUAACAAAGUUUAAGCCUUUCCACAAUUUGAAAUGCUUGCGAACCUUUCUACCUAUUCACGUUUGGAGGUGCAACAAUUACUUAUCCUUCAAGGUGGUUGAUGAUUUGAUACCAUCACUCAAAAGGUUGCGCGUGUUAUCUCUAUCAAAGUAUAAAAACAUCACCAAGCUACCUGAUACAAUUGGCAAGUUAGUGCAAUUGCGAUAUCUAGAUCUCUCAUUCACUGAAAUUGAAAGCUUGCCUGAUGCAACAUGUAACCUUUACAAUUUGCAGACCUUGAUUUUAUCAAGUUGUGAGGGUCUCACUAAAUUGCCAGUACAUAUUGGAAAUUUAGUACAAUUGCAGUAUCUAGAUCUCUCCUUCACUGAAAUCGAAAGCUUGCCGGAUGCAACAUGCAACCUUUACAAUUUGAAGACCUUGAUUUUAUCAAGUUGUGAGAGUCUCACUGAAUUGCCGCUACAUAUUGGAAAUUUAGUCAGUUUACGUCACCUUGAUAUAAGUGAGACUAACAUAAGUAAGUUGCCUAUGGAAAUGCUGAAACUAACAAACCUUCAAACUCUAACCCUUUUUUUAGUGGGUAAGCCCUAUGUAGGGUUAAGUAUCAAAGAGCUAAGUAGAUUCACAAACCUACGGCGAAAACUUAUUAUUAAGAACUUGGAAAAUAUUGUUGAUGCCACAGAGGCAUGUGAUGCCAACCUUAAAAGCAAAGACCAAAUUGAGGAGUUAGAGAUGAUAUGGGGAAAACAAAGUGAAGAUUCACAAAAAGUGAAAGUAUUGCUAGAUAUGUUGCAACCACCAAUAAAUUUGAAGAGUCUGAAUAUUUGCUUGUAUGGUGGGACAAGCUUUUCGAGUUGGUUAGGAAAUUCUUCGUUUUGUAACUUGGUGUCCCUCGUAAUCACUGAUUGUGAAUAUUGUGCGAUACUUCCACCACUUGGGCAACUACCUUCUCUCAAGGACCUAGAAAUAUUUGGAAUGAAGAUGUUGGAGACAAUUGGCCCGGAGUUCUAUUAUGUCCAGAUUGAAGAAGGCUCUGAAUCUUUCUUCCAACCAUUUCCAUCCCUUGAGCGCAUAAAAUUUAACAACAUGCCAAAUUGGAAUCAAUGGCUUCCCUUUGAAGGAAUAAAUUUUGUUUUUCCUCGACUUAGAACUAUGGAGUUAGAUGAUUGUCCUGAACUAAAGGGGCAUUUGCCUAGUGACCUUCCUUGCAUAGAAGAAAUUAUGAUAAAAGGUUGUGCGAAUCUAUUGGAUACACCACCUACUUUGGAUUGGUUGCCGUCAGUAAAAAAAAUUAAUAUCAAUGGUCUUGGGAGUGAUGCUUCAAGUAUGAUGUUCCCUUUUUACUCUCUUCAAAAAUUGACCAUAGACGGUUUUUCAUCUCCGAUGUCUUUCCCAAUAGGCAGUCUUCCAAACACCUUGAAAUUUCUCAUAAUUAGUAACUGUGAGAAUCUAGAGUUCCUUCCUCAUGAAUACUUGGACAAUUCCACAUAUCUUGAGGAAUUAACAAUAUCUUAUAGCUGUAAUUCAAUGAUAUCAUUUACCUUGGGAUCUCUCCCUAUCCUCAAGAGUAUGUUUUUUGAGGGUUGUAAAAAUCUGAAAUCGAUAUCAAUUGCAGAAGACGCGUCAGAGAAGAGUCUCUCAUUUCUUAGAAGCAUUAAAAUAUGGGACUGUAAUGAACUUGAAUCAUUUCCCUCAGGUGGAUUGGCUACUCCAAACCUUGUUUAUAUUGCAUUGUGGAAGUGUGAGAAGCUUCAUUCACUGCCAGAAGCAAUGACCGAUCUUACUGGCCUUAAAGAAAUGGAAAUUGAUAAUCUACCAAAUGUUCAAUCUUUUGUCAUAGAUGAUUUGCCUAGCAGUUUACAGGAACUGACUGUUGGCUCUGUUGGAGGGAUUAUGUGGAAAACUGAGCCAACUUGGGAACAUCUCACUUGUCUUUCAGUGUUGCGAAUAAGCGGUAAUGAUAUGGUGAACUCGCUAAUGGCGUCAUUGCUACCUGCAUCUCUUCUGAGACUACGCGUUUGUGGUCUUACUGAUACAAACUUGGAUGGGAAGUGGUUUUUACAUCUCAGUUCUCUCCGAAACCUUGAGAUUGUUAACGCUCCCAAACUCGAGUCGUUGCCAAACGAAGGAUUGCCUACCUCUAUUUCUGUACUAAGUUUAACUCGCUGUCCAUUACUUGAAGCAGGGUUGCAGAGCAAGCAAGGGAAAGAGUGGCAUAAGAUUCUUCACAUACCUGCCAUAAUUAUUGAUGACAAAUUAAUCACAUGAGUUUCAUAUCUUGGUGAGUCUCUGAAAUACUUCUUUUUGUUUCUUUCUUAUUAUGUAAGGGUCAAUUAAUAUUAUUAAUUCAAUAAUAACAUCAAAAUACAAAAUUAUAACUCUAACUGAAUUUUUUUAAUCAUAGUAUUAAAUUCUGUAUCACCCCUGCUUCUGCACAAGAACUGUUUUAUUGACCAGGAACAGAUGUAAAUGAGAAAUAACAGCUGACCACAAAUAAGUUAGAUACUUUUUUUGUUUGUGAGUUGUGAUGUCAUAUAUAUUUGAAUGAGUUGGUUUUGUGUUCAUAGAAUAUCAUUUAUGCAUUAUCCAACUGUCUUUACUUAAUAUUGCUUCCUUGUGUUGGUUCCUUGUGAUUAUUCUUCUACCCUUUGCUUUGUAUGGCAGAUAAAGAUGCUUAAGAAAGUUAUUUGAUUCUAAAUUAUGUUUUGAUUUUGGGACUUUAUGUUUUGUUGUUUGCCAGUUCAUCAACCAGAUUUGGUGACUUAGUUUUUAUUUUCAAUUUAUUUUAUCUCUGCCCUGUUUGCAGAUCGACCAAGGGCAUCAAGUGAGAUUGAUGGCUUGCAACAAGAUGGCAGCAGUGGAAUCUAAGGUACAAAUUUAGAUAUUAGUACAUGCAUGUUCUAAUUCUCUUAUUUCUUUCCAUCAAUAACAUGGUAUUUCUUUUUUUAUCUUCUUUCUUGUUUGUUAUUGGUCCUUCAAUAAAUCUUGUUUACUCAAUUUCAAAUCUGCAACCAAAUUACUUUCACAUCAGUAUUGUGUUUUCCCCCUCCCCAGUUUAAAUUUUACAAGUUCUUGUUCAGAAGUUGUCCCUUGUGUAGAUUUAUUUGUUGUUAGUAUUUAUUCUAGUCUCUCUUCAAGUAUUUUGCAGGAUUUAGAAAAUGAGGUACAAAUAUUCUUUGUGAAAAUAAGUGUUUUUGAUAUCAAUUGUGUUAAAGAUGCUGCUCAAAUUGCUAAUGUUAAUAGCUUUGGAUUAUCAAAAUUAAUUUAAUGAGUUUUUUCUGUUGUUCCUCUUUGAGUAUCUUCAAUUACUUUCUUAUCUUUGUGAAACACUUCAUAAUUGUGAAAAGCUUGAGUAUCUUUUGUUAAUGCUUAUUUGAUUUUUUCAGGAGUGUGGGGUUCGUAGAUUUGUAUUGGCUGCAUUUUGUUAAAACAAGAGUUCUAACAAGAUGUCGGACAAGAUGUCUUGACAUGUUGGUGCGACAUCAUAGCGUGUCUUGUUUUGCUUUCUUGGAGACUGUAUUUUAAACGUGAGAUUCAUGAAGAUUCUCUGAAGAUUUGAUUCAUGUGGAGUUGACCAAGAAGCAUGUGGUUUCUAGAAGCAAUAAUAGGUAGUUUUGCUUUGACGUUUUCUUAAGUGUGAUGUUGUAACAUUUAAGGAAACAAUAUAUUUUCUUCAGAACUUUGUGUUGAAAAUCGUGUGGUUCAGCGGAUUGUUUGGCACGAGUUAUGCACCAAGCUCAUUCUGCACUCAAGCUAUAUAAAGGAAGAAUCAAGACCUAAUUCACCAUUGAAGCCGUAGUUCAAAAAGUGUCAUUUUUAGGGUUUUAGUUUGUCCUUGUUAUUUGUGAGCCACUCUUGUAUCACGCGUUGAUGCAUACAGUUGGACUGUAGUUGAGUUGUAAACUAUGAAUCACUCAAAGCUUCUAAGCACAAGUUGAAUCUCUGUUAGGAGUGUGUCUCCAUCACAGUUGUUAUUAUUGAGUCAAUCAUUGGGACUGUGGUUGAGAGGAAGGGAUAGAGGGAUCUCAUAUCUAGGAGAGUCUUAAAUUGAAGAUAGUUUUUAUGUAUGCUUCAAAUUAAUAUUAUCAUAGUGAAUUUCCUUCCUAGCUUGGUAGCCCCUACAUGUAGGUGACGUUGCACCGAACUGGGUUAACAAACAACUUGUGCAUUUUACUUCCUGCUUUUAUUAUUCACGAUUGUUGUUUGUUAUAUGUGUUGUCAUGACGUUCUGACGUCAUUCUUGACAUCUCGCUUGUCCUAAGAUCGUGUAUAACAUUUUUAGUGCGUGCUAGAAUUUCAAUUGGCAUCAGAGCAGACACCCUAUUCUGUUUCUGGGUGAGCUCCAGGGAAAAUAUUUUCUGGUACAAUGGAAAAGUAAGGAGGACAAGUUAACAGACCACUUGUUUUGGAUGAGUCCAACUAUGACUAUUGGAAAGUGCGCAUGGUGGCAUUCCUUAAGUCUAUUGACAAUAUGACUUGGAAAUCUGUUGUAAAAGGUUGGGAUCAUCCUCUAGUUAAUGAUAAUGAUGGUAAGGACACAACUGAGAUGAAACCUGAAGAGGAAUGGUCAAAGGAGGAAGAUGAGCUUGCUCUUGGAAACUCCAAAGCCUUGAACAAAUUUUUUAAUGGAGUAGACAAAUAUAUGUUUAGAUUGAUAAAUAUUUGUACCGUGGCCAAGGAUGCUUGUGACAUCUUGAGAACUACACAUGAAGGUAUAUCUAAGGUUAAGAUGUCAAAAUUGCAGCUACUUACCACUAAAUUUGAAAACUUUAAGAAGAAAGAUGAUGAAUCCAUUCAAGACUUUCACAUGAUCCUGGAUAUUGCAAAUGCUUCUGGUGCUCUGGAGAAAAGAUGACUGAAGAGAAGCUUGUCGUAAAAAUUCUUAGGUCUCUUCCCAAGAAGUUUGAUAUGAAAGUAACUGCCAUCGAAGAAGCCCAAGAUAUUAAGAACAUGAAAGUUGAAGAACUUAUUGAGUCACUUCAAACUUCGCUUAAUUACUGUUUUCGCCCCCUAAGUUUUCAAAUGUUGUGAUUUUGGCCCCCUAAAAAAACAACUCUUUCCAAGCCCUCUAUGUUUACUUUCUAUUGCAAUUUUAGCCCCCCAAUUUUGACCCAGUAAACGUACACGUGGGCGCCACAUGUGUAAUUUUUUUUUUGUUUUUUUAAUUUAAAAAAUAUAUAUAUUAAUUUUUUUUUAUUUUACACAUUUACAUGUGGCAUUUUUAUUUAUUUAAAAAAAAAAUUACACACGUGGCGCCCAUGUGUGCGCCACGUAUGUAUUGACUGGGUCAAAAUUAGGCUAGGGGGCUAAAAUUGGAACAGAAAGUAAACAUAAAGGGCUUGGAAAAAAUUGUUUUUUUUAGGGGGAAAAAUCACAACAUUUGGAAACUUAGGGGGCAAAACAGUAAUUAAGCCUUCAAACUUUCGAAAUGGCUAUCAGUGAUAAGUCUGAAAAGAGAAAAACAAAAGCGUUGCUUUUGUGUCUAAUACCAGUGAUGAUCAAACUCAAGGUGACCUUUUUUUUUUUUUUUGAAAACUCGGUAUCCGAUCCAAGAAUCGACUAAUCCGAGGGGACCAAUCCCACCGUCCACUUGCGGGGGCCCCGUUUAAAGCCAGAGCAAGCUCUGUAUGGACUUAGCCCACCGAAAUUGGCACUAGAGGGAAUCAAACCUGAGCCCUCUGGAGGAGCAAACUCCAAGAUCCCAAGCCAACCCCAAAUGGGUUAAACUCAAGGUGACCUUGAAACUGAUGAAGGAAUAUCUCAUGAGAUGGUGCUUCUUGGAAGACAAUUUAACAAUAUCCUGAGCAAAAUGGAUAGAAAAAGCAGACCUAAUGUCAAGAACAUCUCGUAUAACAUUAGCAAAAACUUGCUUCAACAGAUUUUCUUGAUUACAUCAAAAACACCAAGCCAAAUGUCUCACUCUUGAGGUAGUCAUACAAACUGUUGCGAAUCUGAUGAAAAUCACACCAAUAACAACUUGAUGUGUGGAGCAAGGGAUAAUCAAGCAACCAAAACAAAGUGUAUGGGACAAUUAAAUACAAGCCAAAAGUAGAAAACAACGGCGAGAAGAACACAAAGAAGAGAAGAACACAAUAAUUUGUUGACCCAGUUCGGUCCAAAUUGACCUAGUCUUAGGGAGAGAGCAGCCCUCCGAUCCACUAUAUGAUGAGUAACGUUACAAAAGAGAAAUGAACGGGUUACAAGAAUAAGUCUCCCUCCUAAUUCUACCCAAAGUCCAGCCUCUUCCUGUAACCAAGAGACUCGAUCCUAAUAGUGUUUCCCAAGGUGAAUCAACCCACAAACCCUAGUGUUUGUUCCAAAGAGACAAACUCUAUAAAAACCCUAGUUUUGUUAUUGCCUUUCUAAACCCUUGUUCCAGCCCCCUUUAUCUCUCUCAAAGUUUGCUCCGAUACAAGGUCUAUAUUUAUAGUAAAAGUAUCGCUUAAAAUUUGGAACAAAUUUGCACUCAAAAAUAUGUUUCUGUUUUUCGCUGCCAGCGCACCAUCGUGCCACGAUGAGGGAUGGCAAUUAGACCCAGAUUCUAUGGGCACUCGCAAAAAAUACCCGCUAUGGGUAGGGUAAAACCCCGCUUUCAUGGGUCCGAGCUUGGGUAUGGGUAAUUACCCGCAAAUUUAUAUGGGUAUGGGCACGAGUAUGGGCACUGUACUACCCAGCCCCGCAACCCGCAUCUAUGUAUUUAUAUAAUAUUAUAAAUAAUUUAUUUAUUUUUGGUGUACAAUUAAUUAAUAAAUUUAACUAUUUAAGCCUAACCUUAAACCUAAAUCAAAUUAAUAAAAACUUUAGUAACAAUUUAUUAUGAUUUUAACAUGCAACUAGAACUUUUUAACGUAUAACUGAUGUAAGGUAUCUAUUUUUUUUUUCUUUCCAGGAAUAAUUUGGAUGUUUUUUUAUUUGGUUAAAUAUUACGAUUCAUAUUAUUUCGUAAGUUGAUUUAAAAAAAUUUGCAUCAUAGUUUUAUUUCAAGUGUGGUGAUUUUUAUUAUCUUUUCAUGGCUAAAGUGCGGGUAAUAGGUGAGGGUAUGAGCACUUAAGUACCCAUAGGGUAUGGGGAAGGGCACUAAAGUUGUUGCCCACGAGGGUAUGGGCACGGAUACAGACAUUUUUUACAAACGCGGGUAUGGAGAUGGAUACUGUAGUACCCUAUCCAUUGGGUACCCAUUGCCAUCCCUACACGAUGCGAUCCCAUCGUGCCACGAUUUUUCCAGUGCCUUGCCUCAAAACUGAAACCUCCAUCGUGCCACGUUGCCUUGCGAUCGUGCCACGAUUCCGCAUAAAUCUGAUUUUCAGUUAACUCUUACACAAACAACCAUGCUCAAUCUUCAGGCUGUACUAGAUGAUGCAAAGGAGAAGCAGAUCAGUAAUCCCCAUGUCAAACAGUGGCUUGAUAACUUGAAAGAUGUUUUCUUUGAUGCUGAAGAUUUGCUCCAAACACUUGACAUACGUGAUUGUAGGUGUUUGGAUUCCAUUUUUAUUUUAGAAAGUCCUUCAUGUCGGUCGUCAAGCCUCCAGUCACUUAAAAUCAAAUCCCAUAAAGCAAUUGGAUUGUUUAAAGUCAAGCUUAAGACGCUCACUGCUCUUGAACAGUGGGCUUUGAAUUGUGGAGAGUUGUCAUUUUGUGAAGGAGUUUGCCUACCACUCUUUCAAGAUUGGUAAUUGAAAAGGAUGGUGAUAUAGUUAACACCUUGGUAAAAGAGCCGUUGCUACCCAUCUCCCUUGUGUCUCUGAAUAUUGGUGAUCUCUAUAACAUGAAGUCCUUUGAUGGAAAUGGGCUUCAACACCUCUCCUUUCUCGAAAUCUUCACUUUCGUAAUUGUCAACAACUUGAGCCAUUUCCUGAAAAUUGCGUUCCUUCCUCGCUGAAAUCACUUGAAAUUUGGAGUUGUGAAAGACUUGAAUCAUUACCGGAAGACUGCCUCCCUGAUUCUCUGAAGCGUCUAAGCAUCGUAUUUUUCCCUUUGUUAAAAGAAAGGUAUAAAAGGAAGGAACAUUGGUCCAAAAUUUCUCUCAUUCCUGUCAUAAAAAUAAAUGGCGAAAUCACAAUAUGAGCCAUGUUAAAGUACUGAUGAGAGAGAAGAGUUGCAUUCUUAUUUCAGGUACGUUUUUCAUUUACUUGCCUCGUCGAAAAUGAUUUAUCAUUUGUGUGUGCACAGUCCAAAGAGAUAUUAAUAACCAUAACAUAGUCCACUUCCAUAAUGAUGAUCUUUGAGGUUUUUAAGGUUCAUAUGAUGAUUAACACACUGAUCAAAACUGGACUCCACAUCAUUUAAUUACUUACGUCAUAGACUGUUCGACUAUUUGUUAAUAAAUUAUUGUAAGGAUUGCAAGAAAUCAAAUCUUAUACACAUAUCUUGAAUAAAUUUACACUGCCAGUUUUCUGCAUAAAUCAGUUUCUUUGUUAAUCAGCUGGAAUAACUCAUAAAAAUCAGUUUUCUGUAUUUUUUUAAGUUUGUUCUCUUGUUCAUCAAUAAACUCCUAUCUAGCAGUUACUAACUAGUCCCUUGCUGAUACUGUGCAACUACUUUUUUCUAAAUCACCAUCUUUUGAUUUGUAUACAUUCCCUGCCAAACAAUUUCACUUCCUGGUUUAUUCAUUCUGUGCAAACGGUUCGCCAAUUUCAAUUUUAUUAAUUGAAUUGCCAACUCCUACCUAUCAGUUACUAGUUCAUUAUGUUCAAACUGUUAGCAAAAGUCAGUUUGUGUUUCCUUAUCGUCGACUGUAUGAGCCGGUCAGACCGAGUAGAGUGUAGUAGGGUUUGCAAUAUUCUUAAUUCGUAGUUAUGUGUAAGUGGAUGCUCAUAACAUUCAUCGUUUGAAAUAUUUUGUUCUACUGUUUUGUUUGUUGGUAUGUAGUAAUAUAAUAAAGAUUGAUGCUCUUGAUUCUACUUUUCAACUUGUCUUAGCUGCAACUAUUAAUUCCAAGAAUCACAACAAUGAAGUCCUAUCAGAUUUACUCAUUUCUUUUUUGUCUGCAUUCUUUACCACAGAAAAAGAAAAAAAUUGACCCUUUAGUAACUUUCUGCUUCACGACCCUUUGCUUCAUUUGCUGCUUCAUAACUUAAAAUUUGUAGAUAACAAAAAUAUAUCCUACUUUCCUUAAAAAAAGAAAAAGAAGAAAUCAUGCUAGUAAAUUUUGAAGAUGUAAGCUAUUAAGGACAAUUUCAAGAGCAAAUUACACAUCAAAAUGUCUUGCUUAACAUCCGUACAAUUAAUCAAAUAUUUGUUACAUGUACUAACAUAUUGUUUUAAACUUUUUGUAAAAUAAAAUAUUGCUCUAAACUUUUUCAAUUUUUAAAUAUGAUCAUUCAAAGAUAUUAAAUGAAAAUAAUUGAAAGAAGUGGCCCCUACUCAAAUAAAUUAUUCACAAAAUUAUUAUUAUUGGACACCAUAUUUGACUAUGUCAUUGGAUGUUUGUUUAAUAUGUCCCUUGGAUUGCUCAAAGGCCUCAAAAUAUAUUUUACUUUAACAGUGAGGAUAAGGGGAAUUGUCUCUUCUACUUCAGAAAAAAUAUAUUGAAAUGGUACAUGGUUGAAACUUCAAAGAUGUAAGUUGCAUUUUACGCGUGCAACAUUUCCUUGUAUAUUAUUUUGUCAGAUGUAGAUCCAUUAACCAUUAUGAGCCAACAAACAAGUAUUAACCAUUCAUGACUCUUUCUUUGCUCCUUGCUUGCAAUUUGAUCUGAUCCAUAAACUAUUAUACACGAGUCUUACUUGCAAUUAUUGUUAUCCCCCAAUCUUCAUAGCUCUUAAUUUCCAUCAAAAUUCUGCUAUUAGCUACAAGUUCCUUACUUGCUAAUUUGCUCUAACAAUAUCCGAUAGAAGAUAUGGCUGCAAUAGGAAGUGCUUUUCUCUCUGCAACUAUUCAGACCUUGGUUGAGAAACUUGCUUCAACAGAGUUUCGUGAUUACAUCAAAAACACCAAGUUGAAUGUCUCACUCUUGAGGCAGCUGAAAACAACACUGCUCACUCUUCAAGUUGUGCUGGAUGAUGCGGAGGAGAAGCAGAUCAACAAUCCUGCUGUCAAACUAUGGCUUGAUGACUUGAAAGAUGCUGUCUUUGAUGCUGAGGACUUGUUCAGCGAAAUCAGUUAUGAUUCCCUUCGAUGCAAGGUGGAGAAUGCACAAGCUCAAAACAAAAGUUAUCAGGUGAUGAACUUCCUUUCAUCUCCUUUUAAUAGCUUCUACAGAGAGAUCAAUUCUCAAAUGAAGAUCAUGUGUGAAAGCUUGCAAUUGUUUGCACAGAAUAAAGAUAUACUUGGUCUGCAAACUAAAAACGCAAGGGUUUCACAUAGAACUCCUUCAAGUUCAGUGGUAAAUGAAUCUGUCAUGGUGGGUAGAAAGGAUGAUAAAGAGACAAUAAUGAACAUGUUGCUUUCAAAGAGAGAAACAACCGACAAUAAUAUAGGUGUUGUUGCAAUUUUAGGCAUGGGAGGUUUAGGAAAAACUACCCUUGCCCAACUUGUUUACAAUGAUAAAGAAGUUCAACACCAUUUUGAUUUGAAGGCAUGGGUUUGUGUGUCUGAGGAUUUUGAUAUUAUGAGAGUAACAAAGUCUCUCCUUGAAUCUGUCACUUCGACAACUUCGGAUAGCAAUGAUCUUGGUGUCCUUCAAGUUGAGUUAAAGAAAAACUCGAGGGAGAAAAGAUUUUUGUUUGUGUUGGAUGAUCUGUGGAAUGACAAUUAUAAUGAUUGGAUUGCACUAGUAAGUCCCUUCAUUGAUGGAAAACCUGGAAGCAUGGUGAUUAUAACAACGCGCCAAGAAAAAGUAGCUGAGGUGGCACACACAUUUCCUAUACAUAAAUUAGAACUUCUGUCAAAUGAAGAUUGUUGGACUUUACUCUCAAAGCAUGCAUUGGGCAAUGAUAAGUUUCCCCAUAGUACAAACACAACCCUUGAAGCAAUUGGCCUGAAGAUUGCAAGGAAGUGUGGAGGAUUGCCAAUAGCUGCUAAAACACUAGGAGGACUUCUACGUUCAAAGGUAGAAAUAACAGAGUGGACUUCAAUUUUGAACAGCGACAUAUGGAACUUAUCAAAUGAUAAUAUUCUUCCUGCUUUGCAUUUGAGUUAUCAAUAUCUUCCCUGUCAUUUGAAAAGAUGUUUUGCAUAUUGUUCAAUUUUUCCAAAGGAUUACCCACUUGAUAGGAAGCAAUUGGUUUUGUUGUGGAUGGCAGAAGGCUUCCUUGAUUGUUCUCAUGGGGGAAAAGCGAUGGAGGAAUUAGGUGAUGAUUGCUUUGCUGAAUUGUUAUCGAGAUCGUUAAUUCAACAAUUAAGCAAUGAUGCUCGUGGAGAAAAGUUUGUCAUGCAUGACCUUGUCAACGAUUUGGCUACAGUCAUAUCUGGACAAAGUUGUUUCAGACUUGGAUGUGGUGACAUCCCUGAAAAGGUUCGUCAUGUUUCAUAUAAUCAAGAACUGUAUGACAUUUUCAUGAAGUUUGCGAAAUUAUUCAACUUCAAAGUCUUGCGAAGCUUCCUAUCUAUUUACCCCACAACGUCGUAUGAUAAAUACUUAUCCUUGAAGGUGGUUGAUGAUUUGCUACCAUCACAAAAAAGGUUGCGUCUGUUAUCACUAUCAGGGUAUGCAAACAUCACCAAGCUACCAGAUUCAAUUGGGAAUUUGGUGUUGUUGCGGUAUCUAGAUAUCUCCUUCACUGGAAUCGAAAGCUUACCUGAUACAAUAUGUAACCUUUACAAUUUACAGACCUUGAAUUUAUCAAAUUGCUGGAGUCUCACUGAAUUACCAAUACAUAUUGGAAAUUUAGUCAGUUUACGUCACCUUGAUAUAAGUGGGACUAACAUUAAUGAGUUACCUUUGGAAAUUGGGGGACUAGAAAACCUUCAAACUCUCACCCUUUUUUUAGUUGGUAAGCGCCACAUAGGGUUAAGUAUUAAAGAGCUAAGGAAAUUCCCAAACCUACAAGGAAAACUUACCAUCAAGAACCUGUAUAAUGUUGUUGAUGCCUGGGAGGCACGUGAUGCCAACUUGAAAAGCAAAGAGAAAAUUGAGGAGUUAGAGCUGAUAUGGGGAAAGCAAAGUGAAGACUCGCAAAAAGUGAAAGUUGUGCUCGAUAUGUUGCAACCUCCAAUAAAUCUGAAGAGCUUGAAUAUUUGCUUGUAUGGUGGGACAAGCUUUCCGAGUUGGUUGGGAAAUUCUUCGUUUUCUAACAUGGUAUCCCUCUGUAUCAGUAAUUGUGAAUAUUGUGUGACACUUCCACCCAUAGGUCAAUUACCUUCUCUCAAGGACCUAAAAAUAUGUGGUAUGAACAUGUUGGAGACAAUUGGUCCGGAGUUCUAUUAUGUCCAGGGAGAAGAAGGUUCUUGUUCUUCCUUCCAGCCAUUUCCAACCCUUGAGCGUAUAAAAUUCGACAACAUGCCAAAUUGGAAUGAAUGGCUUCCCUAUGAAGGCAUAAAAUUUGCUUUUCCUCGACUUAGAGCUAUGGAGUUACGUAAUUGUCGAGAACUAAGGGGACAUUUGCCUAGCAACCUUCCUUGCAUAAAAGAAAUUGUAAUAAAAGGUUGUUCUCAUCUAUUGGAAACAGAGCCAAACACUUUGCAUUGGUUGUCGUCAGUAAAGAAAAUUAAUAUCGAUGGGUUUGGUGAAAGGACCCAAUUGUCAUUGCUUGAGAGUGAUUCUCCGUGUAUGAUGGAAGAUGUAGUGAUUCGAAAGUGUGCUAAGCUAUUAGCUAUGCCAAAAAUGAUUCCAAGAAGCACUUGUCUUCAACACUUGAAACUCUAUUCUCUUUCAUCUAUCGCCGCAUUACCCUCAAGUGGUCUACCCACUUCAUUGCAAUCAAUUGAAAUUGAAUUUUGUUUGAAUUUAUCCUUCCUACCUCCUGAAACGUGGAGCAAUUACACAUCACUUGUGAGACUUUAUUUAAGUCAUAGCUGUGAUGCACUUACAUCCUUUCCACUUGAUGGUUUCCCUGCGCUCAAAUCACUUACCAUAGAUGGUUGUAGUAGUCUGGAUUCCAUUAAUGUUUUAGAAAUGUCUUCACCUCGGUCCUCGAGCCUCCAAUAUCUUGAGAUCAGAUCCCAUGAUUCAAUUGAAUUGUUUAAAGUCAAGCUUCAGAUGAACGCGCUCACCGCCCUUGAGAAGUUGUUUCUGAAAUGUCGAGGACUGUUGUCAUUUUGUGAAGGAGUUUGUCUACCUCCCAAAUUACAAAAGAUUGUUAUUUUUUCCAAAAAAAUAACACCGCCGGUUACGGAAUGGGGUCUCCAAGAUCUAACCACUCUUUCCGAAUUGAUGAUUAAAGAGGCAGGUGAUAUAGUUAACAACUUGGUGACGGAGUCGUUGCUACCCAUCUCCCUUGUGUCUCUGGAUCUCUAUAAGAUGAAGUCCUUUGAUGGAAAUGGGCUUCGACACCUCUCCUCUCUCCAACGUCUCGAUUUCUGUCAAUGUCGACAGCUUCAGUCAUUGCCAGAAAACUGCCUCCCUUCCUCGCUGAAAACACUUCGAUUUGUGGAUUGUUAUGAGCUUGAGUCAUUGCCAGAAAACUGUCUCCCUUCCUCGCUGGAAAGCCUUGACUUUCAAAGUUGUAAUCAUCUGGAGUCAUUACCAGAAAACUGCCUCCCUUUGUCGCUGAAAUCACUUCGAUUUGCGAAUUGUGAAAAGCUUGAGUCAUUUCCAGACAACUGCCUCCCGUCCUCGCUGAAAUCACUUAGAUUGAGUGAUUGUAAAAUGCUUGAUUCAUUACCAGAAGACAGCCUCCCUUCAUCUCUUAUCACUCUGUACAUUAUGGGAUGCCCAUUGUUAGAAGAAAGGUAUAAAAGGAAGGAACAUUGGUCCAAAAUUUCUCACAUCCCUGUCAUCACAAUAAACAACCA